rnacentral:lncRNA from 1 species
UGUGCUUGGCCUGGUUACGAAAGACCACGUAUCCAAACAAGCCUCUAGAUAUCUAUAACCAUCUUUCCCCGCCAUGGAUAACAUUGAGUUCGAGCUUCGUCUCGUAGCCGAACGAAUCCACGCUGAAAGCUUUUGAUCAAAGUUGAAGCUUUUCUGAUGUAUUCUGUAUUUCUGUGAGUACCCAAUUGGAGAGUAACUUGUGUCAGAAAUGGCGAUGAAUUCAAUUCGCCAUCUUUAUCCAGCAGCCGCCACGACGACGACUACUGCGGUGGAUUCGUUGGGAAGCUCCUUCUGUAAGCUCCACGGAGCCACUUCCCUCCGAUUCUUAAGGUACAGUCCAUCAAUUUCACUCGGUGAUGUCAGGAGAUUCGGUUUCUGUUGUACAAGGAAGGUUAAACUAUGUAGUGGUAGCGGUAGGGAUGAGAAUUGGAACAGGACCCAGAAGCAGAAUCAGUUUAAAUCUGUGCUGAAUCAUCGGAAAGGAGAGAGAUUUUCUGAUUUAGGGGUAACGAGUGGUGAGAAUGGUGAUGGUGGAAGUAGUACAAUGGAGAGGAUUGUGGAGAAAUUGAAAAAGUUUGGGUUUGUUGACGAUGAUCAGUUUCAAGAUGAAGAGACUGAACAAGAGAGGAGGUUUGUGGAGGAGGAAGAAGGGAAUGUGAGGAAUACGAGAGGUGGAUUCUCGGAGGAGUCACCGUUUGGUGCUUAUGGAGGUGAUGGAGAAGUUAAGUUUCCUUGGGAAAAAGUAAGUUCUAAGGAGAAGGAGAAGGAGAAGGAGGAGCUAGUAAACGGAGUGUGGACAGCUAAGAAGGAGAGUAGAUACUCUCUUGCGGAGAUGACUCUUCCGCAAGCAGAGCUGAAUCGGUUGAGGAAUCUGAUGUUUAGAACCAAGAGCAAGAUGAGGGUUAAGGGUGCAGGUGUUACUCAGGCUGUGGUUGAUGCAAUUCAGGAGAAGUGGAAGAGCUCAGAGAUUGUGAGGCUUAAGAUCGAAGGUACAAAUGCGCUCAACAUGAGACGGAUGCAUGAACUUUUGGAGGUAUUUAGUCUGCAUUAUACUCUUUAGAUGUGUUUGCAAAAUCUUGAUGUCUUUUCUUCUUCACUGUGGCAGAGAAAAACUGGUGGUUUGGUGAUUUGGAGGUCAGGGACUUCCAUCGCCUUGUACAAAUACAAAAACGACACUUGCAGGGAUGCAUCAGCAACAAUGAACAAGCAAAUUUACCGAAGAGCAGAGACGUCGCCCUCUUCCUUACCCACAAGUAGAGUGGAUCAUAGUGUUGAACAAGUGCAUCAUCCUCAGCUAGAGAAGGAGGCAACAAAUGUGGGAAAUGAAGACAGGACAUCUCAUCAAGAAGUAGAAUAUGAAGACGAAAUAAAUGAAUUGUUAGAGGGUCUUGGUCCUCGGUACACGGACUGGCAGGGAGGUUAUCCAUUACCUGUUGAUGCUGAUAUGCUUCCAGGGAUCGUACCUGGUUACGAACCUCCUUUCAGGGUUCUUCCUUAUGGAGUGAGAUCAACUCUGGGACAAAAGGAGGCAACCUCUUUAAGGAGACUUGGCAAAGUUCUUCCUCCACACUUUGCUUUGGGUAUUUGAUUUUCCUUUUUAACUCUUUUUUUUGUAGUUCCUGAUAAGGUCUUUGAAGAGUGAGAUUUUCUUUGGAUCUAUAGGUCGAAGUAGACAGCUGCAAGGGUUGGCAACAGCCAUGGUUAAGUUAUGGGAGAAGAGUUUGAUUGCUAAGGUUGCCCUUAAACGUGGUGUACAAUUGACUACCAGUGAGAGAAUGGCUGAGGACAUCAAGGUAAUAAGGUUUCACAGCUGAGUAACAUGCAUCUAUAGAAAAUGCAGAAUGUUUGAUAUCGUGAUCCGUGGUGACUGCAGAGAUUGACGGGAGGUAUGCUGCUCUCUAGGAACAAAGACUUUCUUGUUUUUUACAGAGGGAAGAGUUUUUUGUCACCAGAAGUAGCAGAAGCACUGGUGGAGAAGGAGAGACUUGCAAGGACUUUCCAAGACGAAGAGGAACAGGCACGUCUAAGAGCGUCAUCGGGUCUGGUUGUCCCACGUGUUAAGGCUAAUCAAAACCACCUUGUUUCUACCGGUACUCUUGGAGAAACUCUUGAUGCAGCUAGUAAGUGGGGAAGGAAUCUGGACGACGAUGAUCACGUGGAAGAAGUGAAACAAGAGGCUGAGAAACUGAGGUCUGCAAAUCUUGUCAGGAAGUUGGAAAGAAAACUUGCUUUUGUGAGUUCCUGCUGCCUUGAGUCUUUACUUCCUUCCUGUCAAUUCGCAUUUUGUCUUAAAAGAUUGCUUCUUGAACUAGUUUGUUAACCUCUUAUAGGCUGAGAAAAGGUUGAUGAAAGCUGAACGGGCAUUAGCUAAGGUAGAGGAAUCUCUGAAGCCAUCAGAACACAGAACAGACACUGAGGGCAUAACUGAGGAAGAGAGAUUUAUGUUCCAGAAGCUCGGAUUAAGGAUGAAAGCUUUCUUACUUCUUGGUAAAAUUUAUUGUAUCAAUCUGUAGGAUGAUGACUUAUGUCUUCUCUGGGAUGUGGCCUCGUCUGAGAAACUUGAAUUUGAUUGCUUCAGGUCGAAGAGGGGUGUUUGAUGGUACUGUGGAAAACAUGCACUUGCACUGGAAAUACAGGGAGCUAGUAAAAAUUCUUGUGAAGGCUAAAACUUUUGAGGGUGCGCAGAAAGUGGCAUUGGCCCUUGAAGCCGAGAGUGGAGGAAUCCUGGUUUCUGUUGACAAGGUUUCCAAAGGCUAUGCCAUUAUCGUGUAUAGAGGAAAAGACUAUAAGCGUCCUUCCGAGUUAAGGCCUAAGAACCUCUUGACAAAGAGAAAAGCUUUGGCACGUUCUGUUGAGCUCCAAAGACGCCAGGUUCGUGAUAACAAACAUUUGCCAUUAAUUUUCUAAUCAAACGAUCAACCAAUAAUGGGUAACACUUAGUUUGGUUUCUUAUCAUCCAACAGGCUAUUAUAAAACAUAUUGCGGUGGUACAGGCGAGAACAGAGGAGUUGAGAGCUGAAAUCGUAUGGAUCUACAUUUGCUGACUCAACGAAAACGUUUUUUUCUUUUUGGUUCUGCAAUGAACUAACAUGAGACUCUGAAUCCAUUCUGGCAGGAACAAGUGGAACUUGUAAAAGACAAGGGAGCUCAAGUGUUAUACAAUAAGCUUGAAAUGGCUUAUUCUUCUAGCGACGAGGAGACCGAAGAGACAGAUGUAUGAUGUGCUUACCUUAUACUUGUCUGAAUUUCACCACUAUGACACAUUCUGUGGUGCUCUUCAAUUGUUGUAGGGAGAAGGAGAUGACAUCUAUUUAGAUACAUACGAUGAGGAUGGUGAAGAAGGUGGGGUUCAGGCCAAGGGUUCACUAUCUGAUGUUGAAUUUGAUUCAGAAGAUGAAGACUGGGAUUCAGAUGAAUUAGAAACUGAGUUUGAUGAUGAUUCUGCAUCCUCCGCUACACCAUUUGAUGCUGAGUCGACAUCCUCCACAACACCAGAAGCAACCUUUGUAGAUCAACAGAAAGAGGAACGUCAUCUGCAAUCAUAAGAACCACGAGCUAGUAUGCACUGUGUUGUGAGUUGAUGCAGGAGAUAAGUUUUGACAUUAUCUAUCUUCUGUGUACUCUCUGUUGAUCAAUGCAGUGAGAGGUAUACUAAAAGUGUAUCACAUGCAAAGAUUGUAAGCUUUUAGGAGCUUUGUAGAUUUAUAUUAUUUGGAAGAUACAUGCAUAUCUAACUCUCCAUUGUAGUAAGAUAGGUCUCAAACAAUUUAGAAUCCGCAGCUUAAUGCUACUACUAUACAUGGUUCACCAUCAAAACCACAUUCUCUUCUCAUCGGAAAGAAAAAUACAUCUGCCUUGGUUAUAUGUAAACGUUUCUCUUUUUUCUGUCAAGGGAAGAUAAUAAGAAUACGACCGAGGUUUUUCACCUACGAGCAAGUCUCUGCCCAGCGCCGGCCAGUAAAGCCUUACCAAUGACCCCAGUGUGCAGGCCACAAGCCAAGGCGACACCUCCUACAACUACCCAUUUCCAGUCCAUUCUCAAAUUGUCCCGCUGUCUCCUUGCAUAGCCCAUUGCUCUGCUUCUGUCUUCAUCUCCUGUGGAUGAUUCUGUAGAAUCCAUGUUCAGUGUUGUGGUGAUCCUUGCCAUUUGAGCGAUCCGAGAUAGACUAGAGUCUGAUUUUCUGGCGGUUUGGUAGGCUCGUAAACCGGAGUUUAGCUUCUUGACUGCUCCCCACAUGCCAUGACGGACGCCUAACUUUGCUACGUCUUUUGGGAUUCCCAUGUCUUCGUAAUGGACUAGAGAUACUUCACAAGCCGAUGGCUGUCCAUCUCCUUUUCUGGAUUCAACUGCAUUUUUUUUGUAUUUGUUUUAACAUUCAAAUUACAUGCCAGCUUAAAAAUAAUCAAAAGGCAUACCUGCUCUGAUAACCCAACUUGAGAAAUAAAGCUCAACGCGCCUCGGCUUAUCACGCUUGGGUAGAGCUGGAUAAGGAACUCCCUACAAUAUCAACAAAAGUGUGAUUUGUCUUUCUUUGAACAAUGUUUGACAACACUGAAAAUCUAAUAAGAGAUAAAUGGGUUAAUGAGGCAUGAAAAUUACCUUUGUCACACAAUAAUACUUAUUUCCAGACUCCCAUAUUCUCCGACCAAUGAUAUACUCUCGGUCACUACAGAAAAAGGGAAACUGCAUGCAAACUAAUAAAUUAAUAAAGACAAGAAACAAAUGGGCUUGGAAUUGGAUUAUGAAAGAAGAGUAAAGAAUCAUUAAGCUGCAGAGACCUUUUUUCGCCAGUGAACAAUCAUAGUUCCUGUGCGAGUGUCGUCGUCCAAAGUUUUGAAGUUGGCAAGCAUGAAAUCCCAUUUAGGUCGAAACUCAUCAUCCCAGAAGAAAUCCCUAACAAUAUCUGGACUUGCAUCCUCAAAUAUGGUUCGACUCCGAUAAACAACAGGACCUGUCUGGCAAACAACAACACAACCUUUCAGGCUAACAACACGGUUAAACCCACAGUGCUAUUAUAUCUAGCAAAAGCCCAAAAGUCACUUUGGAGUAGUAAAUGAAGCAUUGCAUCAAAUCGGAGACAAAAAGGAUAGUAUCAUUCAACUUGAUCUUACCCAAAGAAAAACAUCUCCCCUCAUGCGAACCGAACCCAUAAUGAUUCGUAACAAGAAAACUAUCUGUCCCCAAGAAACUAAACUAACUGGAAAUCAUUCAAAUCUCUCUAAAAAGAUUUCAUUUUUUUUCUCAGUGACUUGGCUUGUUCCUUGGGUACAAAGCAAGCAAGAGUCAGAAUUAGGGUUACCUCGGGCUCAUGACGCCAAGCUUGGUAACUCAUAUUAGGAGUGGUCUUGUCCAUCAUGGAUUGCCAUUCCCUGGUCGCAUUUCCAACUUCAAGCAGCUGUAACAGAUGCUCUAAAUCAUUCUCUGUCACAAUCUCCUGCUCUCCCACCGUCGCGCUAGCUCUGCAAAUCAAUGACCCAUUUCUCUAAGAUUCUAACCAAAAAUCAUCAACUAAUCCAAAAUCGUUAUUUUAACAUCAAAAGAUGGAUACUACACAUAUGAGAUACCUCUUUCCUACUAAUAUUUGGAAGUAGACGUUACGUUUUUGAACACAUAACUCUUAACUCUAUAAAUUCAGUAAAACCCAAAACUUGUUUAAUCAAAACAGAACAGAGAAACAACACAUGUUGUGUAAUAAACUGACCUGGAAACUUCAUCACUUUGAAGACUCUCCUCUACACUAGCCUGCGAUGAAGCUGAACCACUGGUAGAUUUGUUGGCUUUUGUGUCAAGCCUUGAGCAAAGGGUACGGCAAACGGAGAAAGCCGAGAGAGCUGUGAAAGCGAGCCAAAGCCGCCGCGCGCCGAACCCAGGCGGCGCAGUCCAUAGAAACCGAAGCUUGGAACGGAACCCUAGAUAGAUCAACCCUGUCCAUCUCGGACGCCAAGACCAUCCGAUCAAUAGACCGAUCAUUACGGCGAGCCAAAUCGGUACUGCGCAGAGUAUGAUGUCGACGAAUGUCUCUGUAAGAGAGGGCUUCUUCAGGAAAUGCAUUAGAUCGGAUAACAUCUCAUCCAUGGCGUUUCUUGAUUGGAGAAUCUUUGUUCCGAUCUGAAGAAUCUUCCUGAGACAAAUGUUAGUUUCCCCAAGGAAAACCAAUACUAUUCGAAUUUCAUGAGAAUCGAAGACGAAGAAGAAGCAAUUUUCUUUUGAGUAAUUUAUUAAGUUUUAAGAAGAUUUUGAUUGUUUUGGUGUGUCGACAAGACGUUGGCGGGUGACAGAACGAUAAGAAACAGCAGUGUGAGAGAUGACAAAUACACUUCCCACGCGUCAACAAUUCUUGUUCGUUACCCGAGAAACAAAUAAUAUCCUCAAUUAUUGACAUUUUGUGAAACACGUUUUGUCAACACGCUGGGCCGGUGCCUAGUCAGUCGAAGCUCGUGUUCAAUUAAAAAAAAAGUCAGUAGAAAGCUCAUCAGGUUAAAGGCCGGUAGGUUUUAAAAUAAUUUUGGAUCAUUAAAACAUCUGCAACAAUGAAUCUCGCAUUUUGAGGGUGGGUAAUCCUCGUAAUAAAAGUUUGAGCGUGGGCAACAAAAAUUAUCAAAUAUAUAUUUAAAAUCAUUUUAUAUAUUACAUUUUAAUCUUAAAUCUUCGUAAUAAUUAAUUAUAAAAACUAAAUUUUAUUAAUAGAUAAUAAAUACAUAUUAAAAUACAAAACAUAAUUUCUAAUUCAUAUAUAUACUUUUGUUUAACCAAAUAACAAAUUCUUUAGUUUUAUUUAAAAAGUGUGUUAGUAUUUUUUUUUUUGAACAACGUUUCAUUGAUAAUUAUAACGUAUAUGGCCAAUAUAUACAAGAAGUUUAUUAACCAAAAAGAAGGAACUGAAAAACUUAAAACAUCAGCUUGUUCAUCAAAAAUAUGAUGUGAUAAAGCAUCGGCUGCCCUAUUUCUUACACGAUUGACCGAGGCCAAAGAACAAGCAGGUAGCCGAGUCAUCCAAUAUCGAAGAUCAUGAAGGACGUUAUCCAGUUGAGCAUGAUUCAGAACCACUUGAUUCACCACCCGGUCAAGUUCAAUACAAUCACCUUUAAACCAAAUUUUUUUCAUACCCCGAAUCCACACCUGUUGCAUCGCAAAUAAUAGGCCCAAAGCUUCUCCUUGCAACGCAUUGGAUAAAUUAUUUGCCCGAGUCAUUCCAGCAAGAAUGAACGAUCACUGAUCAUCUCUAAUGAUCCAUCCUAAUCUAGCAGUGCCAUUCUCAUUUCUGAAGCUACAAUCAAAAUUACAUUUUAGCCAACCUGGGGUAGCAGGCAACCAUGAGGAUGGUUUAGUAGAGGUUUCCAUUGUAGAUUUCUUUCUAACAUACACAGAAUCCCAUUCAGCAUUCGCUUCUGAUGCUCGAUAAAUAUCCUCCAUAGGGUGAACAUUUCUUUGAGCAUAGAGGGACUCAUUUCUAGAUUUCAAAAUAUACCACAAUACUCAAAACAAAAACUUUGCAAUCCUACUUGGAGUUUCAGCAUCGUUCAUAAUAUCAAACAAGGCAGAUAUAUUAACUUCAAGAUUUUGAGAUUGAAUAUUUAGUACCGGCAAACCUGAACAUCUCCAUGUUGCUUGUAUGUGAGAGCAGGAAAACAGAACAUGAUUGGUUGUCUCUUCUUCCAUACAGCAUCUCUGACAAACUGGAUCAGUAUUAACUUCACGAGAGCAAAGCUGAACAUAAGUAGGAAGAGCUCCCGAAAUAGCUUUCCAAAGAAACUGCUAAAUCUUGGAGAGAAUUUCUAAUUUCCAUAUAUGAGCCUUUAGAACCAGAGAUCCCUCGGGAGAGAUGAUAGGAUUUUCAUCCAUAAAAUCAUGGAUAACUGUCCAGUAACCUGAUUUUACCGUAUAUUCCAAGUUUGUCGUAUAUGACCAAACAUAUUGAUCUUUUUUUUGUUUUUUUGAAACAUACCAAACAUAUUGAUCUGAUAAAUUAAACCUCAAAUCAACAUCUUCAUGCUGAAAUAAUGCAUUCAACUUAUCCACAUUCCAUGUUGUUGUAGAAUGAUUUAUAAUUUCCGAAACUAUCAUGUUAGGAUGAGAACAAGGAGAUAUCAAUCUGCGUGGAGGAACACCUGGAAGCCAAAAAUCUUCCCAAACCCGUAUGUUUCUCCCAUCCCCUACUUGCAAGACCAAACCUUUCUUUAGAAGGUUUUAUCCUCUUCUUGUAUAGACUUCUAUCCAUACGAGGAACUAGUUGAACUUGUCGACUGUAAUAAUAUCGACGAGUUAUAGUAUCUUCCUUUAUAAAUUCUUGCUAUGGAUUGAGGGUUUUGGACUAUUUUCCAUGCCUACUUAGCUAAUAAAGCCAAGUUGAAAGCUCUCAAAUCACGGAAUCCCAUACCACCUUCCUUCUUUGGUAAACAUAUUCUUUUCUAAGAAAUCUAUGAUACCUUCUUUUUACCGUCACUAUGACCCCACUAGAAUCCAGAUAGAAGAGAGUUAACUUCAUUGCAAACUGUUUUUUAGAGAAAAUUGUUAUCAAAAUUGUUAAAUUAAGUAUACAUAAAAAAACUUCAAAGCAUUGACACCUUCACGCGCAAACUUAUCGUGUUCUCCACCACGCGCAAAGACAUUACCGUCUUUAAACAAUAACACCUUCUCUAACCACCUAAUUACGAAUAAUUUCUCGUCAUCCACCUAGUUGCCAUAUCCUUCUUGUAUAUUGAACAUAAUAAUUCAUAACUAAAUUAUAACUUUAUAGUUUAAAGUUAUGUUUUAUGAUUGAUAAAUUGAUUAAUUCAUUUUUAUAAAUUAAUAAUUUAAAGUAUAAAAUUAGUUUAUUUGUAAAUGAUUGGUUUAUGUAUAUAUUGAGUGGUUAUAUUUUAAUUUAUGGAUUAUAAUUUAAUUACAUAUUUAUAUUUAAAGGUUUAGUGUUUGUGUAUCAAAAAGAUCAUACAGUUAGUAAUUUUGCAAAACCUAGCUUCUUACGAUAAGAUAUGGAAUAAAUAUGUAUGAUCAAUUGAAUUAAAUUGAAAAUUCAGUGGAAAUGUUUAUUUAAUUAUUGUUAGAAGCUUGUACGACGUUUAACAUGGAAACAGAAGAUAUGAAGAAAAAAAAAGAAUGUGGUACACAGCGAAUAGAAUCCCUUUAUAUAUAGAAAAAGGAAUCAAAUGAGAUGGCAAAGACGAGGCCUUGAACACAAGUGCCUUCCAUUGGCCUUGAUCAUCGCCACCACUCCUGCAGUCACUCCUGCCCACAAAGCUGACGCCAGAUACUGCUGCGUGUUUCUUCCCGCUGUUGUUUAUAUCAUUCAAAAUCAACUCCAACCCCAUAAGUCAUAUAAAAUUAAAAGCCUUUCUUUACCUUGAUGAAUAGUGAAAGAUGUCACUGUCACACCACCUAUCAACAAUGCUGAUGCUACUGGCAGAAACUGUUUUAUUCUCACCCAGCAAACAAAACAUAACAUAAACGAAAUCAGAUCAGUAUCUUUCCAUUUUUAACAGACUGUUUUGAGUUCAUUUCAGGAGGAACAUACAGACGGUUGUGAUCCUCCAAUAGGCUGGAGCUGUGAAGGGCUGUUUGUGCCCACUGUGUAGCGACCACUUAUGAGAUCCAAAGCAUCCUGCAACCAAUUGAAAAAUCUCUAUUUCUCAUCUUUUACAUAAAAACAUCGAAUCUAAUCUUUGUAAAAAAGACACUACUUGCCUGCCUCACACCAUCCUGGAAAUUAUUCAGAUAAUAUCUCGACAUAGCACUGAUGCCAUCUUUGAUUGCUCCAGAUACAGUUUGUUUCCCGUACCUGCCAUGUAACUAUUAACAUCCUCUUUCUAAAUUAAUAUGAUAAAAGAAUCUUAAGGCGGACAUUUUCUCACCUGACGAGGUCGCCCUUAAGAGCAUAUGUCCCGGCGUAUUGCAAGCUAAUCUCGUCCCCUUGCUCAGCCCAAACUAUCAGAAAAGCCAAAAGGAUUUUAUCUUUUUGAGGAAAAGGCAGAAAAUAUCAUACAGCUAAGACAAGUUGCAAGUGAGUGACAUUCACUUACUUGUUCUGAACUUUGUGUAAUCAUCUUCAAACAUGGAUACACACUCUGCGGAAUCAAGCACUCCGAUCCUUUGAAGUUGUAGAUUCAAAGACUUUUGGGCCAUGUAAUUCUUUUCACAUGAAAAAGUUUUUGAAUGCAAUCAGAAGCAGUUCAGUGACAAUGUUAUUUUUAGCAAACACAGAUGAAGUCGGAUAUGCAAGUAGUGAUUUUCUCCCCCAAAUAAAUUAGUAGCUUGACCAAUACUUGUACCAAUCAAGAUGGCUGGUGGAAAUGAAAGAAAAACGAGAGUAAGAAAUCAAAUUGAACAAACCUGGGUAACAUUUGUGCGGUCAAGACAGUCGAUGCAGUUAGAUCUGAUAACUCCUUUCUGCUCUUCUAGGAUGUUCCCUUCUGCGUCUACAAGGAAGUAUCUGCUCAGCUUGGAUUAGUGGCAGCUGAAACAAAAAAAAUAUCUCUGCACAUAGCUAGCAUCUACCUAACUUUAACCAAACAAACAAACAAAUCUGAUCUGACUGCUAUGCAAAUAUUAACUCAGUGUCUAGAACUGAACUAAAAGAAUAAUAAGUUGUUUGCUUACCCUUGCUUUUCAAAUUCAUCCCCAAUCUGUUCAUAAAGUACCCCCAAGUUGUCGAAGUUUGUAGUUCCACAGAUGUGAUGGAAGUCAAAGGCGACAUAUCUGUGUCAAAACAACCUCAUUAGCUAAUACUACCUCUAAUUCAACUUUGAUGUAAGAACAGAUUAAAUAAAGAGAAAGGUGAAAGACAUCCAAACAAACGAAUAAAUUAUUACGAAGUGUCAGGAAACGGAAAAAGAAUUUUACCUCACGUUUGGAAGCCUCGCCAUUUCGGUGGCGUAUGCUUUGCUUAAUUCACCUUCAGCUCCAUGCUAUUUGUAGACAAGGAAAGUAAGCAAGUGAAUAUUGCGUAGCAGCAACCACAAAAUAACUGAAGCUAAAAUGUCAAAAUGCAUUAUGUUCUUAUCUGCAAUGAGGAGCAAGGAAAUGUACCUGAUCUGUUAGGUUAACUACCAUAAUUUCUCCAUAUCUUUGGCUAAGAUCAUGGAAGUGGCGCUGCACGACCUUCGGCUGGAUGCAGAAAAUAACUUAAUCAAGGUUGAGGGAUGGACAGUGAAUUAAAAAUAUGUAACAUUCAUAAUCAUAAGAAAUUACCGUGUCUUCAUGCUUAUUUAUCUUAAGCUGUGGCUUAUAGCUCAAAUCAACGAUUUGCUCCCAUAGAAGUGGAAUUGAACCUCUAACCUAGCAAGUUAAAGCAUGACGGUUACAACCCACAAAAAUGAAAGGAAACCUUUAAACUGAGAAAUCUUAUAUAAACUAAGAUAUCUUAUAUAAGAAUAAUAAUGAAACAGUGAAUUUCGAGCAUAUCCAAAACCUUAAAACAGUAACCACUCAGUUGAAAUGAGCAUUUUAUAGCAACAAAGGAAUGUAAUUCCACAGAUAUUACAGCCAGUACAGUAACAAGAAAAGAUCAUUUUGACAGUACACAACACAUGAAAGAGCUCCUAACAAAGGGUAUACCUGCAAUAAAGAGAACUUGAAACCAUUAAUCUCCACUAUUUGUUCAGAUUCCACAAAAUUAGCAGUGUCUCCCUCAAGAUUUGCUCCUCUUCUCCACAUACGUGUACCUGGAAAUGCCAAUUCCACCAUGAGUAUCAAACAGGCAUUUAACUGAAUUUUCCAACAGCACUAGUCACAAAACUAAUAAACACACCUAGACGACGUGUACAGCGCCUCGAAAUUAACGAUAUCACGGAAGGAGUAUUCUUGAGCUGUAGCUCAGCAACUUGGUAGCUUAAGCGUUGGUUAAUUUUUAAACAAACACGUUGGGAGACACAACAUUACGUAUACAUAUAUAUAAACAGUCCAAGAAGAAUCGAAACAGAAGAUAAAGAAAGGAUAUUUCCUUGAAGCAGAGGGGUAAUAAAACCAUCCAGCUACCACAAAAAGAGAAGAUUAGAUCUGUGAAGUUUUGACAUGGAAUGAGAAUAUUCAACUUAGAAUGCGACAACUUACUUUGCAUUCAAUCAGUUCCUCCAAAAGAUGCCAGUUCCAAACAUAACGAGGGUCAGCCUGAGACGCAAGUUAACCUUCAGCCUAACUUUUACUAGACCAACUAAAAUCAGACAAGAAUAUAGUAAUAGAAAAAGAAAAAAAAAAUACAAGUUGCAGAAUGAUCAGAAGAACAACCAACCUGCUUCCACAUGGGCUUACUCGUCCAACCAACAGCUAGCUUGCACCGUCUUUGCAAGCUGUAACAUUGGAUGAAUGUAUCAAAUAUAUAUAUAUUCGUAAGUCUAGAGAAUGACACACUAUUUAGCCAAAGAUAACCAAAACUUACUUGACAGUUAGAUCUGUCUCAUAUGAAAAAUACAAUCCUGGGGUAGUCUCAAGUGCCUGUAACAGAGUCCUGAAAUACGCUUCGUCCUUUUUCUGCACAAGCCACCAAAAGCAUUCCAGACAACUUAAAGAAAAAAACUCCAAAAAUAGAAACUUUACAGAAGAAAAAAAACCUACUUCUUGAGCUGUAGCAAACCUCAAAUUCCCAUUGCAAGGAAGGAACUUCAUAGCUGUAACUCGAAAAAUGGGAAGACCGAGGAAAGUCCCAGCUUCCUCCCGAGAUGUUAUAACGAGCAAGUACGUUCCUAAACUCCCAUUGAGCAGUAGCCAAACACAGUGAAGGUUCCAAUUUAACAGAAACCAAAAUAAUAAAAUAUAGAAAGGUAGAAACUUUCACCUGCUAAGAGCCUAAUAGUUCCUGCUACACCAAAGAUUGUAGACACUUUGGUAGCAUUACCAGAACUAGUGUUGUCUGCCAUUAGUACACAAAUAGUAACAUCAACACACACAACAAACAGCUCGCGAAAUGAAUUACAGAUUCCUCUCCGAAAUCAAAACAGGAAAACGGACAUAGAGAGAGAGAGAGAGAGAGAGAGAGAGAGGUGAGAAGGUGAUACCGUCGAGAGGUUUGAUGUUGCCGUCGCGGCGAUCGACGGAGAAGCCUUCAUGAGGCGAAUCGACGGGUUUGACAACGUACUUAUCGGGAAACUCCAGAAGCUCGAGUUGAUCGUAGAGCUUGAAUCUACUUGAAGAUGGAGCGAUCUCCAUUUGCGUGAUUACGAGGAUUAUUCGAAAAUAAGAUUGAAUUGAUUGAUGUCUGGAGUUUGAUGGUUGGUUACGGCUUACGGGAUCAGGGAAAAGAAUGUCAAAGAUGGUUCUAUUAUUUUUCUUCAACGUUGACUACUGACACGUGUCUAUUUUCGAAACUAAUUGGCUUUUCUUACCGAAUGGGCCGGGCCUUAAACCUGUUUUGUUGAUCACGCAACCAAAAAAAGCGCUAAAUCAACUCUUUCACUUUGCGCUUCAUCAGGUAUUCAAUGAUAAUUGAGAAUUUUAAUUGUACAAAUCAGAAACAAUUAUAAUAAUUGGAUGAAUCAAAUAAGACUACUCUAUGAAUUGAGAUGAUUCAUUUGAGAUUAUCAAAUCACAUAUAAUUUGGAUGCAUGCAAGCAAACAAACAUAAUUAAAGUUUAUAAUUAUUCAGAAAAAUAAAAUUUACAUAUUUCCUUUAAAAACAAUAUUACCUUUUCCUCGUUAAAAUGUAAAACAUAUUUUCACUACAAAUGUAAAAUUAAAAAAAAAAAUUUCUUCACAAUUGUAAAAUAUAUUUAUUUCAAAAAUUAUAAAAUCCUAUAUUUUGCUAAAAUCAUAUCAUAUUGUUGUCUUAUACACCUCAAAAUCAAAUCCUAAGCAUCAUACAUUUUUAAGUUCCAAAAACCAUAUAAAUUAUAUGAAUAUCUGACAAUCCAUUUUUUUAAUCAAAAUCCAUUUCUUAUUUAAAUGGGAACAAAACUUGGAUUCACCCCCUGUGGUGAAUUCUCUAAUUCACCUCUAGUCUUAACACCAAUCAAAUUGACAGGUAGGAUUAGUAAAAAAGGAAAUAAAACUUAAAAAAAAAAUAGGUAAAAAAAAAUUAGUCGCCGCUGUUAGCAAGGAAUAGAACGUGAUCUUUGUGUUAUCUCUUAGGUUUUGAGCUUCAAAUCCACAUGGCUCUGGUUGAAGAUAUGCAAACAUCAUAAUAACAAACAUGGCUCUGGUUGAAGAUAUUUAACAGAAACAAAUUCUUUAUUUUCUAUGGGAGUAAAAUCAAACCAUAUGUUGAAAGUAUAAUUCUUGUAAAAUUUGUAGAAGAAAAAGCGGAUCCAUUAAGAUGGCCAAUGAAGAACAAUAUAACUAUGGCAAUGCAUUGGAUAGUUUUAGGCUGCAGCCCGGGAGAUUCCUCAUGUGUCAUUGUAGAGGAUGAGAUCAAUGCUACAAUAGUACGGCCUCUCCCUUAUGGGGUCAAGCUCCAUGCCAUCGUUGAGUGUGACAUGUUGAUGGAGUUUGUGAAGGAUUUUAAAGGCACUGCUCAGAUUCUUGAGAAAGGUUAUGUCACUGAUAUUCAAGACAAUAGGAAAGACGUGGUUGUGGAACACUCGAGACAGCUUUGCAGUUCUCAAAGUGUGGAAUUAAACCAGGAAACCUUGGGUUUGGUGGGAUUAUAUCUCUGAUUUACAGGUCAGAUGUCCCACGAAGAAGAAGAAAUACAACAAAGAACUUGCAAAUCUAUAUUUUAAGAAUACAUUAAAAGUCUGUUGCUGUGACCUUACUACAUCAAAGAUCACGACACUUGCAUCAGUGAGUUCUCAUGAACUUGCAAGUCUAUAUUCUAAGAAUACAUUACAAAUAGCGUUUUUAUUUAAACAAGUUGUAGUGUCUGAUUUCCAAUUGCCAUCGGUUUCUUUUGUUGAAUUUUAGGCAAGACUGGUUCACAAGUAAAGUCAUCUUCUUCCUCCCUGGGGCCUGCAAGUUUGAAUCCCAUACCAUCAUCUUCAUCUCCACCAUCAGCGCUCUUUCUAGUCAUAAGGCAACAUGGCUUGAUUUGAUUUGGAGAAGAUGAAAUCGAAAUUUGAUUUGAAAGCAUAGAACUGGAGACUCAGCUUUCUAUCUUCUCUGGGCUAUAAACAAGAAGACGUCGAUGGACGGCGUAACAAAACACACGUUAUUUUCUUUGUUAACGGAGACUUUUUUUUUUACCUAUUUUUUUUCUUUUAAGUUUUAUUUCCUUUUUUAUUAAUCCUACAUGUCAAUUUGAUUGGUGUUAAGACUAGAGGUGAAUUAGAGAGUUCACCGUGAAUUAGAGAGUUCACCGUGAAUUAGAGAGUUCACCACAGGGGGUGAAACCAUUUGUUCUUUAAAUGGUACUUUAUACAAGGUGAUUACCAUACGCCCAAUAGAAUCACCCCACGUGGUAACACAACAACCUAGUCCGACAAAAGUUGUGACGUAGACUCUCUUAUCGUCGUCGGUCACUUACAACCACUGAUUUCCCCAAACAGCAUACUGUCCGAAAAUUCACACCCCUCCCAUCUCCGGCUAACAGCCACCAGAGACGAUUCUCUCCGCCGCUUCUAUGACUUCCAUUCUCAACACCGUCUCAUCCAUCCUCGCCUCCAGAGUUUCCUCCGUCGACCGAGUUGGAGCACUCUCUCUCCAAAACCCGGUCUCCGUCGAGUUCACUUGCCGGCGUUCCGCUUGGUCGACGUUGGACUCCAACUCUUCUGGUACAUUACGUUACCGUACUUUGAUGCUGAACACGUUCUUCUACUUCUAACUGGGUUUGUUACGUUCGUAGGGAAGAGAUUUGUUGUGCGUGCGGCGGAGACUGAUACAGAUAAAGGUUUAAAACUUUUGCUUGUUCUUCAAGUCAUUCGUUUGAACACAAGCUUAUUUAACUAGGGUUUUGAAAUGAAUCUCCACUGCAGCUAAAUCUCAGGUGCCUGACAAGGCACCAGCAGCCGGUGGUUCAAGCAUUAACCAGCUUCUUGGUAUCAAAGGAGCUGCUCAAGAGACUGUGAGUUUCUUCAUCUUCUCCAAAAUUUUUUAUUUUUUUCUCCAAUGGAAGAAGAUUCACUUGUUUCUUUCUUUGUGUUCAGAAUAAAUGGAAGAUUCGUCUUCAGCUUACAAAGCCAGUCACUUGGCCUCCAUUAGUCUGGGGAGUGGUCUGUGGUGCUGCUGCUUCAGGUAACAUAUAUAUAUGAACCUCCUUUUGAGAUGAAUUCAACACUGUCAUGGUGCUUCUUUACAAUCUUCUUGACGUCUUCGGUCUUCACCAAAUAUCUUUUUACUUGUGUUCUCUAGUGUACCAUGACUAAAAUCUUCGGUUGCUGGCAGGGAACUUUCAUUGGACUCCAGAGGACGUUGCUAAGUCGAUUCUUUGCAUGAUGAUGUCUGGCCCAUGUCUUACUGGCUAUACACAGGUCUGGUUUCAACACAACAAGAAGCAGAGUUGUUUCUUAUGCUAGUUCAUUUAUCUUAGUGCCAUAUAUAGUCUAAGAAGUGUCGAUUUCCAGACAAUCAACGACUGGUAUGAUCGAGAGAUUGAUGCUAUUAAUGAGCCAUAUCGCCCAAUUCCAUCCGGAGCAAUAUCAGAGCAAGAGGUACGUGAUACAGAACAUUUAGAUUUUUUUAACCAUUAGUUUGUUUGUUUGGUACUAAUUUUCUCCUUAAAUGCAGGUUAUUACACAAGUCUGGGUGCUAUUACUGGGAGGUCUUGGAAUUGCUGGAGUCUUAGACGUGUGGGUAAGUUGGUGGUUUUUGAUGUAACCAGUACAGUUAAAAGCUUACAUCAGAAUUGCUAAACCUUUCCUUUUUCAGGCAGGGCAUACCACUCCCACUUUGUUCUAUCUUGCUUUGGGAGGGUCCUUGUUGUCUUAUAUAUACUCUGCUCCACCUCUUAAGGUAAGCUAUUUAUAUACACUCCAAUGCUGUUUUGGAGUUUAGCACUUAUCAAUACAUCUACUUGCAGCUAAAACAAAAUGGAUGGGUUGGAAACUUUGCGCUUGGAGCAAGCUAUAUCAGUUUGCCAUGGUAACAUAGAUAUAUUGUGCAUAUCAUUCAUUAUCUGCUGUGCUUUCAUCUCAUUGAUCUGUUCUUUUAUUGUUCACUUAAUUGAUAGGUGGGCUGGACAAGCAUUGUUUGGCACUCUUACGCCAGACGUUGUUGUUCUUACACUCUUGUACAGCAUAGCUGGGGUACUACUCUUCCUGCAAACUUUUAUGAUGUUUAUUUUAUUAUAUUUUUUAACAUUCUGGUUUCACAUCAUGUACUUGCAGUUGGGAAUAGCGAUUGUUAAUGACUUCAAAAGUGUUGAAGGAGACAGAGCAAUGGGACUUCAGUCUCUCCCAGUGGCUUUUGGCACUGAGGCUGCAAAAUGGAUAUGCGUUAGUGCUAUAGACGUUACUCAGCUCUCCGUUGCCGGUAUGUAGAGUUUUGUUCAUUGCUUGAUCUUAUGAACUAGAUGAUCAUUUGUGAGAUGUCUAUUUUGGUUGCAGGAUAUCUAUUAGCAUCUGGCAAACCUUACUAUGCGUUGGCGCUGCUUGCUUUGAUUAUUCCCCAGAUUGUGUUUCAGGUAAGGACAUAAAACAUAUUCAUCAGCUACAUUCUUGUCACUCGUCUGGUUUAUAACACUCUUCUUCAAAGUGCAGUUUAAAUACUUUCUCAAGGAUCCUGUCAAAUACGACGUCAAGUACCAGGUAAAGUCAUCCAUGUGCAGAGUGUAAUUAAUGAAACUGGGAUUGGUAACACGUGGAGUUUUUCUUGUUUUGAAAUAUCUAAAAAAAAAACUCAAGGCUGAUAGGUCCUUUUUAACGAGAAUACACUGGCUUUGAAUACAGGCAAGUGCACAGCCAUUUUUGGUGCUCGGUAUAUUCGUGACGGCUUUGGCAUCAAGUCACUGAACGAGCUGUGUUGUGAUGGGAGUUUGCGCCAUUGCGGACCACAAAUCUGGGCAGGUUGUAGCAUCGUCUAGCCUAAGAUUUUGAAAACAAUAUGUAUUUAAUAUGUGCAUGUACCGUCGCUAGAAGUUAUUUCUGUUGUAUCAAGUUAGCCAUAUUGGGUGAAAUUGGAAAAAUCGUUUCUUAUGCCCCGUUUCUGUUUAAAUGUCUUCUCAUCUCUCUUAAAGGACUCGUGGUGUUGAACGUCAUGAAUUUACUGGGUAGAGUACGUUCGGUCUUGUUACUUCACGUCUGCUUUUACACGUUUUCUAUCGACUGUUAUUUGUUUCAAAGCACAACUUAUGUGCAAUCUCUUUAGCAAAAAAAAAAAAAAAACUUGUGCAAUCUCAAAUAUAUCUCGUUGCAUGUUAUUGCCUCAUUCGUGGUAAUAAGUAGCAAUGACCGAAACAACAAGUGUCAAGACAUAUAUAUUAUUUGAUUGUACCCUCACCAAAACUUCAAAAAACUUCCAGAGCGGUACAACACUGCCGUUAGUACAAGCCAUGCGUAGUUAUAUGACACAUGAAAAUAAGACUAGCUAGGGACGCUACAUUAACCCUAGAUUAAAACAACAAAAGACCUCGCUGCAACUUACGGAACCUAGAGGCUACUUAUUCAGACUAUAUAAUACAAAACGUUGCAGCGGACACUAGUAGAUAGUUUGCAAGCUAGUAUCACUUGUUGGUGAACUUGGACUCAUCGAUUUCAAUCCCUUCUUCCUCCGCACGCUCUCCACCAGACUUGUCCAUGGUACUGAGUCCUCCUUUACGUCCCAUCUCCUUGUAACCCUCGUGCCCCAGCUGCUCCUUCCUAGUCUCUCCUCCCUUGUGUCCCAUCUCCUGAUAACCUUCGUGCCCCAGCUGCUCCUUCCUCGUCUCUCCUCCUUUGUGUCCCAUCUCCUGAUAACCUUCGUGCCCCAGCUGCUCCUUCCUCGUCUCUCCUCCUUUGUGUCCCAUCUCCUGAUAACCUUCGUGCCCCAGCUGCUCCUUCCUCGUCUCUCCUCCUUUGUGUCCCAUCUCCUGAUAACCCUCGUGCCCCAGCUGCUCCUUCCUCGUCUCUCCUCCUUUGUGUCCAAUCUCCUGAUAACCCUCGUGCCCCAGCUGCUCCCUCCUCGUCUGCCCUCCCUUGCUCCUUCCUGAGUAACGUGUAUACAUUUCAUUAUUAAAGCACGGAGACUACUUCAUAUUCACGUAGAACAUUUUAUAAACCAUCUUAUAUUCUAAGAUAUGCAAGUGCUUUAAUGGGUCUUUCUUCUCAGCAAAAAUAAUAAGAUUACAGCGUGUAUACUAUUUCAUAAAAUCAUUCUGAGAUCAGAACAAACAAUAGUUUAUAUAUAUGCAGGUCCAAAGGGUUUAUUAGUAGCUUUUAUAAUCUAAUACUUGGAACCUCAAGAAAAAGAAAAGAGCGGCAAAAUUUUAAACCGAAGUACAUAUAUAAUACCUUCAGCUAGACGCUCUUGAGCUUCGACACUUUUGCCACCGGUGCCACCUGGGACGACGGUCUCUCCUUGCCUGGCCUUCUCAUCAAGCUCUUCUCGGCUUUGUUGCUUUGACGCCAUUUUGAAUGAGAAAAAGAAACACGAUAUGUAACUAAGGUUUUUAAGCUCUUGUUUGGUUUUAUGCUCCGACACAGAUACGGACGACGUAAUAAUAUUCCUAUAAAUAGAAACAUUGUGGUUACAAAAGGAAAGGUGAGGUGAUGUCACGUGGAAGAGAAGACGCGGCGAAACCUGAGAGAGUUGGCUGUGUGGAGAUGACACGUUGAUGCUUACUCAGUCAACUUACUACAGUUAUUAACGAGCUGCUUGACACGACUUCAGUUUUAGUACGCAGCUUAAUCCAUUUCUCUGUUUCUCUCCAAGACAUCAAAGGAACUCAAAAAUGUUAUGAGAAACAUAUAUAACUAUAAAGUUGUAUUUAACAUGAUUACCAAAAGAAAAAAAACUAUUAAAGUUGUAUAGAGUAGCUGUCAUUACUCACUCAACUUGCUACAGUUAUCAACGAGCUGCUUGACACGACUUCGGUUUAGUAGUAGCUUAAUCCAAUUUCUUUUUUUUUUUGGUGCAAAUGUUAAGACUUAAUUAAAAAAAAAACCUAAUCCAAUUUCUGUUUCUCCAAGACAUCGAAGGACAACAAAGUGUUACAACACACAUAUCUAAAUUAUAAAGUUGAAGGCAUGGAGCUUAUCUAUCACUGUCAUUCAGAAAAAACACUGGAAAUUUUUCAAUAUUUUCGCUAUUCUUUUUAACGCAUAUCGAUUUAUACUUAAUUAACAUACACAUUGCAAUUUAGCUGAUUGUCAUUUUAUUCUAUAAAAAUAAUGUAGAAUAGAUAAUUUAAAUACAUACAUAAAUAAAAUAAAUAUUAUAUUAAUUUAUAUAACUAAAAUUGUUUUAAAGUUAUUUACUGCAAUUUUAACAAAAAGGAAAGGAAUAAAUUUAUUCUAUUUUUUUAUAACAUUCAUUUUUCUGCUGAAUUUAUUCUAUCAAUUUGUUCAUAGUUUACUAACAUCCGCGUUAUAAAAGAUGACUGAAGAUUCUAUCAUUGCAACAAUUUCUUUUUUAAACAAUAACAACAAAUUUAUCUAUAAAAACCAUAUACAGUAAAUCUAUACUAUUAUUUACGAAGUAAAUUUUUGCAUUCGAAUUCUCACGUUAAAAGUUAGAGCAGUUAAUAUCAUUUAUAUCCUUAAUGAAUAAUUAUAUAAAUUAGUCAAAAAAGAAAAACGAAUUUCAAAUCUAUCUGAUUAAAAACGUGAUUAAAAUUAAUAAUACAUCGUUUAUACCCUUAAUGAAUAAAUUAUAUAAAUUAGUCGAAAAUAAAAACGAAUUUAAAAUAUAUCUGAUUAAAUAUGUGAUCAAAAAUUAAUAAUAAUAAGAAUUAUCUAAAAUAUAAAUAAUUUUAAAAAAAUUUCGAUUAAUACUAUUAUAUUUAUAUAUUAUAUUAGAUAAUUGAUUAUAAAUAAAUAUAAUAAAAUUUUCAAAAAUAAAAAUAUGUUUUAAAACAUAAGAUAAUUCUUAGAUAUAUUCUGUUGUUAUCUGAAAAUAAUAUUUUAUUAUAAAAUUUAUAGUUAGAUAUAAAACAAUUUAUAAUUAAAUGCUAAUCAAAUAAAUAAAUAUAUUUUCUAAAAUAUAUGUGAAUGUUUUUAAAAUUAAGCACAACAAUAAGCAUAUAUAUAUUUUGAUAAAAACUAAUGAAUAUAUAUUAAUAAUAUUUUAUUUAUAUGUUAUAUUUGAUAAUUGACUAUAAGUAAAUAUAAUAAAAUUCUCAAAAAUAAAAUAUAUUUUUAAAAUAUAAGAUAAUUCUUAAAUAUGUUGUGUUUUAUCUGAAAUUAUAUUUUUUUAUUAUAAAAUAUAAAGUUUAAUAUUUGAUUUAUUUUUUUAAAAACAUAAUUAAUAAUUUAUUAUGUUGGUUUUGAUUUAAUAGUUAUAAACAUAUAAAUAUCUAUAAAAACACUAUGUCCGCAUGUGCGGGCAUAAUCCCUAGUUAAUAAUUGUUUUGGUAACUUAAAAGAGUUGGUGAAUGCUAAAGAUGGGCCAGCGAACGUAUAUGUUACUGAAACAGCCACCGUUUAGCCCAUGAUGGAGUGAAAUGAAAAACGCAUGGCCACAAAUGGAAACGUAAACAAAACAAAACAAGAGUUUUCUUUUAUGUUAAACGGUGUCGUUAAGAAGAGACGACACAUAGCGAAAACCCUAGUGUCUUUAUUUGAGCCAACGUCGUCUCGCUUCUCACCCACAAUAGCUCUCCACACCCUUUUACGAAUUCCUUAAACCCCUGCGAGUAUCCACCUUCGAGAGAUGAGUUCGGACGAUGAGAGAGACGAGAAGGAGCUGGAUCUUGCCUCUCCUGAAGUCGUCACCAAGUACAAGAGCGCCGCUGAGAUCGUUAACAGUAAUAAUCCCCCGUUCACGAUUUCGAUUAGGUUCUGUAUUCAUUGCUUGUAUUCAUUUGUUUGGGUUUGGAAUUUGCAGAGGCGUUGCAGGUUGUUUUGGCUGAGUGCAAGCCAAAAGCUAAGAUUGUUGAUAUCUGCGAGAAAGGAGACGCCUUUAUCAAAGAGUUAGUUAUUGUUUUUAGGUCCUUGUGCUCUGCAAUAAAGUUUACGUUGCUCAUAUGUUUGUUUGUUUUCUGUAUAAAAAAGGCAAACAGGGAGCAUGUACAAGAACGCCAAGAAGAAGAUUGAUAGAGGUGUCGCUUUCCCGACGUGCGUUUCUGUCAACAACACCGUUGGUCAUUUCUCACCGCUUGCAAGUGAUGAGACCCUCUUGGAAGAGGGUGAUAUGCUGAAAAUGUAAGAGACUUAAGUUUGUCUGUGUUUUAGAUAUUUCUGUGUGAUUAAUCGUGUUUUGUCUUUUCUCCAUUGCAGUGAUAUGGGAUGUCAUAUUGAUGGGUUCAUUGCCCUUGUUGCCCACACACAUGUUCUUCAUGAUGGACCCGUUACUGGACGCAAAGCUGAUGUUCUUGCAGCUGCUAACACUGCUGCUGAAGUUGCUUUGAGGCUCGUUCGUCCUGGGAAGAAGGUAACCUGUUUUUUUUUAAUUGUGCUACUGUAACUGUUACAUUUGGCUCUUAAUGAUUUAUUAGGCUAUGGAUUAUUAUCCGUAUGAUGCUUUUUGUCAUAGUUACUCGGAUGGGAAGUUUAUAAUUCUCAUUUCUAGUUGAGUCCUCUGUAGACAAAAUUGUUAGUGAGAACAACUUUGCUGAACAGGUCUUAUCGGUUUUCUGAUUCUGGAUAAGUUACUACGAUCAAGACAAUUAAAAUUGUGUUUAUUUUUCUUGUGGCAGAACCAUGCUGUCACUGAAGCUAUUCAGAAGGUGGCUGAAGCCUAUGACUGCAAAAUUGUGGAAGGAGUUAUUUCCCACCAGAUGAAACAGAAUGUGAUAGAUGGAAGCAAGUGUUUCCUAAGUGUAUCCACUCCAGAAACAAGGGUUGACGAUGCUGAGUUUCUAGAGAAUGAAGUCUAUGCCAUUGAUAUUGUGGCAAGCACUGGUGAUGGCAAGGUAAAAUUGCUUUUCUUCAUUUGCAAAACUUCGUCAAAUUGCCAUUGUUUCUUAUACUCUUUCAAUUUUGCAGCCGAAGCUUUUAGACGAGAAGCAGACAACUGUUUACAAGAAGGAUGCGGAUGUUAACUAUCAGUUGAAGAUGAAGGCCUCCAGAUUCAUAUUCAGCGAGAUUAAAGAAAACUUCCCCCAUAUGCCAUUCACUGCAAGGUGUCUUUUGUACCUUCUGAAGCACUUAAUUACAUAUUAUCUCAGCUGCUAACGUUACCUGAGAAUACAGGUCACUGGAGGAGAAAAGGGCACGACUUGGACUUGUGGAGUGUGUGAACCAUGGCCAUUUGCUACCAUAUCCUGUACUUUACGAGAAGCCUGGUAAGGAUUAUGAAUCCUUUAGCCUCUUUUAGAUUGAUUUUGAGAGUGAGACUCAUGAUAUAUUUAUUUGGUUCAUGAACAGGGGAUUUUGUUGCUCAAAUCAAAUUCACAGUUUUGCUGAUGCCAAAUGGAUCGGAUAGGAUCACUUCACAUUCACUUCAGGAGCUUCAACCUACGAAGACCGUUGAUGACCCUGAGAUCAAAGGGUGGUUAGCCUUGGCUAUCAAGAAGAAGAAGGGUGGUGGAAAGAAGAAGAAAGGUAUGAAAUUUAGAAAAUUAUGUUUGUAGACUUUUAUUUACCAUGAAACUCAAUCCACAUUUGUUGAGAAAAGAAUCUAUAAUGACUUGUGAUUCUUUUUGCAGCCAAGAAGGCUGGAGAGAAAGGGGAAACCUCAACGGAGGCUGAGCCAAUGGAAACAAGCAGCAAUGCUCAAGAAUGAGAAGGAGAUGUCUCUUUUGUUUUCUUUUAAAGAUUUUUUUUUUUGGAACUUUGAGGUACUGCUUUAUUUGUAUGUUUGGGGUUUCAGAGAAUCUCUGCUUAGAAGUAAAAAAGAACAAAAAGUUACUUAUUAACUUGAUUUCUCUUUUUUUUGCACAAACCCUUUCUUAAUCAUUGGUUCUGUCGUAUUGUUCUGCUCGGCUUUGCUCAUGAAUCAAAGAUGAUCUUGGAUAGUAAUAAGUUCAUCUUAUUAUCGUGAAACUUGUGUACCUCAGGUCUCUCAUGAAGUUUAGCGGAAAGAUAUAUAAUAAAGAAAUGAAGUUAAACUAGAUAUACAUUGUUAAUUGAGAAAAUAACCAGACAUUUUUCUAUCUUGGAAUGUCGAUAUGAACUUUUUAGCUUAUGAAAUCUGAAUACACAUGGUUUGCUCGAAAUGUAGUUUUUAUGUCUUUGAAGGGUGUAAAAUGGAUGCUCCAAUAGUUUGCAUUCAUAUAUUUGAUGGACCAAUAGUUUUUUUUUUAAAUACUUAAAUCCAAGUUAACAUGCAGCUAAAUCCAAAGAUUGAUUCCAAUCCAUAUAUAAGAAAACGAUAUAUAAUUUAGUAGUAGUAGCAGAGCCGACCCUGGGCUAAAGCCCAUAAAACAAGAGCUUUAGGCACCAAAUUUCAUAAAAGUUUUAUCGGCACCAAAUUUCAUAAGUUCACAUUUUAUCUUGAGAGAAUUACAUUCAGAGACAGUUUAUGAGUUUAUUUUACAUUAUGGAGCAGUUUGUGCUAUUAGGGUAGUUUUUCUUAACCAAUCUCACUUUUUAGUUAUAAACUAACUAAAUAAGCUUAUAACUAAAUGAUAUCACCUUAACUAAUUUAAUAUCUGACUUUUGUAGGAUUUAUUCAUGGUUCUUCAUAGCAAACAAAAGGAAGUGGAUCCCAUGUAUCAUCUUUUUCAUUUCUUCCUAUUGAGUUCCUUAUUUCUUUUUGCAAAAUGAAUAUUGUUUUUUCUAAAAUUUUUUUGAAGAAAAUAUGUUUAUAAUCAGUGGUUUUAUUAUUCAAUCUAUUUUUUGAGAUAUGUCAAGCUAUAUUUUUGAUGGAACAAAUCGUUCAACAAAUUAGAAACCAAAAAAAUCACUUUAGUUUGAACUUUUAAGAUUAAAGCCAUGAAUUAGGAUUGAAAGCUAUCACAUCUGGGUAAAAAUACACAAAAAAACAAGUUGAGAAUGUAAAGAAUUGUGGAAAAUAGGCGAGAUAGGCGGAGAUUAGGGUUUCUGGUCGACAAUGGCUAAGGAAGAAGAUGAGGUUAUUUUCGUAAUUUUGCAACAUUAAUGAAAAAAUGUCGUGUGUACAUUACAUUCAAACUGUACAUGUGUACACCUAGUUUUGUAUUAUACAACAGAGUGAUUGUGUACACAUUUUUGGCUUUUUUGUAGCCUUUCUAUCUAAAUAACUAAGCCUCUGCGACUUCAUGAACUCAAGAUAAUGUUAACACAAUGUACAUUUGAAUUUUUUUAUCUUCUUCCCAUGUACACACAGGGUCGGGCAUCUUUGAUAUAUGACUGAACCCAAAUAUCAUCCUUCACACCUUGUUUAAGAGCGUCUAAUUAGUAUGUGUGUUUUCAUGCUAGUUUCAUGUGUACAUCAACUUCAUAAUGUACAUAUGUAUAUUAACUUUAAAGUGUACAUGUGUACAUUAACAUCUAACUGAACAUGUGUCCGUUUACAUAUGUUCUUUAAACUACAUGUGUACAUUUACAUAUGUUCUUUAAACUCUUAAAUUCAACCAAAUUUCACCAUACUUUCAUACAAGAAUAAAUGUAUCUAACAAACUAUAAAGUGUACAUGUGAAUUCUUGCUCAUAUAUCUAAAAAAUUAUCCGGUUUCUACGUAUUAUUGUACAAGUUUAUUGAUGUAUAUAUGGAUAAUAAUACACGGGUUCGACUCGUACUCUCUUUUCUUCCUUUUUUUGAUAAUAAUGUCCUUUUUGAUAAUACUAACAAUUUAAUAUGAUUUAUUCAUAGAAAUAGAGACGGGUAGUUACUUAAUCUGCAGAAGAAGAUCCUAGCCCCCUCUUCAUUCUCUAUGGGUGUGAUUGGUAGUGGCUGUGAGUGCUCUCUACGGCCUCAUUUCUUUUUAGAGCACUAAAUCUACACCAAUCUUAAUUUAUAUUUUUUUUAAAGCUCACAGUCAUUUUAUAAAAUCCACAGCACUUCUUUGAAUUUAUGUCUUUACAAUUUCUCUGCAGAGACAAAAACCUACAGCCCAAAUAUAAAGACUUUUAAAAAUUAAAAAUCUAAAGCCAAAACAAUAAAAAUCACAACAAUAUUUCUACAAUCAAAAAAUGAAAUCACAGCACUUACCAAUCAACCCCUAUAUUAAAUUGUAUGACAUUAGAUUAGAGCUGGGUUGCGGGUCAAACCCGUCCCGCUUCACCCGCUAGAAGAAAAUAUGAAAUUCGCACCCAUCCCAUUUAAACCCACGGGUGAUCCGCUAGACCCACAGAUAGUAUUAUUAAUAAUAAAAAUUAUUAAUUUAAAUAUUUUUUAUUAAAAAUAACAAUAAAAUUUAAUAUUUUAAAUAUUUUUAUUAAAAAUAACAAUAACUUUUAAUUUUUUAAAUAUUUUUUAUUAAAAAUAUUAAAUAUUUUGUUAGUAAAUCUAGCCAAAAAUGAUAAACCUUAACAAUAAAAGGAAUGGAUAUUAAAGAAUUUAAAAACGUAUAUUCUGUUUUCAAUACGUUCAAAUCACGAUUUAGUUAAGAUUUCUAUUUAACCUACACACUCGAAACAAAAAAUAUAUAUAAUCUCAUUCCUGUUAUGUGAAAGUGCAUCAUUGUUCAAAUCACGAUUUAGUUAAGAUUUCUAUCUAACCUACACACUCGAAACAAAAAAUAUAUAUAAUCUCAUUCCUGUUAUGUGAAAGUGCAUCAUUAUUCACAGAACAAACUAAGCAUGUCUAAGGCCCUGAUUGGCAGAGCAUAAGCAUUAGCAGUAGCUGUAUGCUUUUGCUAAACUGUUUAAUAGGAUGGUUGGUAGAGCAGUAUGAAUAUGCUAUUUAAAAUUAUUAUAAAAAUUAAUAUAUAAUAUAUUUUAUUUUUAAUUAAUAUAUUAAUAUAUUAUUUUUAAUGAAUAUAUAUAUAUAUAUAUAUAUAUAAAUAUAUUAACAUAUAAAAUUAAAAAGAUAUAAAAUUAAUUUAUUUUAUUUAAUAAUCUAAAAAUUAUGCUUAUAUCGAAAAAUAUUAUUUUAAAUAAAUUUUAUAAUUAAAAUAUCUAUUUAAAAUUAAUAUUUCUUAUUUAUAAUAUAAUUUAAUUCAUAUAAUUUAAUUAUAUUUUUAAUGUGAAAUACUAUUUUUUAAAGUAUUUUUAUUGUAAAUUAAUUUCAGAAAUCAAUUUUUUAUUUCCUGGAUAUAAAAAUAAUUUUAUGAUAUUAUUAAAUAAAAUAAAUGAUGUAAUUAUAUAUUUUUCUUAAUUUGAUAAAUUAUAUAUGCAAAUGCUUUUCUAAAAGCUUCAUAUAAGAGCAUUGGUCAGAGAGCAUUUGGAAAGCAUUAACAUUUAGUUAAUGCUUUUCUAAAUGAUUUUCUAACAAUUAUUGAUUGGAUCAUGUAGAGUAUAAUGCUAAUCCUCUACUAAUCAAUGCAUAAGUAUCAUAGACUAGAGGUGUGAUGUGGAAGUCCGUUUAAUUAAAUAACAUUGCAUUCUAUUUUAGACAAUUAUCUCAAAUAGAAAAAUGAUCAAAAUAACUUUUUUUUUGUUUUGAAAAUUUUAAUUUUAAAUUUUUAUUUUUAAAAUUUGAAAUCCUAUUCUCAAAAUGCAAUCGCCUUAACUAAAUCUAAGUUUAAAUUAGUUAACCGUAGAGUAUAAAUAUUUUUUUACUCUUUAACAAAAUUAAAUUUGUUUUUAAUCCAAAAAGUAGGUCUCAUAGAUGGAUUUUCUCAAAUAUUAAGGAUAUAUAAAAGCUAGCCGUUAUGACUCGUAACAACUAUAUGGUGAAUUCUAACUCUCAGAGAUUUGAGUUUUUUGGCUUAAGUUAUCAAAACACACAUGGACAUUUGGACAAGUCUCUAAAACCACAGAAUAGUUAUUAGUUUUAUAUGUAUUGAAUUAAUCUUGCAAAAUGUUCGUGACUUACAUUUCGAGACUUACAUUUUUACCAAAAAAAAAAAAAUGUUCGAGAUUGGCAUGCCAUCCCCUGGAAUAUAUGCAUGGAAUCCGAGAUAACAAAAAUAUCAAUAUGUUUUAAUGGUCACGUGUAUUGCAGUAUAUGGGUUACCAGUGUACCACCGACACAGCAAGUUACGAGGUACAUGCAUGGCUCUGCUUGUCUAGAACAGUGGACGUAUCGUGUGUCUUUCAAGAUUCGCUUUGAAUAACAUAAAAGUUUAGUUAAUUAGCUUAGAGGCUAAGAUAUAUUCUCCUUUUCUUAUCAAAGAUAUAUUAUCUCUUUCUUUUUGGAUAACCAUAUUGUCUUCCUUUCUUUUUGGUCGGUUUUGGAUGUCGAUAUAUCUAAAUGUUUGUUCUUUUUUCAUGGAAUUAAUACAACAAUAUAGUUUAUUUAUCACUGAUUUGGCUGAAUAAAGGGACUAGUUUUACUUUACCACAUGUAGAAUGGUACCGUCUCAAGGAAAAGAAUGGAACCAAUGGUAAGCAAAGAAACAAAAGAAAAUAUGAAAGAGGGCGUUCCAGAAGCAGAUAAUCUCUUAAGUAACGAAGAUAAAACAAAAGAAGAAGAAGAGGAGGAGGGAGGUAAUGGUGGGAUUUUGAACAAUCUGAUAUCCAACUUGAUGGGUGCAACAACAACAGCAGUAGAUGAAAAAUCUGGUGAAAAUACUCAGAAAUCUGAAUGUGAAGAUGAAGAUGAGAAGAAGAAAGAGGGUUCAGGAGCUGGAAUCUUAGAAAAGAUCAUUUUUCAUCUGCCAGGUACGCUUUUGUUCAAAAACGGGCUUACACAGUUUAAGCUAUUGUACUAAAAUUUGUGAGACGUCUCAGUUUUAGUAGUAUAGUAGUGUUGUCUCCCGUGCUUCGCACGGAUUAGUUUUAUUGUGAUCAUCACAAAACCCUAAUUAUAUAUAACUAAUGUUUAUAUUAGUCACAUAUUUUAAAAUCUCGAUAGCACAUUUGGUACAUGGAUUUAAAAGUAAUUCAAAUAAAGCAGCACUAAACAGUUUCUUUGAUUUUAUUUUGAGAAAUUAAUACAUUAUGUAUGUUUGAAAGCUUGUUUUAUAAAUAUAAGAUACGCAUAAAAAUAUGGUAUAGAAUAUCAUAUUUGAUACAUUGACUUUUUUGUAAAUAAUACUUCUUAAAAAUAUAAAUCUCUUCACUGUUACCAUAAUAAACAUAAAAUAUGAAUUUAUUGACGAAAAUAAACUCAAAUGAAACAAUGAAAUUAUGAUAAUUAAAAUUUAAUUGAACAUAUUUUGAUAUCUGAAAUUGAAAAUAAAGAUUAAAUCCUAAUAUAACAAUUAAAGACUCAAUGAAAAUUAAUUAUGUCAAAAUAGAAACUAAUCACUCUCUUUUCCCUAAUUCCUUUUUUAUCAAUUAUAUUUCAUUAAAGCUUGAAUACCAUCUCUUUUUAAUAUAAAACACCUGGACAAAGUUGAGCUUCAUCUAGUUAAACAGAUUUUUAGAUAUCAUAAUUUUAAAAUGUAAAUAUGUUUACUUUUCUCUACAUAGUUUUUGAUAAUGAGAAUGACUUCAUGCUUUUGAUAGUAAUACUCUGUGAAACAAAGCUAUGAUCUUCCACAUCCCUUAUAUAUUAAUUGAGAAACAUUACAACCAUUAAGUGUAGCCACGUGUCAUCAUCAGAAUGAAAUUCAGAUUCCUUAGAAAAUAUGUUGGUCCAAUUAAGUAUAUAUUAUACUUUUCAUUAAACUAAUCAUGUGUACAAUUACUAUUUUAUUUUCUUUCCUUAAAUAAAAGUUACAGAAUAUGACUAAUAUAUAUAUAUGACAAUUAAUGAUUCUAAUAAUAAAGAUUUGAUAAAAAUUCAUAUCUCAUCCAUCGUUUUUGUUUAAUUUUAUAUUACUAAAAUAAUUAAAACAAUCAAAUUAGCUAUAAAGUUAAAAUAUAGAUUUUUUUCGUAUAUGUUAUAUUUUGAAAUUUUAAAAAGACAAAAUUACUAAAACUGUUAAAAUUAUUAUGUUAAAAAUCAAUGAUCAAUGGUUUAACGUUCCUUAUAUAUUAAUAGAUAAACAUUUAAAAAAUUUAGAACAUGUAGUUUGUACCAAUUAAAAAAGUGUCAUGCUGAGUUUUCACGUAAUUGGAAUGUUAAUUUGUUUACGUGACGGCUUGAAAAUCAAUUGAGAAUUUUGUUAGUCUAAAAUUAAAUUGUUAGAGAAUGAUAUAUUAUAUAGUAUGUUCAUUAUGGACUAUUCAUUUAUUAAAUUGAAAUUUAUUAUAUAUUAUUUCCUUAAAUAAAACCUAUGAUUAUGAUAUAUAUAUAUAUAUAGUAAUGAAUGAUUUUAAAUAAUGAAGAUUUGCUAAUAAUAUGUAUAUUUUCUAUCAUUUUGUUUAAUUCUUUAUUAUUAAAAAUAAAUUACACAAUUACAUUAAUCAUAUAUUAAAAAUUAGAUUUUUUUUUUGUAUAUGUUGUAUUUUGAAUUUUUCAAAACGAGUAUAAAUGACUAAACUGUUAAAAUUCUAACAUAAAAUUUGUGAUCAAUGUUUAAAUUUUUUCUAUAAUAAGAUACAAUGAUAAUAAAAUCAUAUAAAUAAAUAAUUUUAUUUUAAUAGUGUUUAUGCUAAUAUAUAUUUACUUCAUAUCGUUUACAUUUAAUUAUAUAUCAUAUACGAUAGAUAAGAUUGAUUGUUUUGAUUUAUUUAUCCUAAAAUGAUGGGGAAUAAACAAGAGUGGCCAUUUGAUUUAUAUGUGCAAGCCAAUUUAUUACAUAAUAGUAACUGAUUUCUUAGUUAUUUAAUAUAUAGUUAUUAUUUUAUUAUUUCAUAUAGAACUCGAAUAUAGAACUUGAAGACUCAAAUAAGAAUUGCUCUCUUAUUAUAACUUGUGAAACUCUCUCAAAACACAAGCUCUCAAAUCUCUAAUCUUCUUAAGUGAUAUCACAACUCAAUAUCUACUUAUAUAGAGAUUAUAUUUUCCUAAUCCUAAUAGAUAAACAUAUCUUUAGAUAACUCCUAAACUUAUUAUGUUUUCUAUUUCCAUGGCUCGGUAGGAUUAGGUCUCCUUACUUCUCUCUCAAGCUUCUUUAUCCUUCAAGCUUAUUCCAACAUUUCAUAAUAUGCAGAAAAAAAUAAAAUAAGUAAUAAAUAUAAAAUAUUUAUUCUGCACAAGACUCAGAUCUUAACCUAAGCAUGUAUCUCUUUAAUAAUUUUAAAUCAUAAUCAUUUCUAAAUAAGAAAUGAUAAUAAACUCAAAAAUCAAUAUUUAUAUCAAGCAAUAACCAAAAUGACACAAAAAUGAGAAAAAUAUCGAAGAUAGAUAUAAUUGACACGUGAACGUAAACCUCUCAUAACCAUAAUUAACUUUUAAAUUGCUGAAUCAUGAUAUAAAACCGAGCUGACAUAGUUUCAUUGUAACCAAAUAGUAGGCAUGAGAUUCUCGAGCCUAAACGUUAGGUUUUUAUGCGAUAAAUAAUUUUUGACUUAAAAUAUUUUUAAAAAUGGGAUCAGUUCAUAAGUAAACAAAUUAUGUAAUUAACAAAAAAAUUUAAAAAAUUGUUUAAGGGUCAAAAAUAUUAAUUCGAUCAAUAAUAUAAAUUUUAUUUUUCAUAUGAUAUUUCUUAAAUAAUUUUCAUAUAAAUUUACCCUGCACAAGGUGCAGGUCUUAUCAUGAAACAUUAAGCUGAAAAAGAAGUGUAUAUUUUCAACUUGAAUCAUGUAGAAGGAAUUGUGAAAAAGUAAUUUCAGCAAAAAGAAGAAUGAACGUUUAAAAGAUUUCUGCCACACUCAAACCAAACUAAAACAACAAAGAAGAUGAAACAAUCGAAAGAAAAAAGAGAAGCAAUAAAAAGGAAAACAAAAACAGUUUAUUAUAUGUUAUAUAUAGGAGAUAGAGCAGUUAGACAUAGGGUGUUAGAUUUUUUUUUUCCUUUUUGAACGUGUAACCGUCGAAGUAGUUUCUUUAGAGAAAAUAUGAUCUUUGCCAGUUACAUGAAUAUCUGAAAUGAAAAAAGUCUGAUAAUUUGUUUUUGAUUUUUAACAAUUACACAUGUAAAAAUUUUGUUGGUCAUGUGACUUGUGUUUUAGUAUAUAAGAGAUAUGUUUGUUAAACAAUUUAGAUAUCUAAACUGUUUGAUUUGUGGAAAGUAAUCACCAUUUUGUCUCUUUGUUCCCAUAAUUAGUUAGAUAGAUGCUUCCAUGAAAUACAGAUUUUUUAUUUGUUAUCAGAGGAAUUCUAAUCUUUAAACUCAUAGUCGUCCACAGAUUUGAAAUCAUUUUUUAGAUAUUCCUGAUUUAAAGAAUAAUCCUUAAUACUAAAAAAAAAAUGAUUUGAAUCUGGAGUAUAAAAGAAACCAACCCCUUCCACCAACACCUUGAUUGAAGUCCGGAUAUCUAAAGCCAAAUCUUUCUAAGAGCAUCUCCAAAAAACACUCUAUAACUUCAAAUUUGAAGUUUUUUGCUCUCCAAAAAGGAACUUCAAAACUUCAAAUUUGAAGUUUCAUAUUUUUAUUUACAUUUUGGUUCUUACAAUCACACAUCACAUUUAUGAUUCAUAAAUAUUUUAUUGUUUACUAUUUUAAUCCUUAAAAAAUUAUAUCUCAUAUAUAUUUUAAUUUUUGUUUACAGAUUUUAAAUUUUACACAUAAAAUUAAAUAUAACUUUAAAAUAUUUUAAAUUAGAUUUAGACAACAAUAAUAUACAAAAGAAACUUAACAAAUUUUUUUUUUAAUUACAUGAAAACAUAACUAUUACACAAAUUUAAAUAUUAUAACAAUACUAAUAGUCAUGUAAGUUUGAUCCGGAACCUUUAAAAUUUUUAAAUAUUGUCUAAUUUUUUUUGUGUAACUGAAGAUGGUUGUUGUUGUUGUUUUUGAUGCCUUUUUGUACAAUUCUUUAUUGUUUAUAUCGAAUAUAUUCACGAGUAUUAAUAUCAUCAAAAAUAAAUUAGUCUUUUAGCAAUAUUUUAUGUUUCUCUUUUACUUUCUUGUUCCGAUCUUAUGUAUUUACAAGUAUCAAUAUCAUCCAAAUUCAACAACUUUUAGCUCGUAAUCUACAAAGUAAAAAUGAGGAGAGCCUUCGAAAUGCACUAAUAGAUCGUAUAUGCAUUACGAAAAUUAUUUUAUGGAAUAAUAUGGUAUUUUGUUUGAAGUUUAAUAUUAAUUAAGUUAUUCUUAUUAAAUUUUGAUAGAAUAUUUUAUUAAUUAAUAUUGUUGUAAUAUGUUUAUAUGUGUGUUAGUUAUUUACAAAAGUUUUAUGAAUUCAAAUUAGUUAUAACUGAUAUAAAGUCCAUAUUAUAAAAUACAAAUAGUUUUGAAGUUGAGUUUGAAGUUUUGCUUUUGGAGAAGAACACCUUUAAACUUCAAAUAUAGAGUUUUGGAAGCUUCAAAAUAUAAUUCCUUUUUGGAAAUGCUCUAAAAUAACUUGUUUUGGGGUUUGUAAAGCAUUUAAGUAGACAAUUGUUAAUUAGUUUUAAAUUUUUAACUAUUUUUUUUGUAAAUGCAGAAGAUGCAGUUCCAACGACAGAGGAAGCAUCCAUUCUGAUCCACUCUGUGAUUGACUGAAGAAGACUUAAACCACAAAUCAUUUUCAUCGUUGUUGUUGUUGUUUAUGUGACUUGUGAUCUUGUUAUUUCUUUUCACAAAACUCUUUGUUUUCCUAUCGGAAUCUUUUCAAGGCUAACGUUGAAGCCAUCAUGGUUUUUUCUAUUUUCUUAGCUCAUAUUUUAAAAAAAUAAAAAAGUCUGUAGUUAGAUAUGUUUAUGUUCUUGAUGCCUUUUCUCACGAACACAACAAUACACCUAAGGGCAUCUCCAACUCUACUUUGUUUUUCACUCUAAAAUAGAAUUUUAGAGUAAAAAUGUUUCAAUUGUACUAUAUUAAACAGGUUUACUCCAAAUAUAGAAUAAAUUUUUUUUUUUGUUCAUCACUCUAUUUUCUAGAGUAAAAAAUAGAGUAAGCUAUUAGAAAUGAUCUACCUAAAUACCUACGGUUUAACAUCUUCGAGGUUGCAGCUCUAGAAAUUCAUAGAUAAAUAUAAAAAAUCUACCCAAGGAAAGGGGUUAGACUAUGAAUCACUGGAUAACAGAUUCGAUAGAUUUCGCAUACAAUGAAAGAGGAAACAUAUGGUUCUUUAGUUACAAAAAAAAAACAUAUUGUUUUGACCAUUUGGACAAGAAGCUUACAACGAAAACAAAACGAGUUCUUCAACUAUUAAACAAAUUAUGUUAUACAUUUCCCAUUCAAUAGUUAUGUUCAAUAAUUUUUGAGAAUAAUUUUUCUAUUUAGUAAAACUUGAGUUAAUGAAAUGGGUAAGCAAAAAUUAAGUAUUACUAUGUUCUAUAAAAAAAUAUAGGUAAAUUCAUAUAACAAUUCAUUUUGAUUCGUUAUUAUUUAUUAUGAGAAAACAUAUGUUCUAUAAGUAGUGGUGGAGCCAGAAUUUAUUUUUAUUUGGGUAAAAAUUUAAAUAUUAGUAUAUUUAUAAUAUUAAAUUUAUUAAUAUUUUAAUAGUAAAAUAAAUUCUAAAAUAUGAGUUUUAAAACCAUUGAUGAAAAAAUACCAUUGUAAAAUAUAUUUUAUAAUUUGUUAUUAUUUUUUUUAUAAAAUUAGCAAAUGUAAAAAGUGUAAAAAUAUUAUUUUAGUCAUUGUAUUUUGAUUAUUUAGUUAUAUGUUUAUCAAACAAACAAUAUUAUACUAAAUAUGAUGAAUUGUGUAAAAUUAUAUUAAAUUUUUGUUGUAAUAUAAAAAAUGUUAGUAUAUCACUUCAAAACAAUUAACUCUGCAAACAAAUAAUUUGAUAAAUUUAAUUGCUGCAAUCUAUUUGAAGAGUAGAAUUAAAAUUUCAUAAGUUUUCUACGUACAAAGCAAAAUGUAUUAGUCCAAAGUCUUUUAGAUACUGUAAAAUAUCAUAUUGGCUGUAUGUAUCACAUUCAUUAAUUAAUGUAUAAAAAUAAAAUUAUAAAAAUAAUCUCAUUUUUUUACAUCUAAAAAUAAUCUCAUUAAACAAAGAAAAUUAGUAAAUUUACUUGAAUACACAAAACUCAGUUAAGAAAAAAGAAAACCGACCAAAGAGAAAAUGUACUGGGGGCAAGUAAGAUUUUUGAUAUGGGAGCAAAAACUAUUUUACUCUAUAAUAUGUAUUAAAUUAAAAAAAAAUAUUGGGGGGCAAACUGCCUCCCCUCUCAACGUACGUGCCAAACGUUGAAUAGAUUUUUCUAAUUAGUGAUAAAUGUAUUGUUCCUAACUCUUUAUAUAUUAGUUAAUAUCUCACUAAAACGAUGUGGGAUACUUUAUUUCUAAUACAUACUAUAUCAACAUGGUUAAAAGCUUUUGUAUCAUAUUCAAUAAGAAAUUAAACUUGAGGUUGAUACUUUUCAUUCAUACAUAGCAAAAGCCUGAACCUUUUUCUCUCGUAAGAGUAGCAAAUUUAUGAAGCAUUAAGCUUCUUUAGUUUCAGUGGAUUUUUGUUGCCUAAUUGCACAAAAAUUUAGUGGUUCAUUCAUCUUAAUCUCUACCUAUCUGUAAAUUUAGUGUGACGUAGGAAAAAUAUAUUUGUAGAUUCUUCGAGAUAUGAUCAUGUGGUUAGAUUGAUGUUUUGAUACUUGCCACCCAAGUGUCACGUCCCAACUUUUGAAGAAAUAAUGGGCCGAGACCGAGAGGUUUCAGACCGACCAUACUUAAUAUUUUUCUUAAGUGUUAAGCUUGUAAAAUAUCUAAGUAAGGAUAAUAUAAAAUAAUGAUGGAAGUGUGUAGAAUAUUUUAGAAUAAAGUAGCUUAAGGGUGAAGUACUUCAUAGGAAGGAAAAGAUCUGAGCCGUUAGAUCGGUUUGAUCUCCACCAUCCGCUGAGGAGGUGAUUUUAUAUAAAUAGGGGGUGAAGCCUCAUCCGUAAAAUCAUUCACCAUGUUAUAAAACAAAUACUUCCAAAAGCUCUGACUUCUCCCUAAUAAUUUUCGCUAAAAUCAGGUUUUCUUAUCCGUAGAAUACACUUUCUACACUGCAUAGAACCAAAACAGAAAUCCCAUUAGAAGAUUCUAUUUCAUGUAGCCGUUUGAGUAGUGUAUAGAUUUUGUAUUCUUAGAAUGUUAGAAUACUUCAUAAAAGUAGAAACUGCAUUCGUAGAAAAAGUAAAUAAUUUUACAAUUAGUAGAAUUCGUAUUUCUCAUAUUUGAAAGUUUAAUUAAAAAUUGAUUGCUUGUUCUAAAAAAAUUAGAUGAACUUGUUUAGUCUGGAAUUUAAUUUCUACUAACCCAUUUUCCGUAGAAGACACAAUAUACUUUUAGUAGAACAUAUUUAAAAUUUCAAUUUACCAAGUUUUUCAAAAAAAAAAACCAGUUUGUGUAUAUGAGUGUUUUAUCAAUUUUUUGUAUUUUUUAUAAUUUUUAAUUUAUUUCAUUAUUUUUUAGAAAUAGAAAAGAUAAAAAGGAAAAAAAAUGGACAAAAUUGUUUUUAUAGCAAAGAGAAAACCAUGCUGUUUUUUGUUCCGAUUUGACAAUUUUCUCCAAAAAGUUUAACCUCUAAUUGUCAACUCACGUUUUGACAAAAAGUUAAUAUAGUUUUGAUUUCGUAGAAUUUAGAGAAAUUUCAUUAUCAAAAGAAAAUUUAUUUUCUGUUUGAAAAACAAAAAAAAUGUUGUCGAUGGGUAUGAAAAAAAGGAUUAUGAAUGUAUAUAUCUCAUUGUGGGAAGUCAAAGAUUUGCUUCUUUAUAAUAUCCUCCAUUUUUAGCCAAAAUCUUUUUACAUAUAUUCUAUGUUGUAGUCAAAUAAAAAUAUAAAGAAAAUCUCAAAUUCCAUUUCAGUCUUUUCAUUCUUGUGUUUUUAGCCAAAAUCCUUUUAUAAUAUUAUCUAAAGAAACUCUUGUGUUUUUUAUUCAAGAUGGAAGGAGAAUCCUCUAAUGGCCCUCUCAUGCUUGGUGGAGUUUCUGAAGUGGCCUCGACAUCUGGUCAACUUGGUGAUGGUGCUGACAAGGAUGAAAGAUACGCUUUAAAUAUACAAGAUGCAGAGAGUAUGAAAUCUAGGCAACGGCCAAGAAGAAGAAAGAGGAGCUCAAGUUUGAAAAUAGUAGAAGUUGAGCUCAUCUUUCUUCUUGGCUGUUGCAUAGAUUUCAUACUCUCUGCAUCUUGAAUCUUUCGUCCUUCUCAACAUCAUCACCAAGUUGAUCAGAUGUCGAGGCCACUUCAGAAACUCCACCAAGCUUGAGAGGAUCAUUAGAUGGAUUUUUCUUCCAUUUUUAAUAAAAACACACAAGAAUUUCUUUAGAAUAAUAUAUAAAAAGAUUUUGGCUAAAACACACAAGAAUGAAAAAAACUGAAAUGGAAUUUGAGAUUUUGUUUAUAUUUUUAUUUGACUACAACGUAGAAUAUAUGUAAAACGAUUUUGGCUAAAAAUGGAGGGUAUUAUAUAGAAACAAAUCUUUGACUUCCCACAAAGAGAUAUAUACAUUCAUAAUCCUUUUUUUGCAUACCCAACAGCAACAUUUUUUUAUUUUUCAAGCGAAAAAUAAAAUUUCUUUUAAAAAUGAUUUCUCUAAAUUUUACCAAAUCAAAACUACAUUAACUUUUCGUUAAAACAUGAGUUAACAAUUUGAGUUUAAAUUUUUUACUACAUUUUGAUCAAAUAUCUUCAGAGUCUUCCACCAGAAACAAAACUAUAUUGUAUUGCGGAUGUAUCCUGGAAGUCACCAACUGAAAAGAGUUUGAAAAGGAUGGUCCUUAACAAGCAAAGAAGGCUAAUAAUAAAUAUUAAUCUAUUUAUAAUUAAAAUUAAAUAAUUUUUUAAAAAUUUUCUAUUUAAAAAUAAUAUUUUAAAAAAAAAAAAUCUUUUUUUUUAUAGUUUUUGCGGGUUAUCGGAUACCCGCACUGAAUUUUGGCUGACGCGCACCCGCCCCGCAUAAAAAUCACUCAAUCCGCACCCGCAUCCGUGAACCAAAUUUUUAAAAUCACUCGAUCAGCAUCCACCACGCAGCGGAUCAAAUGGAACGGGGCCGCGGAUAAUGAUUCAUAUUCCCAGCACUACACUAGAUAAAUAAAUUUAAUUAAACAAAAUGUUUUUUUUGGCAAAUAACAAACCUAUGUAUUUUUUUUUGGUAGGAAACCUAUGUAUUAGUAACAACUAACAAACAUUUAUUUUCUUGACGUCUUUUGUGUAUUUCUAGCGUUGAUCUUUGCUAUAAUAGCUGAAGAAGUUAUAACAAUUAACUCAAAUGAUCAAUUCUUCAUAUUCCAAGUUUGUUUUAAUUGAUAUCCAUCGGAAUAGCUGCAUAUGUCAUGUAAGUUUUCAUUUUUUUUUUAUAUUUGUUGGUUUCUAUUGCUUAAAAAAAUGAAAUUUUAAUAAACAAAAAAUUAUUUUGGGAUUUCAACAAUCGAUGCUGACAAAUAACUUUUGAAAAAAAACUUCAUAAAUAAGGUUUUCAUAUUUUUCUUUUAAAAAUAAAUAAAUAUUAAUAUGAUUUAAUGCUAUUUUAUUAAAUAACAAAAAAUAAAGCAAAAAUUAAUAUAUUGAAGGGGCAUAUUUUUUAAGUCUAUAGGCACCUGGUAAGUCCGGACCGGCACUGAGUAGGAGUAUGCUAUAAAAGCAGUAUAUAGAAGUAGUAUAUAAAAGCAGUAUGCUGCAAAAACUAUAUGCUUUUGCUAAACUGUUUAAUAAGAUGAUUGGUAUAACAGUAUGAAUAUGCUAUUUUAAAUUAUUAAAAAAAUUAAUCUAUAAUCUAUAAUAUAUUUAUUUUAAUGAAUAUAUUUCGAAUAUAUAUAUAUAUAUAUAUAUAUUAACAUAUAAAAUUAAAAGAUAUANNNNNNNNNNNNNNNNNNNNNNNNNNNNNNNNNNNNNNNNNNNNNNNNNNNNNNNNNNNNNNNNNNNNNNNNNNNNNNNNNNNNNNNNNNNNNNNNNNNNNNNNNNNNNNNNNNNNNNNNNNNNNNNNNNNNNNNNNNNNNNNNNNNNNNNNNNNNNNNNNNNNNNNNNNNNNNNNNNNNNNNNNNNNNNNNNNNNNNNNNNNNNNNNNNNNNNNNNNNNNNNNNNNNNNNNNNNNNNNNNNNNNNNNNNNNNNNNNNNNNNNNNNNNNNNNNNNNNNNNNNNNNNNNNNNNNNNNNNNNNNNNNNNNNNNNNNNNNNNNNNNNNNNNNNNNNNNNNNNNNNNNNNNNNNNNNNNNNNNNNNNNNNNNNNNNNNNNNNNNNNNNNNNNNNNNNNNNNNNNNNNNNNNNNNNNNNNNNNNNNNNNNNNNNNNNNNNNNAAAAAAAUGUUGUCGAUGGGUAUGAAAAAAAGGAUUAUGAAUGUAUAUAUCUCAUUGUGGGAAGUCAAAGAUUUGCUUCUUUAUAAUAUCCUCCAUUUUUAGCCAAAAUCUUUUUACAUAUAUUCUAUGUUGUAGUCAAAUAAAAAUAUAAAGAAAAUCUCAAAUUCCAUUUCAGUCUUUUCAUUCUUGUGUUUUUAGCCAAAAUCCUUUUAUAAUAUUAUCUAAAGAAACUCUUGUGUUUUUUAUUCAAGAUGGAAGGAGAAUCCUCUAAUGGCCCUCUCAUGCUUGGUGGAGUUUCUGAAGUGGCCUCGACAUCUGGUCAACUUGGUGAUGGUGCUGACAAGGAUGAAAGAUACGCUUUAAAUAUACAAGAUGCAGAGAGUAUGAAAUCUAGGCAACGACCAAGAAGAAGAAAGAGGAGCUCAAGUUUGAAAAUAGUAGAAGUUGAGCUCAUCUUUCUUCUUGGCUGUUGCAUAGAUUUCAUACUCUCUGCAUCUUGAAUCUUUCGUCCUUCUCAACAUCAUCACCAAGUUGAUCAGAUGUCGAGGCCACUUCAGAAACUCCACCACGCUUGAGAGGAUCAUUAGAUGGAUUCUUCUUCCAUUUUGAAUAAAAACACACAAGAAUUUCUUUAGAAUAAUAUAUAAAAAGAUUUUGGCUAAAACACACAAGAAUAAAAAAAACUGAAAUGGAAUUUGAGAUUUUGUUUAUAUUUUUAUUUGACUACAACGUAGAAUAUAUGUAAAAAGAUUUUGGCUAAAAAUGGAGGGUAUUAUAUAGAAACUAAUCUUUGACUUCCCACAAAGAGAUAUAUACAUUCAUAAUCCUUUUUUUUCAUACCCAACAGCAACAUUUUUUUAUUUUUCAAGCGGAAAAUAAAAUUUCUUUUAAAAAUGAUUUCUCUAAAUUCUACCAAAUCAAAACUACAUUAACUUUUCGUUAAAACAUGAGUUAACAAUUUAAGGUUAAAUUUUUUACUACAUUUUGAUCAAAUAUCUUCAGAGUCUUCCACCAGAAACAAAACUAUAUUGUAUUGCGGAUGUAUCCUGGAAGUCACCAACUGAAAAGAGUUUGAAAAGGAUGGUCCUUAACAAGCAAAGAAGGCAUUCUCAAAAUUCAAGCACUUAAUAAGUGCUACCAUGUCACCUUUGGUAGCACAAUCAAUUGUAACUAGCUGUUCAACAAAUAAAUCGACUUGGAUAUAUACAAGUUGUGUUUCUAGGUGACUGCGUGGAAUUGCUCAAAAAUUUGGAUCAAAUAGCAAUAGCUAGAAGCGGAAAGGAAGCAAAUAUCAUGACGCAACACCUGUAAUACAAGAUAUCUUAGCUCUAGCAGGAUUGAAUAGAUUUAGUUUUCAUCAAGUACCUAGAAAUUUGGUUCAGUAUUGUUGAUCAUCUAGCUAAGAGAGCCAGGUAUAAAAUUCAAGGAUAUGUAAUAACCUGGUUUUAAGUAUAAGCCAUUGUAAAGGAAUGAAAUGGUAGCAAAAAAAAUAAGACUGGGAAAAUAUAUAGCAUAACUAGUGGCGGAGCCAAAAUUUAUUUUUAUUAGGGGUCAAAAUUUAAAUAUUGUUAAAUUUAUUAAUAUUUUCAUAGUAAUAUAAAUUUUAAAAUAUGAGAUUUAAAAUCAAUGAUGAAAAAAUACCAUUGUAAAAUAUAAAUUAUAAUUUGCUAUUAUUUUCUAUAAAAUUAACAAAAUGUAAAAAGUAUAAAAUAUUAUUUUAGUCAUUGUAUUUUGAUUAAUCUUUGACUUCCCACAAAGAGAUAUAUACAUUCAUAAUCCUUUUUUUUCAUACCCAACAGCAACAUUUUUUUAUUUUUCAAGCGGAAAAUAAAAUUUCUUUUAAAAAUGAUUUCUCUAAAUUCUACCAAAUCAAAACUACAUUAACUUUUCGUUAAAACAUGAGUUAACAAUUUAAGGUUAAAUUUUUUACUACAUUUUGAUCAAAUAUCUUCAGAGUCUUCCACCAGAAACAAAACUAUAUUGUAUUGCGGAUGUAUCCUGGAAGUCACCAACUGAAAAGAGUUUGAAAAGGAUGGUCCUUAACAAGCAAAGAAGGCAUUCUCAAAAUUCAAGCACUUAAUAAGUGCUACCAUGUCACCUUUGGUAGCACAAUCAAUUGUAACUAGCUGUUCAACAAAUAAAUCGACUUGGAUAUAUACAAGGUGUGUUUCUAGGUGACUGCGUGGAAUUGCUCAAAAAUUUGGAUCAAAUAGCAAUAGCUAGAAGCGGAAAGGAAGCAAAUAUCAUGACGCAACACCUGUAAUACAAGAUAUCUUAGCUCUAGCAGGAUUGAAUAGAUUUAGUUUUCAUCAAGUACCUAGAAAUUUGGUUCAGUAUUGUUGAUCAUCUAGCUAAGAGAGCCAGGUAUAAAAUUCAAGGAUAUGUAAUAACCUGGUUUUAAGUAUAAGCCAUUGUAAAGGAAUGAAAUGGUAGCAAAAAAAAUAAGACUGGGAAAAUAUAUAGCAUAACUAGUGGCGGAGCCAAAAUUUAUUUUUAUUGGGGUCAAAAUUUAAAUAUUGUUAAAUUUAUUAAUAUUUUCAUAGUAAUAUAAAUUUUAAAAUAUGAGAUUUAAAAUCAAUGAUGAAAAAAUACCAUUGUAAAAUAUAAAUUAUAAUUUGCUAUUAUUUUCUAUAAAAUUAACAAAAUGUAAAAAGUAUAAAAUAUUAUUUUAGUCAUUGUAUUUUGAUUAUUUAGUUAUAUGUUUAUCAAACAAACAAUAUUAUACUAAAUAUGAUGAAUUGUGUAAAAAUAUUUUAACUUUUUGAUGUAAUAUAAAAAAAAUGUUAGUAUAUCACUUCAAAACAAUUAAUUCUGCAAAAACAAAAUUAUAAAUUUAAUUGCUGCAAUCUAUUUGAAGUUUAGAAUUAAAAUUUUAUAAGCUUUCUACGUAAAAAAUGAAAUGUAUUAUUACAAGUCUUUAAGAUACCGUAAAAUAUCAUAUGGGUCCGUAUGUAUCACAUUUAUUAAUUAGUGUAUAAAGUAAAAUUAUACAAAUGAUCUCUUUUUAAACAAAGAAAAUUAGUAAAUUUACUUGAAUACACAAAACUCAUUUAAGAAAAAAGAAAACCGAGAAAAGAGAAAAUGUACUGGGGGCAAGUAAGAUUUUUGAUAUGGGAGCAAAAACUAUUUUACUCUAUAAUAUGUAUUAAAUUAAAAAAAAAUAUUGGGGGGCAAACUGCCUCCCCUCUCAACGUACGUGCCAAACGUUGAAUAGAUUUUUCUAAUUAGUGAUAAAUGUAUUGUUCCUAACUCUUUAUAUAUUAGUUAAUAUCUCACUAAAACGAUGUGGGAUACUUUAUUUCUAAUACAUACUAUAUCAACAUGGUUAAAAGCUUUUGUAUCAUAUUCAAUAAGAAAUUAAACUUGAGGUUGAUACUUUUCAUUCAUACAUAGCAAAAGCCUGAACCUUUUUCUCUCGUAAGAGUAGCAAAUUUAUGAAGCAUUAAGCUUCUUUAGUUUCAGUGGAUUUUUGUUGCCUAAUUGCACAAAAAUUUAGUGGUUCAUUCAUCUUAAUCUCUACCUAUCUGUAAAUUUAGUGUGACGUAGGAAAAAUAUAUUUGUAGAUUCUUCGAGAUAUGAUCAUGUGGUUAGAUUGAUGUUUUGAUACUUGCCACCCAAGUGUCACGUCCCAACUUUUGAAGAAAUAAUGGGCCGAGACCGAGAGGUUUCAAACCGACCAUACUUAAUAUUUUUCUUAAGUGUUAAGCUUGUAAAAUAUCUAAGUAAGGAUAAUAUAAAAUAAUGAUGGAAGUGUGUAGAAUAUUUUAGAAUAAAGUAGCUUAAGGGUGAAGUACUUCAUAGGAAGGAAAAGAUCUGAGCCGUUAGAUCGGUUUGAUCUCCACCAUCCGCUGAGGAGGUGAUUUUAUAUAAAUAGGGGGUGAAGCCUCAUCUGUAAAAUCAUUCACCACGUUAUAAAACAAAUACUUACGAAAGCUCUGACUUGUCUCUAAAAGUAUUCACAUUUUCUCUCUGUAAGUGCUGAUCGAGUUUAUCCGAAAGGAUGACUUAGUAACCACAAGGGUGAAAAGGUACUAAGGCCGUACAUCCUGAUUGCUGCGAUAAAUCAGUCCGUGACACAUGGCUGCUCAAUAUUUCCGUUUUAAUGUAAGAGAGUAAGAUGCACCAAACAUUCUAAUUGGUGAUUAGUUUCAUGAGAGGAAAAAAAGAGGAAACUUUGCCAAAACGGAAUAAAAAAAUAUAGUUGUCCAUUUGAUAUAUAUCCAUCGUUAAUUAUCCUUUGAGUAUAUUUUUCAUAAUUUCAAAACUAUUAAUUGAUUAAUAAAACUAAACACAAUAAACACUAUUUAAAGAUUUAAUUGAAUUGUGAAAAGUUUAAUGAAAAAAAUGUUUGAAAAACGUUAAAAUUUAAAAGUUUAAUUUUUUUAUUAAAAAGUUUAUAAAUGUUUUAAACUUUUUACAAAAAUAAUUUUUUUAAAAAGGUUUACGAAGUUUUAUUUUUAUUUCUGUACAAACGUUUUAGAAGUGUUAAAAUUAAAGAAAAAUAUUUCUUUUUAUUAAAAAGUUUAAUAAAAAAUUAAGAAACGUUUUUAAAUAAUCUUUUUGAUAAAAAGUCUAAUAAAAUGAAAAAAAAUGCAUACACGUUUUAGGGAAGUUAUAAUAUUACAAUUUUUUUUUUGAUAUUUAUGACAAGAUAAAUCAACCUAUACACGUUUUAGGGAACUUAGAAUAUUAUAAAUACUUUUAGAAUGUUUUCUUAACUGAAACUUCCAUAAUUUUCGCCAAAAUCAGGUUUUCUUAUCCGUAGAAUACACUUUCUACACUGCGUAAAACCAAAACAGAAAUCCCAUUAGAAGAUUCUAUUUCAUGUAGCCAUUUGAGUAGUGUAUAGAUUUUGCAUUUUUAGAAUGUUAGAAUACCUCAUAAAAGUAGAAACUGCAUUCGUAGAAAAAAUAGUUAACUUUACAAUUAGUAGAAUUCGUAUUCCCCAUAUUUAAAAGUUUAAUUAAAAGUAGAUUGCUCGUUCUAAAAAAAUUAGAUGAACAUGUUUAGUCUCGAAUUCAAUUUCUACUAACUCAUUUUCCGUAGAAGACAAAAUAUACUUUUAGUAGAACGUAAUUUAAAAUUUCAAUUUAUCAAGUUUAAAAAAAAAAAAAUAGUUUGUGUAUAUGAGUGUUUUAUCAAUUUUUUGUAUUUUGUAUAAUUUUUUGAUUUAUUUCAUUAAUUUUUAGAAAUAUAAAGGGUAAAAAAGAAAAAAAAUGGACAAAAUUGUUUUUAUAGCAAAGAAGGCAUUCUCAAAAUUCAAGCACUUAAUAAGUGCUACCAUGUCACCUUUGGUAGCACAAUGAAUUGUAACUAGCUGUUCAACAAAUAAAUCGACUUGGAUAUAAACAAGUUGUGUUUCUAGGUGACUGCAUGGAAUUGCUCAAAAAUUUGGAUCAAAUAGCGAUAGCUAGAAGCGGAAAGAAAGCAAAUAUCAUGACGCAACACCUGUAAUACAAGAUAUCUUAGCUCUAGCAGGAUUGAAUAGAUUUAGUUUUCAUCAAGUACCUAGAAAUUUGGUUCAGUAUUGUUGAUCAUCUAGCUAAGAGAGCCAGGUAUAAAAUUCAAGGAUAUGUAAUAACCUAGUUUUAAGUAUAAGCCAUUGUAAAGGAAUAAAAUGGUAGCAAAAAAAAACGACUGGGAAAAUAUAUAGCAUAACUAGUGGCGGAGCCAAAAUUUAUUUUUAUUGGGGUCAAAAUUUAAAUAUUGUUAAAUUUAUUUAUAUUUUAAUAGUAAUAUAAAUUUUAAAAUAUGAGAUUUAAAAUCAAUGAUGAAAAAAUACCAUUGUAAAAUAUAUAUCAUAAUUUGCUAUUAUUUUCUAUAAAAUUAACAAAAUGUAAAAAGUAUAAAAAUAUUAUUUUAGUCAUUGUAUUUUGAUUAUUUAGUUAUAUGUUUAUCAAACAAACAAUAUUAUACUAAAUAUGAUGAAUUGCGUAAAAAUAUUUUAACUUUUUGAUGUAAUAUAAAAAAAUGUUAGUAUAUCACUUCAAAACAAUUAAUUCUGCAAAAAAAAAUUAUAAAUUUAAUUGCUGCAAUCUAUUUGAAGAUUAGAAUUAAAAUUUUAUAAGCUUUCUACGUAAAAAAUGAAAUGUAUUAGUACAAGUCUUUAAGAUACCGUAAAAUAUCAUAUGGGUCCGUAUGUAUCACAUUUAUUAAUUAGUGUAUAAAGUAAAAUUAUACAAAUGAUCUCAUUAAACAAAGAAAAUUGGUAAAUAUAUUUGAAUUAGGGCUAUUCAAUAUGGUAAAACCGAACCGUACCGAACCGAACCGAACCGAAAUAGACAAUAUGGUUUGGUUUUGGUAAUACCAUAUAAACCGAAUGGAUAUAAUAUUAUAAAAACCGUAGGAUUUGGAUAUGGUUUGGUAUAUAACCGAUUAAACCGAAUAAACCGAACAAAACCGAUUAAAAGUAGAAACACGUAAAUAUGUAUCUAUUUUAUAAUAAUACAUAAAAAUCUAUUUGUUACAUAAGUUAAAUUUGUGUUAAUAACUAUUACUAUAAUUUUAUAGUAAUAAAGAGCCUUAAUUUGUAAAACACUUGAACUAUAAUUAAAUAACAAUACAUCGCAAUUUAGACAUCUUAUUUUCUAAGUCUUCUUUUGAUCUUUUUGGUUUAUUUUAGUCUUCACUAAAUUAAUAUGAAGAUUAUAAAUUUGAUGGACAAUAAUUAAUGGAAAAUUUUUACAACUUUUUUCUUAUCUGUAAACAAACAGAAUUUCAUGUUCAAUUGAAAAAGCAUGACUUUAAUGAAAAAUAAAUAAGAAAGAGUGAAAAAAACUUUUCUUUCAUAUUUCUGUUUUGUUUCAUAUUUUUAUUUUCAAAAUUUCAAGCUUUGAUUUUAGUUAUAGAUUUGAUUAUUUUAUUUGAUGGUAGAAGCAUUUUUACUUUUUUGUUCAUUUAUUUGAACAUGUAAUAUAUUUUUAAUAAAUGACUGUGUUGACAAUAUGACUCUAAAAUUCGAUUGAACACCCCUAAUUUGAAUACACAAAAAUUAGUUAAGAAAAAAGAAAACCGAACAAAGAGAAAAUGUACUGGGGCAAAUAAGAUAUUUGAUAUGGAGGCAACAACUAUUUUACUCAAUAAUCCCCUAUAUAUUAUUUGAGAAGCGUUGCAACAUUUUUUGUAGCCAUAUAUCAUCACAAGAAUGAUUCUUAGAAUCCUUAGAGAAAUAUGUUGGUCCAUCUAAAUAUAUAAUAAAUUUUUUAUUAAACCACAAUAAAUACUUUAUUAAUGUGCUUCAUUAUUUCCUUAAAUAAGAUUACGGAAUUGCCUAAUGUGGCUAAAGUAUAUAUGACAAUUAAUGAUUUUAAAUAAUAAAGAUUUGAUAAAAAUAAGUGUGUAUUAUAAUUAUAUAUGUUUAAUUUUAAGCCAUUAAAAUAAAUUAAACAAUCAUAGUAACCAUAUAAUAAAAAUUUAAAAAAUAAUUUAUAUAUUAUAUUUUGAAUUUUUAAAAAUGAGUAUAAAUUACUAAAACUGUUAAAAGUUUCACAUUCAAAUUUUGUGAUCUAUGAUUUAAAACUUUUGUUAUGACAUGAUACAAAUAAUUAAAAAAUAUAAGUUGAAAGUCUCAUUUAAUAAGUAUCAAAAAUAAAAGAUAUAUAAAUAUAUGUAUCAUUUUAAAUUAAACUAUAUGCUAUAUAAAAAUACAUAAAUAUCUUAAUUUUGAAAUUUACUUUGAACAUUUUUUGAUAAAAAAUUGAAAAAAUAUUGACAACUAAAAUUUUUAAAAUAUUAUAAAUUACUUAAACAAUUAAUCUCACAGUGAAAAUUUUGUUAUCGAGACUUUUUGCUAUAACAGAUACAAAUGAUAAAAAAAAAUAUGAGCAAAAAACAUCAUCUAAUAAAUAUUAAUAUUAAAUAUAUCAUAUAUAUGUUACUAUCAUUUAAACUUAAUUAUAUAUCAUAUCAAAUAGAAAAAAUAUUUUUUCGAAUUAUAAAAUUUAUUUAUAUGUCCGUACCAAUUUAUUUAUAUAAGUAGUAGAUAAUGACUUUUUAAUUAUUCAAUAUAUAUUUAUUAUUUCAUAAUAUGUUAUAAAUACAUAAUAUAUAAAAUAAUUUAUAUAUAUAAUGUUCAUUCCGCGCAAGGCGCGGAUAACCUAGUAUGUACUAAACUAAAAAAAAUUUUGGGGGCAACUGCCCACACUUCUCAACGUACGUGUCUCCAGAUAACAUCUUCCAAAAUAUUUGAAAAACACUUCACUUUGAUAAAAUAAAAGUGUCGUGGUUUUUUUUUGGUAAAAAGGUGUCAUUGUUAUUUUCUUAAACAUGGUGUUUCUGUUGUCAUUUUCUCUAAUUACUCUUAACAUGUUGCAGAAGAACAUCAUGAUCUAGAUAGCUUUCAAAGGUGUAGUGGCUCAACAGAAGAGCCAAGGAUCGCAUAAGAAUGUGAGAAAAAAUCGGUUGUCCUUCACCAGCUUCAGAAGAACAAGAAGCUGACCAGAAUCCAAAUGAAGAAAGUGACCACAAUCCAAACGAAGAAGAUGAUGAACAAGAAACCAACAACACCGAGCCUCCAUGUAGUGGGUGGGUGUUUUGUUUCACACCUGAUUAAAGUUGUUCGGUGGGACCCAUUAUUUAUCAGUAAUGGAAGUUCCUGCUAUUUCAGAUUAUUUGAUUAAUGAAAAGAUUUGUUGAUUAAAUGUUUCAGUGUAAUUUGCAAAAUAUCUUUUAGUAUCUUCCAGUAUUUUUGUAAGUAACUUAAUAAAUGCAUAAUAACAAAUUAGCAACACAUAAAUAAAAAAUCACGGAAAUUAAGUAAAUUAAAAAAUAUUUAUUGUAUUACUUCAACCAAAAAAUAGACAUGAUUAUUCCAGUACAUUACUAACACAAGAAACUUCAAAUCAUGUUGUAUAAACAAAUUAAAUGAAUAAUCAAAGAAUAAUUUCAUGAUAUAAUAAAAGUAUGUUUUAAAAGUAUAUAUUAUUAUAUGCCUUCUUCUUCUUCUUUAGCUCCAUCACUGCCGGAUCCAAUCGUCGUCGUCUCCGUCUCCGGCCUGAUCUCCUCCAACUGAUUGACCACCUGAAUCGCUUCUGGCCUCGCCGCAGGCGACGGAUCAACACAAUGCAAAGCCAAUUUCAACGUAUUGAGAAGCUCGUCACCAACGGUUUGGGUCUCCCUCAUAAGCUCAAGAUCGAACACUUCAUUGGUCCACUCCUCCUUCACGAUCGACGCCACCCACUGAGGCAAAUCCAUCCCGCUCGUCGGCUCUCCCGGAGAUUUCCCCGUCAAGAGCUCCAGUAUGAUGAUCCCUAAGCUGUACACGUCCGUCUUCGUGCUCGCGUUCUUGAUUUUCGAGAACUCCGGCGCUCUGUAUCCGAGAGUUCCGGCGGUUGCGAUCACGUUGGUGGCGGCGGCGGCUGUCAUGAGGCGGGAGAGGCCGUAGUCGGCGAUGUGUGCGUUGGUCUUCUCGUCGAGGAGGAUGUUGCUGGCCGUGAGAUUCUCGUGGAUCAUGUUCUCGUUCUUGUGAAGGUGAGCUAAGCCGCGGCUGAUCCCUUUCGCUAUCUUCAUCCUUGUUUGCCAUGGAAUUAGGGUUUCUGGUCCUCGUGCUGUUGAUUUUCAAUUCCCAAAUUCAAAAUCAGAAUAAUUCCCCAAAUCAAAUCAAAGUUAAGGUUUUUUUUUUUUAUGUUGUUGUGCUUACCGUGAAGAAACGCAGAGAGGGAGCCUUUAGACAUGUAAUCGAAGACGAGGAGCUUCUCUCCUUUAGGUCCUAAGUAGUAAGCUCUUAGUGCAAGUAGAUUGGCGUGUCGAAUCUUGCCUAAAGCUGUGACCUCUGCUUCGAACUCUUUGACCCCUUUGGUUGUUUUCUCUCUCAGCCGUUUCACAGCGACCUCGUUUCCGUCUUCCAGUGUCGCCUUGUAUGCUGUGCCGUAAGUGCUUUUCCCCAUGAUCUCAGCCGUGGCGCAGAGGAGGUCGUCGGCAGUGAACACAAACGGACCAUCGAAAUGGACUAGCUUUCCUCCCAUCUCACCUCCUGCUGUUGCUGCAGCAGUUGCGGUUGCUGUCUUUGCGGUGAUCUUGUCCUUGCCGUCUUUUUGUUUCAAGGCUGCACGUUUCUUGAUCAGACAGCAGAGUAAUAUGCAGCACAAGAGAAGGAGAAGGGCUAGAAGAGCUCCUAUGGUGAUUAGGAUUAUAUCUUUGACCGAGAGUUUUCUGUGGUGUUUUCUUGGUUUUUGUGGUGAGGUAGGUGAAAGGGUGGGAGGGUGAUGAGGUUUAGGAGAAGGGCAGGGAGUCGAGGAACUGUAGCCACAGAGCUGAAUGUUUCCCACGAAAGAGCUUGAGUUGAACUUUCUGGAGAGGAUAGGCGGGACAGGACCAGAGAGCGUGUUGAAGGAGACGUUGAAUGAAGAAAGAUUCGCCAGGUUGGCUAGAGAGGGAGGGAUUAGACCUGUGAAGUUGUUUUCAGACAGAUCAAGUUGUCUGAUUCCAGAUAUGUUCCCGAUUCUCUCUGGGAUGGGACCAUUGAUCUUGUUUCUCUUGAGGUUAAGCACUGUCAGGUUGUGCAGUCUAUCGAUGGCAUCUGGGAUGGUUCCGUUGAUUGAGUUGUAAGACAAAUCAAGGCUCUGAAGGUGUAGAAGAGCCCCACAUUCCUUGGGAAUGGAACCAAAGAGCUGGUUAUGGCUUAAUGAAACCUCUUCCAGCAUGCUCUGCUUGCAGAGGGACAAGGGAACAGCUCCAGAGAAGAGAUUGUGGUCUAGGUUCAGCUUUUUGAGAGGGUGAGAGCCAUUAACUAAAAAGUCUGGUAUGGAGCCAGAGAGGUUGUUAUGCCCAAGGUCAAGAAAAGUGAGGGUAUGUGAUCUGGGUAUCAUAACCGGAAGGGGGCCGGAGAGUAAAUUGAAGCUGAGAUUGAGCCUAUAGAGCCUGGUGGACUCAGCAAGACUAGCCGGGAUCAUACCAGAUAGCUGGUUGUUGCUAAGAUCAAGAUUCUGGAGAAGAGGACAGUUUCCAAGUGAAGCUGGGACUGAACCAGAGAGACGGUUGUUGAAGAGAUAGACUCCAUGGAGGUUCUUGAGAUAGCCAAGGGAACGGGGAACCGAACCGGCGAUGACGUUGUCGUGGAGGCUAAGUUUUCUGAGAUUCUGAAGCUGUCCGAUCUUCUCAGAGAUAGUGCCACCGAGUCCUUUCCAUGGGAGCUGAAUGGCUACCACUUGGCCUCGAAGGCAUUUGAUUCCAGCCCAUCCGCCGGAGCAAACACUGGUGGUGGAAGAGUCGUUCCAGCUUCUGAGAACUCCGGUGAAGUCGAUGAGUUCGUGUUUGAUUGCUUGGAGCGCCUGAUAGUUUCCCUGAGUCACCACGAUCCCAUCCCAGGAGUGACCACCACCUCCACCACCUGCAACAGCUUGAGCAGACAAGAGUAAGAGACACAAGAAGAUACUCGUGCAAAAAUGGAAACUAAUUUCAUAAAUCCGAAAUGGGUUUUUGUGAAGCUGAUUCAUUUCUAAACUAUCAAAGUAAAAAGAAAAAAGAAGGAAAAAAUGAAAACAGAAGAAGAAAGAUGAAGAAGAGCAGCAGAGUUAUAGUUCUUUGUUGUCUUCUUCUUUUCGUUUGUUUUUGGAUGACAGCAAAGAAUGAGAGUUAGAGAGAAAGAAGUUUGAUUUUUAGUGAGAGAGGGAAAUGAAUUUGUGAAUGAGUGAGGUGUUGAGGCCAAGAGUAAUUAUGGUGAGAGUGGAGGAAGAAGAAGACAAAGACAUAAGUUUUGUUUAUGUUUAUUGUAACGGCUAGUUUUACUUCUUCGGCCAAACAAAAAGAAACGGGAAGCGAGAGAAACAUGACCAACGGCUAUAAAGCCAUUUCGACCGUUUUAAUCUUAAUGAUUUAAUUAAAAUGUCUCGAUAGUCGUUGGAUGGUACAGAGAUUGUGACCGUGGGGGUCGUCCUAAUAAUAAUUGUUCCAAACUCGCUAAUCUAUAAUUCUAUUUUUAUGUUCAGACAACAACAAACUAAAAAGAUUCUAUCCUAUGACUCGGUCAAAAGUUUGACACUUUUUCGGCCACAUCAACACUACCAGCAAUAGUAAACACAUAUGUAUACACGGUAACAUUCCAAAAUCCAUAACGUGGCCCAAUUCAAGCCCAACUCCAUCGGCUUGAAAAUUCGGUGAUUCGGAAUAGGAUGUCAAAUUGGAUUUUCCGGAGUAUAUCCAGUUGAUUUGUUCGAGUGAAAGGUUUAUGGUUGUAUAGUAAAAGAUUGAAAAAUUUAUACUUACAGACACAUUCUCACUUUUCAUUUACACAUAAAGACACUUUCUGCAUGACACACAUUUUUUUUAGAUGGUUUGUCAUUUCUACCCUCAACUAAGCUACCAAAAUACAUUUCUAUUUUCCUAACUAAACACAAAUUGUCCGGUUACCAAACAAAUAAAGUAAAAAUAUACAAAAAGAUUUAUUCUCUCUCCUCUUUCGAUUUACGAUUGACUUUCAAAAUCACUUUCCCAAUUUUAUGAACCCUAAUCGUGACAAUUUCUUUUCUUCCUCUCCUUCCUCUCUAUGCGCUCUAUUGACGUCACUGGUAACGGAGGCGUCGUCGCCGUCAGGAUCUGUUCUCUCGAAUCCUAUCUUCAUCAACAAGCUCUUCUUACCUCUCGUUCCAUCUCUCAGCCAUGGAGUUACCAAAUCUCGUUCGUCGAAUCAAAAGUGACGUCUCCAAAGUCACUGAACUCACCUCCAUCAAACCCUUUGAGCUCCUCCGUGGAUACUGAAGCCAGUUUGGGUAAGUGAUUUUCAUCGAAAUCGGUGGCCAAAUCCCCUCCUCACACUACACCUUCAGCUACAAAGGUUUUGGGUUCUUUGGCUUUCAAUUUUUACGUAUCAGUCGCUGAAGCUUUCACUUUGAACAUCUUCCCCAUAUUCUUCUUCUUUUUUUCAUCCAUAAAAUCCAAAGCACAAUGGGGUUGUGAUUCUGUUUUGUGAUUCUGUUUGCUUUAAAAAACACCAGAUUCUUCUUCUUCUUUUUUUCACACAAUGAGUUUAUGGAUAUGCUCUGUGAUGUUUCUAUUAGAGAUUUUACGGAUGAUGUAAACUCUUGUUUGUUGACUAUUAUAAAUCCUUCAUGAUUUUUAAGUGUUUACAUAAGAGCUUCGUAAUACAAUCGGCCCUUCUCUGUUUACUGAACAUGCUAUUUUUGUUUGGUUAAUUGGAUUUAGGAUGUGUUUUCACUCAUGAAAACAGAGGAGAAGAGACAAAAGUUCACAAACUCUAGAAUUUUUUGUAAGUAAAUCCGGAGAGAUGUUGCAUCCACAUAUUAAAACAGAUAUUGUGUUGCUUUGUUCUAAGGACACAACAACUCUGCAGAUGUCCGUUCAUACUUUUUUGUAUCAAUGUCCACAAAUUUAGUCAUACUGACUAAGGAAAGAAAAACCAUUAAAAGCUUUGUUGGACAAAGUUAUAACCUCCAACCUCUUAAAACAAGUUCUCAACUACGAACACAAACAAUUUUUGUGUUUGAGUUUUUCAAAGUUUUUCACAUUUUUUAUCCAUCAAUGUCCACAUCUUUUUUUUGUUUAUAUAUUUUUCCUAUAUGUUUAGAUUUUUCUCAUCCACACUUUUUAUGUCCAUGCAUUUAUUUAUAUAUAUUCUAAAAUAUAUAAAAAAUAUGUAUGAAAAUAGAUCUUAAAAUAUAGAAAAAAAGAAAAUAUAAUUUAUUGUAACAAUUAUAUUUGUUUUGUGUAUCGUAAAAUCUGAGAAAAAUCAAAUCAAAAAUAGAUAAGGAAAUGAAUAAUAAUAAAAAUAUAAAGCAAUGGUCGUAAAUUGACACUUUAUCCUGUACAUCAACGUUAAUAAUUUCAGACGCCUAACUAGAUAGAAAACUCCAGAUGUCUAACUAAACAAAAUAAAACAAUUACACUCAUUUGUUUUCUGUCGCUGAGAAAAUGGUAUUCAUGUCAAAAAGACAUCUAGAAAACCGUGAAUGUGUGCCUCCAGCACAUUGUGUCUUAUAGUGUCAAAAAAGAUAAAAAUGUGUCUUAAAGAGAAAUCAACUAGAUUUAAGGACUCUUCUUGCCAGAUAAUAAAUGGAAGAAACAUCUUAUGUGACCAAGGAUCAUGGUUGCUUGGUCCACAAUUAAUCUGGCUAAAUACGCCGCUUCGGUGAUCAUGCAAACUCAUAGUUGGAAUCAAACCGUUUGUAAGUAGGAGAACCAACCUAGUGUUCAAGAACAAUCUCAGAAAUGAGAAGCAAAUCUGAUAGGGACAUAAGUAGAAAGUGAAUAACAAAAGGGAAGCUCCUAUCAAAGCUAAUACUUAUUAGACAUUGCUACUACAAGCAAGCAUAUGACGGGCGGAUUUAAAAACGUUUCUAAUCGGGGGCACAAUAUUAGAGACAGUAAGAAAAAGCUGUGAUGAGGGCACAUUUUCAAUUUUCUUCAGUAAACUAACAGUAGUUCAUCAAAUUAAUUUAUGUUACUUAAGAAAAAAUAAAAAUUAGUAGGGGCACGUGACCCGUGCCCUUGUUAGUGCAUCCACCUGCAUAUCUCCAAAAACAAUUCUAAGGUUUUAAAAAGAGAAAAUGACUAGGAUAAAUAUAGCCUCUAAGAAUAAAAAUGACCAAAAUAGCACUUAAUGUUUUAUCAAAAGAAAUAAAUAUACACUUAUACUCCAAUGGUAAAUUAAUUUAGACGUUAGGGUUUAGAGUUAAGGGGUGGGGUUUAGGGCUUAGGGUUUAGAGUUUAGUGUUUACGGUUUACGGUUUAGAGUUUAGGUUUUAGGGUUUAGAGUUGGGUUUUGGGGAUAAGAUUUCAAAUUUUGAAAAAUAAAAUAAAAUUAAAUUUUUCAGAAGAUAAAAUGUUAUUUUGGUCAUUUUAGUUUUUGAGAGCUAUUUUUGUGACAUAAACUUAGAAAGGUGUUAUUUUGGAGAUUUUCCCUUUUAAAAACCUAUGGCCAUGCUUUGGAUUAAUCAUCGACGUUGAUUCGGAUUUGAACAUAAAAAAAGGAAUCAAGAAUCAAAUUUUUUUUAAGCUCCUCCCUCUUUGUUGAAUAAUUGUGUUACAAGUCAAACGAGAUGGAUUAAAGUUAAAAUGGUCUGCUUAACCGAUGAUUGCAUAAUGGUUAAUUUACUCGGGAAUAAUGGUCAGAUCGACUAACUCCGCCAAAUGUAAACACAUUUUGCUCAACUUUUUAUUUACCAAAUAUUUACACCCAAAAAUUUAAUACAAUCUAUAUCCUCAUCACUGAGAAGAAUAAAUCAACUCGGAAGGCAUCAACGUGAAAAACCAUGAGUUAUGACAAUAAAACAGGGAACGUUGGAAAAACAGAUCCUAUAAUACACUCACAAACCUGUCUAAGUAUAAAAUACAAAGCUCUUCAAAGGUUUUGUCCACGGAGUUUGAGACUUCGAUGAUAAAGUUACAUAUAGAUAAAUUCUACAGCAAAAAUAACAUACAAGAAGGAAAGAAAAAAACACAGCCCAAAACAAACAAGUUCCAUAUAUAUUUUUCUUCUGUGGGAGAGAGCGUAGGAGAUAAAACAAGUUAGAAAAGCUAUACUUGUUCCUAUAACGAUCUAAAGAGCAUGUGUUUUUGCGAGAUCAGAUCAGAGCUACAAGGGAGGGAACUCGUGAUCAUCCGCCAAAUAGUAUGACUGCAAAGGUGUUCCCCUAAAUAUACAUAUACCCACAAUGAGUUAGACACAAUGAAGUGGAUUUGAUGAAUAGCCAAAUAAAGGUAAUAAGAGAUUGUACCGAUCUUCCUCCGUGGAGGAGGGUAUAGAUGUUGGGCGAUGUGACUGAUUAUAAUAACCUUCAACGCUCAGGUCACUCUGACUACUGCCCUCGGGAGGGGAGCGUAGCUCAGCCUCCGUAGAUCUAAAAUCUGGAGCCAUCUCAUGUUGAUGAUUUACAGACCCAUUGGUAUCAGAGAAGCUUUCAAACGAAUCAACUUGACUCAUAUCACUAGAACCAUUUGCUUGGUUGGAAUGAUGUUGAUGAUGAAGCUGUUGACGACGAUGGUCAGAGUGAAAAUGUGCCAUGCUACGGCCAUUGUUACGUGGCGACCUAGUUUGGUUUGAGUUUCUUCUUGGAGGGAACGGUCUAUCUCUGUAAAAGUUCUGCACAAAAGAGACAUUAAGAGGCUUGUUCUGACAUUGUCAAAAACGGAAGCAUAAGUAAUUUACCGCAUUGGGAAAGUACGUCCCAGUUCCUCGUGGCUUGGGCAAUUCCUCGAUACCAAAAUUAGCAUUUGGAAUCAUCUGAGGGUUCAUAUGAAAGAAAACUUGUCUCGGAACAACUCCGUUAACGUUUACUGGUCCUCCGGGGGCAUUCCGUCCGAAUGGCAAUGCGUGUCGAACUACUUCCCAUGAAUUGUUGUUCGGAAGUCCAUGAGGAGAUAGUGGAGACAAAGGACCGUUUUGGACAUAUUCAAACCACCAACGCCCAUACCGUAAACUGUUAAGCUGGCUCUCAUAAUCUCCUGUGAGGUCAGACAACAAACUUGGGGUGUCCGAAACAGAAUGACCAGAAUAUUGAAGAUGCAUAUCCUCUUGUAUCACAGCUACUGGAUCCAUGAGUGAGGUGUUAUGCACUGAACCUUCAUGACCAACAUGGUCGUUCACGUUCUCAUUACUAUGCACCCUUUUGGAAAAAUUCUCCACCCCUUUUCCAUUUAAUACUUCACCAUUACUGAUGUGAUGAUGUUUACCAUUCAAAGGAGAGACACUUUCCAUAGCAUCUUCGGAAAUUUCAAGCUUUUGAAAGCUCACACUAGCCAACUCUUCUUUUGCAUCUCCAGAAGGGGUUGUUUCAACAUGUAAUCCGCUUACAUCAAGCCUAGAUGUACUCAAUACAUUGGGUCCUCCUGCACACAACAAGUCUUCCUGGUCAUGUCUACCAUUCCCAGCAGCAGCAGCAGCACCAGAUGAACUAGAAGAUUCCGAUUCAUAAGCCAUUUGACCAUCUUGGAAAUGGUUGGCAGCAGAAGCAUGCGACCUAUGGAACCUUACGUAGGGAACAACAUCAGGCCUCUGGCCACUUCCAUGUCGGUGUAGCAUGUUUGAGAAGAACUUACGAAGCUCAAAACUUAUGUCUUCUUCUGACUGCAAAAAGAUUUGCCCAAGCUUUCGAGCACCAUAUGUGAAUGCACUUCUUAUGCGAUAGAAGUUACCUGAAGUAAGACAAAGUAAUAACCAUCCACCUUACAAUUUUACCGAAACAGAGUAUUCUAGAUCAUAAAACUCCACGGACAGAACAUACUAAGUUUAACGAUUAAAAAAUCUAGUGAUGGUUGGAGAAAAAGAAUUAGCAGUAAACCUUUGCUAACGCUGCGGCCAAGAUUGUUAUUUUCCUUAAGUGGAUCAAUUAUAUUGAGAUGCCUCACUGGAAACACACGUGGGUUUGUCUCAAAUCCUCUUGAAGGUACAGAGUACAACUCCAAACAUUCCUUGAGGAACUCACUUGUCAGCAGUAGAUCUUUCCCGCCAUUUUCUGGAGUCUCAACUACAAUAAGAAAAAAGAAAGAAAUGCAGACACUGAAAUUAAAAAAUAAUAAUCUCAGUUUAUAAUAACUUGUGGAAAUGCUUACCAACGAUUUCUGGUAGUGAUAGUGAGGAAAGGAUGACUGGACCACUCAGGCUAAUGCAAUAGUUAUCCCAGUCAAACUUGCUGAAGUAGUCCAAAAAUUUGUAUAAAACCUAUAGAAAACAAAAGCUUUUGUAAAUCAAAGAUGAGACUUUAACCAUGAUUCCUCUCUUCAAAAUGUACAUUCUUACAGCCAGUGGGCCAUCCAACGAUGAGUGGAAGAGAUGGAAAAUAUAUAAGACCAACGUCUCCAGAGCAUAUGUUGAGAUCAAUCCAUGUAGAGCCCCAAGAAUACGGCUCUCAUAGUAGCACCAAGCUUUGAUGAGUAUGAUACUUUUCUUGAAGAGAUGGUCCUUUCCAAUGAGGUGAUCGAUCUGCGUAAUCAAAUCGUCAACGUCAAUCUUUGCCUUCUACUAUUGCAUCCUAUGAAAAUGCUCUUUAAACAUGUUAUUACACGCAUGUGACAUUGCAAAAAUUUAGAAUAUUUAAGAAAAUCUAUUGAGUUAACAGAAAACAAUUCAUGCAAUUGAUAUAUUGAACAGAUAAUAAAGCAUUAAUAUAUAUAUAUAUAUAUUUAUCAUUAAAAAGGUUAGUUAAAUUUGUUAGACACAGCAUGGUGAUACUGAAGAGGGGCAUAUUACCUUCUCGAGAAAGCACAAAGUACAAAUCCCACCGAGCUGAUUGAAAGAGAUAUCUACCACAAUGUUCUGCACCAGACAUUUAACAAGCUUAACCUGCAAACAAAUAAGAAAAGCUUGCUACUUAAGAGAUUACCAAAAAAAAAGAAAAAAGAUCAACAUGCAUAAACACUUAACUCACGACAGAAACUAGUUUAUAUUUUAAAAUAUAAAUCCUGAAUAAGACAGAGAGUUGAUAAGCGAACCUCAGCUCGUAUUAACUGGACAUCCUUAAUCAUAAACUGAGCACCCACAUUAUGUUCCUCCCUCUCAAGUACAGUGAAAACUUGGUGGGCCAAAUCUUCCUCGUGACACGGUCCACCAAAAGCUGUGAGAUCAAUAUCUCCAUCAGGAAGAUACGUUUUCAAUGGGACUGAUCCAAAAGAAUGUACCUGAAACACACACACAUACUAAAUAAAGUUAUACAAAGAAAGCCAUCAACAUAAGAAUCACAAAACACAGUAUUGAUAAGAAUCCACAUGUCAAUGCAUAGACAAAGGCCAGUGUUAUAAAGAUAUUAACAGAGGAGGUUUCAAGAGAACGAACCUCACAACCAAGAGUCAUUCUGAUUAGUCUUUGCAUAUAAUCAAUUACAUCUCUUCUUCGAUCCUCUGACACAAGUGUUGGAUGAACAUGCUCUAUAAUUUCACGGGUGGCUUCCUCAACUCUGUUCCAGAACUCGGGCUGAACUGGGAGAGACCGAGGAGGCGGCUGAAAUGAGGAUGAAGUCUCUUCCAUUACAGACCAAUCAUCAAGAUCCGCCGCCAUGAAAGAGUAGAACAAAAAAAAAAGAAAACCUGCUACAAAAAUGUACCAAACACAAAAACUAAUCAUUACAGCAUAUGAUCACUUAAACUCAACAUCACAAAAUAGACGAAACUCGAAUAAACACCCAUUGGUUUUUUCUAAACUUGCAUAGAUGAAACCGCUACGAGUUCUAACACGAAAUUAACAAAUAAUUUUGGAAAAGUGUGAUUUGAAAAUUCAAUCCGAUUUAACAUAAGGAUUCAGUUCAGAUAAGCGCAAAGACAAAACUGAUGAUGGCAGUUUACUUUUAGUUUUUUUUUUUUUGGCAAAAAAAAAAGAGUUAACAAGGAGAGGUCACUACCGAAAAGGAGAAGAGAAUCGCUGAAUACGGAGAGUUGCCAAGCAGUACGAGCACACCAAAAAAAAAAAAAGAAGAAAUCGAGGGAUUUAUAUGUCCGGUGAAGAUGAAGGCAUCAAAACGAGAUCUAGGGAUUUAUUGGUCUGAUGAAUUGAUGAACGCUUCGCAGAGAAAGAGGGCAGAAUAUUUUAAUUUUAUUUCUUACUAUUUCUUUGGGCUGGGCCCUUUUAAGCCUCUAAAAAGGAUUCUCUAUUUUGUGUCACAUUUUGUUCAACUUUUUACCUAUCAGAUUAUUAUACACAACAUGAGCAAAUGAGGAGAGAACAGUGACAAUGAAACUAUGUAUAUAAGAACAUACUAACCUAAGUAUAAAUUACAAAAUUCUUAAAGAAAUUGUAAGGAUUACCAAUAUCACAAGUUAAUAGCCCUAUUCUAUAACCCUAGAGUGCAUAUUAUGACAUGCAUGCUUAUUUGUUUUAUUUUUAACUUAGAAUAUCACAAACUCAUCAUAUUUUUUACUUUCGUAAUAGUAUUUAAAGGUAAAAUCAUUUCAGUUCACCUCUAUUUUUGUUUCUAAAACAGAGGUUGGUAUAUUUUCCUUUAUUUGUAAACGAAGAUACAUCAUUCUUCUAUAUUUUACUCUAUAUUUAUAAAUUUGAGUUUUAAAAAAUACAUUAGAGCAAAAUUCAUUCUUAUUAUAAUUUUUUCUAUUUUAAAGAUAAAAAUAUGGGAAUAUAUUGGAGAUUGUCUUAAUGCAUGCUUAUUUGUUGGUGAAGCGUAAUCUAGUAUACAUCUAUUUAAUGAACAUGUAAUGUGAGGAAUUAAUUAGAUACUAGAUGAUAACCCGCGCGUAUGCGUAGAGUGAGUUUUUUAUAUAAAUGUUUGUUCAUUAAAUGGUUUUAACAUUUUGCAACACUAAAUUAUUUAUCUAUUGUAAAAUGACAAAUACAAAUUUUUGUCUCUUAAAUGUAUUAUCGUUGUUGAAGAGUUGACGUAUUACAGCUCUUCUAUAUUAUUAAAACUGAAGUACAUUUUGUUACUUUUGAAAACUUAGAUAGUAGAUUAAAUGAAAGUUGUUUGGAAAUAAAGAUAACAGAUUAAAUAUAUUUUUUUCCAUAUUUAGUCACCGUAUUUUUUUCUCAUUUAUAGAUUCUGUCGUUUGGAAACUUGGAUAACAGAUUAAAUGAGAAUUGUUUGGAAACAAGGAUAGCAGAUUAAAUAUUUCUUUUUAUUAGACGAAUGAUCAAAUCUCUCAUUUUUCGAACAAAAUCAAAAGAAGAUGAUUGGAAUCUUGUCAUGAUAUUUCAUUAAAAGCUUUUUAGGAAUAAAAAUCAAAACUAAAAUAUUUAAUUUGAAUAAAACAAUAUAUAUAUAUUGUUUCCAAUAUUAAAAACCACUUCAAUUUGAAAAAGUGUAUUUUUGGGAUUAUUAAGAUCAAAUAACAUAUUAGAAAUCAUCUAUUUAAAAAUAAUUUACAUGCAUAAAACUAUAUACAUUAGAGUAAACACAUAAAUCAAAACCAAUAUAUUUUGUUUAUUUACAAUCAUGUUUUUCGUAAAUAAAUCAAAACAGUUAUUUUACUUACUUUAUAUGGUAAAUAAUUAAACUUUAGUGAUAUUGACAUAGAUAUAUAUAUAGUUUUUAAUAUAAAUAUUUAUUAUUGACACUUCCUAUUCAUAUGAUUUUAUUAACAUUUGUAUAUUUGUUGUAACAAAAAUUUAAAUUAUUAAUCACAAAUUUUUUAAUGUGAGAUUUUUUAAUAGAAAUUUCAAAAAUUAACAUAUUAAGAUCACAAUUAUUUUUCAAUGGAAACUUUAAAAUUAACAUAGUAAUAUAUUUUUAUAUAGUAUAUAAUUUAAUUUAAAUUAUAUUAAUAUAAAUAUAUGAAUAUUUAUUAAUGAGACUUCAUAUUCAUACGAUUUAUGAUCAUUUGUAUCUUACUUGAACAAAAAACAAUUAAACCUCUUAUCACAAAAGUUUCAAUGUGAGACUUUUUACCAUUUUUAGUAAUUUAUAGUCGUGUUUAAAAAUUCAAAAUAUAACAUAUAAGAAAAAAUCUAAUUUUUUAUUAUAUGUUUAAUGUGAUUGUUUAAAUUUCUUUUGAUAACAUAAUUUUUUUUAUCAGAUAUUUUUUAUUCAUAAUCAUUUAUUCUGAUAUAUAUGUUAUAAUCAUAUUAGGUAAUUCCACAACUUUUAUUUAAAAAAGAAUUGAGAAUAUUCUUUUGUACACUACAAAUCAUUUUGAUAGUUAGUUUAACAAAAAAUAUAAUAUAUAUUUAUAUGUACCAACUUAUUUUUCUAAUGAUUUUAAGAAUCAUCAUAGUGAUGACGCGUAGCUAUGAAUACAUGUUGUAAUGCUCUAGAAUUAAUAUAUAAGGGAUAUGAAUGUUCAUAUUUUCAAUUUCUGAAUUUUAGGAACGUCUAAUCUAUGGAUGAGAGAUCCUUGUCGACUUUGCGUUAUAGUGGUUUAGAUAAAAAAAAAUAUUUUAUAGACGACAGAAAAGUGAUAAGAGUUUAUUUUUAUAGAAAUUAUAUCAACAGCUCAAUUAGAUUAUAUGAUAUGCAAUGUGGGUUUAUAUCAUUGCUGUGUGUACUCAAUUAUCUUCUAUCUAUCUAUCUAUACUAUUAUUUGUGAAGUAAAGUUUCGAAAUCGAGCUCUCACGUUAAAAGUUAGAGUGGUUAAUAACGUUUAUACCCUUAAUGAAUAAAAUGUAUAACUAAAUUAAAAAUAAAAACGAAAUUUUAAUUUAUUUGAUUAGAUAAUUGAUUAAAAUUAAUAAUAGUAAGAAUUAUCCAAAAUCUGAAAAUAUAAUUUAAAAAGAGAGAUAAUUUUUGUAUAUAUUGUAUUGUUAUCUGAAAAAGUCUUUUAGAAAAAAGUUAAAAACAAGAAUUAUAUAACUAAAUAUUAAUCAAAUAAAAUGUAUAACUAAAUUAAAAAAUAAAAACAAAAUUUUAAUUUUAAUUUAUUUGAUUAGAUAAUUGAUUAAAAUUAAUAAUAGUAAGAAUUAUCCAAAAUAUGAAAAUAUUAUUUUAAAAAGAGAUAAUUUAUGUAUAUAUUGUAUUGUUAUCUGAAAAAUCUUUUAGUAAAACGUUAAAAACAUGAAUUAUAUAACUAAAUAUUAAUCAAAUAAAAUUCUUAAUUAUAUAAUUAAAAAUAGAAUAUUGAAUUAUCCAAAAUCUAAAAAUAUAAUUAAAAAAAAAAGAGAUAAUUUCUAUAUAUUUAUAUAUAUUGUAUUGUAUCUGAAAAAAGUAUUUUAGUAAGAAGUUAAAAACAUAAAUUACAUAAUUACGUAUUAAUCAAAUACUUUUUUAAUUAUAUAAUUAAAAAUAUAAUAUUAAGUUAUUUUAAAAUUUAUUUUAGUAUAAUGAAUAUAGUGUACAAAGAACUUUUCGAAAAUUAUGAAAAUGUUUAAACCUGCAUCACGGGCAAAACACCUAGUACUAAAUAAACUUGUAAUAGUAGAAACUCGUCAUAUAUGAAUGUUUAUAGAAAUUAUCUUAACUAUAUAUAUUUUAGGAGGUUGAAUCCAAACUAAUGAAGUUUUUCUAACAUAAAUUAUAGCGGUUAUUUAGGAUUUGUUUUUUAAUGGAUUACAUUUAUUUCAGGAGGACAAACAUUGGUGUUGUGAACAGUGACAACUGUCAUAUUUUAAAUUUAAUGAAUUUGUAAUAUGAAUGUAAAUCCAUAUAAUAAAAGCAUCUCCUAAAGAGAGUUUUUUGAUAAGUAUUCAAUGAUUAAAUAAAAAAAUAAAAAUUAAGAAAAAUGUAAGUAUGGAUUUCAUUUGAGCAACUUUCAAAAUUUCAGUAGAACUUUUUCUUCUAUCUGUCAGCAUUUAGCUAUUUAAUAUCUAAAAUAAAUCUAAAAGAGAACUAGCUGUCUGAUUAAUGUUUUAGUUUUCUUUCUUGAGAAUUUUUUUGGAUAUCUGACCGAUAAUCCUUUUCUGACAAAGGAUGGUAACGUGUAGGACAACUGCGGAAUAACUGCGGUAUAGUUCUAAUAGUAAUAAAAAUAUAUAGAUAUAUAAGUAUGUGUAAUUUUUUUUACUAUUAACGCGGAGCGAAGCGGUGCAGUUCGUCACCAUUCAGAGCAUAUAGUUUGAGUGGUUAAUAGGGUGCAAACACUGAUUUGACCACCCUAACCCAAUCCCAAAAAAAAUUAACAAUUCACUGAGGGCUUGACUGAUUUUUCUGAUACCAUCUACAAACGCAUCUUUUGUGGGUUAUUAGUAGCUUUUGGUGUUUUUCAACGAUCAGAAAAACAUUGUAAAUUGUUUCAAACUGUUGUAAACCUCUUAAAAUCAAAAUUUGAUAUCUGCUAUCGUUCGUAGUUGCGAGCGAUUAUGGGUGAAUAAAUAAUUAUAUAUUUUUAAAAAAAAUCUUCUAAAAUUUAAAAUUGAAAUAUUUUUAAAUAAUAUAUAUACAUUUAUAUUUAAAUUUAAAUUCAUUAACAGCAUCAUAAUUUAUAUUAUAAAACCUUUAAACAAUGAAUAUUCACUAUAAUUUUUAAAAAUAAAUAUAUGUAUAUAUAUACAUAUAUAGAGAUAUAUACAUAUAUAUAUAAACGAAACAAAAUAUAUAUUUUAAAGUUCUUAUAUGAAUCUUCAAAAGAAAUUUUAUUGAAAUAAUAAUUUUCAUCUAAACUAAACAAAAAAAUAAAUAUCAAUAUUAAUUAUAUUAUAUCAUAAUAGUAUAUUUUUUUAUAUUUUUAUAUUGUUAUGGUACGUUAAUAUCUAUAAUUCCUUAUAUAUUAAUUGAGUAGGAUUACAACAUGUUUUGGUAGCCACAUGUCAUCACUAGGAUGAUUCGUAGAAUUCUUAGAAAAUAGGUUGGUCCAUCUAAACAUAUAUUAUACAUGUUUAUUAAACUAACUAUCAAAUUGAUUAAUAAUGUACAAAAGAAUAUUCUCCAUUCUUUUCUCAGAUAAAAAUUACGGAAUUGUUGUUAUGAUUAAUACAUAUAAAAUACAUAAAUAUGUUAAUUUUGAAAGUUGCAUUGAAAAAGCAUUGAGACUUUAAUAUUUUAAUUUUGAAAUUUGCAUAAAAAAUCUCAUAUUGAAAAUUUUGUGAUUAAUAUUUUAAUUUUUUUGUUACAACAAAUAUACAAAUUCUAAUAAAAUCAUAUGAGUACGAAAUCUGAAUAAUAAAUAUUUGUUUUAAAAUAUACUAUAUGUUUAUGUCAAUAUCAUUGAAAUUUAAUUAUAUACUAUCUAAAAUAAAUAAAAUGAUUGUUUUGAUUUAUUCCAAAACAAUUAUUGUAAAUAAACAGAAAGUAUUAUUUUUAUUUAUGUGUUUACUCUAAUUUAAUUAUAUACAUAAUACGUAAAUGAAAAAUAAUUAAUAAUAUGUAAAAAUUAUUUAACUUUGUACCAUUCAUACAAAAUAUUUAAUAACUAGAUGGUGGCCCGCACACUUGUGCGGACUAAUAUAUAUCCAACUAAUUCAAAUUUUAACAAAUUUUUAAUUUCAGUCUAAAUUAUUUAAUUAGUUUCAAAUAUUAAAUUAAUUAGAGAUAUAAUUAUCUUUUUUUUUAUUACAAGAUAACAUAGAUAAUGGUUUGGUAUUUGUAAAAUCUUUUAUUUAUUCUAUCACUAAACCAUACAUAUAAAAAGUAUCAUCAUUAUAAUAAGCUAAAAAAGUUUUAUUAUUACUUUAAAAAUAAUAUAAAAGAUAAAUCUAUAAAUAAACCAUAAUUACCAAAUUAUCAGUGAAGCCUAUGAAAUCAAACCCCUCUUCAUCAAAGUCUUAAUUACAUUUUAUAUGAAUUUCUUUUUCAUCGGAGUUCAUAUUAAUACCUAUUAACAAAUUUACAAUAAUUAAAAACAUUCUUCUAUUUAAUAAAAGUAUAUAUCUAGUAUAAGGUGUAUUUUUUUUUUAAUUUUUAACAGCGAGAGAUUGUAUUCUUUGGACUCAUAUUUUGAUUGAUAAGAUAAUUCGGUGGUAUAAAAGAGAAGCAAGCUUCAUUUUAAAAAUAAUAAAUAAAACAUUAUUUAAUAUUAAAAAUUAACAUAAGAUGAACAAAACUAUAAAAUUAAUACUCAUUAAUAAUAUUUAUCCAUGAAUAUAUUGAAAAUAUUCAUUAAAUAAUCACUAAAUACGUUCAAAACUAACAAUUCAAAAAGUUAUUUAUUAAAACUAAUGACUGAGCCUAAAUUAAAUCAUGGAAUAUGACAAAUGAUGUUCUAAAAGUAAAAAGUAAUAAAACAUGAAAAUAAUAAAAAUAGCCUAACUUAUGGAUAACAUGACAAGUAAGCAAAACUAAAAUUACCACCUAAAAUUAUUUUAAAUAUGAUAAAUAAAUAAAAUUACUACAUAAAAUUAUAAAGAACAUAAGAAAUAAUAAAUAAACUAAAUUAUGGAGGAUAUGGAAAAUAAGAAAAAGUAUAAUUAUUGAAAACAUAACAAAUAAACAAAUUAUCUAAAAUUAUAGACAAUAUGACAAAUAAGCAAUAAACAAUGAUAAAUAAAUAAAAAUUAUGUAAAAUCAUGGAGAAGAUGACAACUAAGCAAAAUCACUUCAUAAAUAAUAGUAUAGAUGCUGGAAACGGAAACUACCUAUAUCUGUAAACUUCCACAAUCGCAUCGGCAGUCAUUGUGUUUCAACAGGUCAGGCCUGAGUUAACGUGUGUAGUUGGACCAACUUAGAAAGUGGGCUAAUGCUUGUGGCCCAAUAACAAAUGUGAAGAAAAGACUUGUUACAAUUGCUGCUGGCUCAUCAUCUUUCUUUCCACCUCCGAGCAAAAUCACCGGCGGAGAAACCUCACCGAUGAAGCAAGUUAUGGCGGGCAUGGUUACGCAGGCACCAUUGAAGUCGUUAAUUCAAGCUCUACUUCUGAUAUCAUUAUCAUUUCCGCCUCUCUCCAGCGCUUACCGACCAGGAGAUAUCGUGGCGAUGAGCAAGAUGGGACAGUACCAUUCGGUUCGAAUCUCUCUUUACAUAUUUAGCUGAGAUUAACUUAGAAUUUGACGUAGACUAAGGAUCUGUUGAUUCCAUGUGCAGUCGAGAACGACUUGGCAUGAUGUGAUCGGAAAGCAUUGCCCGAUCUUCGCCGUUAAUCGCGAGGUACUAACUGUCUGUGUAUAUGAUAUGUUCCUGGGAAAUUAGAUUGAAUUUUCAUGCCGAUUUGCAGGUGCUGAUCCCCAUAGCGAAACCAGUUGGCUACACUGGAACAGAUCCUUAUAAGAUGUGAGAGUGUUUGAUUCCUUUAAUUGAGAUUGAUCUGUCUUUAGCUUCUCUGAGGUUGUGAAGAUAGAUUCACAUCUCAUCUUAUCUUCUUUGAUUAGAGUAGGAGCCAUUUUGUUGUUUGUAUGGUGUAGUUAGUUCUACUCUGUUGCACUUUGUUGUGUUCUUCUUACUCUGCUGCUAUGGCAACAUCCUUUCUUUCUUUAGAUAAGUAUCUAGCAGUUUCUCUUGUUGUUGGCUCGAAUAGGAGAUAAUGAAUAUCGAUUCAUAUCUCAUCUAUUUGAUUAGAGUAUGAGUCACUCUUGUACGGUGUAUUUAGUUCUCUUCUGUUGCAGAUUGUGUUCUUCUACUGCGCUGAACAUGAUGUACUAUGCUGAUACAGUGACAUCUUUCCAUUGUUUGUUACAUUAGUCAUAUACUGAUUUUGUGUCUGAUGUGUGGUUAUGGAUCCUCUUACUUGCAGAAAUUUCCAUUCGUGUGUCUUUAGCUUAUCUGCCAAGUUCAUUGCUGCUUUUAAAUCAGUGUCUAGCAGUUUAUAUUGCUGCUGCUUGAAUAAGAGAUGGUGAAGAUAGAUUUACAACUUAACUACUUUGAUUAGAGUAGGAGCCGUUUUUGUAUGGCGUGUUUAGUUCUGUUCUGUUGCAGAUUGUUGUGUACUUCUAUUGUCUUCUCUGCGAUGAAUAUGGUGUGAAAUGCUGAUAGGGCGACAUCUUUUCCUUGUUUGUUACAUUAGUCGUAUGCUUAUUUUGGUGUGGAUAUGGAUUGAUUUUACAUGCAGAAAAUUCCAAGUUGGAAGUGAGAAAUAUCUGAUACACUGGCUUUUGGUGAUAAACCGGAAGAGUUCAGAAGUUCCAAUGAUCGAUGUCAAUUUGGUAUGUAUUGUUAGUUAGCCUUGGGUUUUGAGUCGUUUAUAAGCUUCGACUGAUUAGGUGUGUGUGUGAGUCCUUUUGAGUGUGGGUUGUUUUGCACAGAGAUAUUCUGGAGGAGAUUUGCUUGGAGUAACAGCUCAAGUUGUCGAUAUGCCUCUUAGCUGUACGUAAAACUCCAUAUCUUGUCUCUUUAUUAUCUGGUGAAAGUUAUAAUCUUCUUUGUGGCAUUGGGUGCUAAUAUAUAAAUGUAGGCAGUUUGUUUACUAGUCUUUAUUUGUUCUGCUGUUACCUUUAUGUCAAUUAUACAGUAGGCUGAUACUAUCCAUCAGGAGUUUUUGUAUAAGCUGAGAUUUUAUCCAUGAACAGAUUUGAAUACACACCCGGAGAUCCGCAAGCAGUUCUGGGAUCCUCAACACUGGCCGAAACAUGUUCUUGUUCGAUACACAUGGUACGCUACGUUUCUUGACCACUUUCAACUCUGUUUUACCUCUCUCCUUCCUUUUCUAAAUAAGAUUUUGGAUACGGUCGAGUCGCGAUAUUUAGCUAAGACACUAUAUUGUGAUGCAUGCAGGAAGGAGCAGUCAGAGAUUGAUGUUUCCUCUGGAUUUUAUGUCCUCUUUGGCUCAGGUAAAUCGUUUUUUUUUUUUGGUUCUUGCUGAUUAAAUAAAACGGGAAAAUAAAUUCACACACUUAAUUAUUAUUAUUUUAUGUUGUGCACUUGUGAUCAGCUCUCACGUUCUCUUUCGUACUCUCCAUUUACGUCUUACAAUCUUCACGAGAGAAGCUGGCGAGGUAAAUGAUCUUCAUGUCCUCUCAAGUUCAAGUGUAUAUCUUCCUUAUCUUGAACCUAAUUCUUGAAAAUGUUGUUGUAGGUUUGUAAGAGAGACGGUUGUGGAAAGCAGCUCGAAUGUUGGAGAGUUUGGCAAGGUUGAGUGAGAGUCAUAUAGUCAAAAGCAGAUAUGUAUGUUGUUGCUGCUGCUGCUAUAGAUGCUUGGACUUGGUUGGUUAAAACAAAAAACAAUUCCAGAAAAAGGAGAUUUGAUCGAACUUGAAUUAGUCGAAAGCAAAGAUAUCAUUCUGUUUGUUCCAAACCAAAUCAAUCAACUUGUAGAUCUUGCAAAACAGAAUGAAAACUUAACAUAUAAUAUGACGGCUUACUUUUAUUCGAAGUUUCUCACUAAACAAACAACAAAUGAAAAAUCAUAAACCAAAAUAUAUCUCCAGAUGCCUUCUAUCUUAACAUUGUUGGUGGCGGCAUGGUGUGAUCAUGAGGAUUAUUAAUUUAUAAUAUGGGUUUAUUAAAUAUAUCCAACUCAUAAUCAAUUGAUAAUAAAUGUAUUAGUUUGUACUAUUUAAUAUAUUAUUAUUUUCUUUCAUCAACAUAUCUCAUCUCACAUCUCUCACAUUUCAUGUUCAUACACAGGCUGUGCCUGACUUUUGGGGGCUUAGAUGCAAAAAAAAAAAAAAAUUAUUUCGCCCUUUAGUAUAGCAUUUGGUAAAAUUGGUAUCGAGGAAGAAUCGAAUCUAUCAAUAAAUUGAACAAACUACUAGCCCAAAGCCACUGAAUCAAUCAAUUUUUUUCUCAAAUUAACCCCUAAAAUAUAUUUAACUAUAUCGACUCUGAAGCACAUAUUUGAUGGGAUUGUACUCAGGCACGGCCCUGUAAUCAUACGUAAACAUAUUAUCAUCAACAAAUGGUUCUAACGACUUCUACUAAUAGAUGGGUGGUUCCGAUACUAUGUUUAAUUUUGCAUUUUAGGUCAAAACCAAUUAAGUAGAUUGACUUGUGACCUUUAUAAGUUACUACUAGAUGAUGAUCCGCGUGCAUGUGCAUGGUGAGUUUUUAUAAUAAUGUGUUCAUUAAAUAGUUUUAACAUUUUGCAACACUACAAUCUUUAUCGAUUAUAAAAUGUCAAAUAUAAAUGUUGGUCUCUUAUAUGUAUCAUCGUUGUUGAAGAGUUAACAUAUUACAUCUCAUUUCAAGUAUUUUUAAGAUUUCAUAUGCACAAAAGAAAAUUAAGUUUUGCAGCUGACACAAAUCACCAAAUCCAAAUAGGCAACAUCGAGUAAGAUGACGAAAAUAUUAGGUUUUCUGCUCUCGAUUUAUUUACUAUUGACUCUCCAUAAGUGAUUUCAUUUUCUACCUCUAUAAAAUUGUGAUUUCGUUAUUUUCUGUGUUUCAUUGAUAUAUAUAUAUAUAUAUAUAUAUANNNNNNNNNNNNNNNNNNNNNNNNNNNNNNNNNNNNNNNNNNNNNNNNNNNNNNNNNNNNNNNNNNNNNNNNNNNNNNNNNNNNNNNNNNNNNNNNNNNNNNNNNNNNNNNNNNNNNNNNNNNNNNNNNNNNNNNNNNNNNNNNNNNNNNNNNNNNNNNNNNNNNNNNNNNNNNNNNNNNNNNNNNNNNNNNNNNNNNNNNNNNNNNNNNNNNNNNNNNNNNNNNNNNNNNNNNNNNNNNNNNNNNNNNNNNNNNNNNNNNNNNNNNNNNNNNNNNNNNNNNNNNNNNNNNNNNNNNNNNNNNNNNNNNNNNNNNNNNNNNNNNNNNNNNNNNNNNNNNNNNNNNNNNNNNNNNNNNNNNNNNNNNNNNNNNNNNNNNNNNNNNNNNNNNNNNNNNNNNNNNNNNNNNNNNNNNNNNNNNNNNNNNNNNNNNNNNNNNNGGUUCGCCGGCUCCGGUUGCUUCCACAGAGCCGGAGCCGGUCUUUUUCUUUUCUUUUCCUUUCUUUUUCUUCGGUUAGAUCUGUACAUUAUUCUCGUUUCUCUCAACAGGUCAUUUUCAAAUCUAUAAUCUGAUCUUUUUUCGGAGAGAAUGAGGGUUUUCGUUUGAUCUAUUUUGUCGAUCUCUCUGUUAGAAGUGGUUAUAUCCUUGUCCCCUUCAGUUUUGGUUCUAUCUUGGAACUUAUGUGUGUUUGAUUGAUUUGCAUGUUGAUUUUGAGCUUUUUUUGGCUCAUACCAGGUCUCGAUCUUUGACCUUCUCGGUCUCUCGAGCAAGGUUGUUCCUGGUUAUGAGUUGUUUCACUCCUUGUCAAUUCCCUUAGAGAUUCGAUCGAGAUCUUAUCUUCUGUCUAGCUUCUUUGGCUUGUCGAUUCAACUCAUCCAUCCAGUGACUUCCGGUUGAAGACUUAUGAACAUGACGUGUUCUGUCUCCUGGAGCUUGAAGCUUUGUUCUUUCAUCUGCAUGUGCUAUUCAUCAUAGGAGGAUUCGCAGACCGGAGGUUGUAGCCAUGGAAGGCUUCCUCGCUUUGCCUUGUUCAAAGAAGCUCUGUUCAAGUCAUCAUGUAUUAUUGAUCUCGUUUUGGUGAAGGUGUAUUUUAAGUUGUUAUCCACUUCUUCUAGCUUAGAUUGUUUCAUGUUCUGUUUCUUUGGUCAUCAUAUGUUUGUAUUUUAGUCUCUCCAUCGUUGGAGCUUCUGUUUCCGGAGGUCUGUUGAACCUGCCGGCCAAAGUGUUGCAAAACUGAAUCCCACCCUUGUAAUCUUCUGUUGAUAAUAUAAUCAGUGUUUAAAAAAAAAAAUUUACUUUUUAUAUUUUAAAUUUCAUAAGAAUAAGCGAAAUUAGAUUUAAAAAUAAUAAAAAAGUGUGGAAUUUGAAAAGAGAAAGUGUCACACACGCGUAUAGAUUUGGCCUCCUCACAUUGAUUUUCUAGUUUUGUGCAUAGUAGACUAAUGAAAUCACGUUCACCUAGUUUUAGAAAAUAUGUCUUCUCUGAAUUUUUAUAUGAUUUCGACUAAAAUAAUUAAUCAAGUAAUAAUAAAUCACAGAUGAGUAUUAUUACAUUUUCUUAUUCAUAUGAAAUUUCAAAAUCACACUAGUAAAUUAGUAAUUUUGAUGUUUUCACCAAUUGGAUUUGAAAAUAAGUUUGCGACCGGAAUUGAUGGGCCAGACAGCCUUAUGCAAGGCCCAUUACAUUUAGCUUCUAUGAUUAAUAAAUGUUUUUUAGUUUCUUGUAUACCUAAAAAAAAUCAACCGACAUGAUUGAUUGGCUUUCUCACUUUUUUGCUUUCUUUAGUGGUAUCACAUGACCAAAAUUGCUUAGUUACAUGAUAUUAAUAGAGCUGUUUAGUCAUUUUUAUUGAAGCGCUAUCACUAGUGAUAACUAGGACCUGAUAACUUUUUUUUUUUCGUCAAUUGAUUUAUAUCAAACAUUCGGUGGAAUACAAUCAGAGCCGGCGGAAGAUGUUGAUAUCCCCAGAAACAACAGUCCACAGGAAAGACACUAAAAGCCAUACAAAGACACCAAAGACUACACUGAAACAUAACUUAAGACAAAAGCAAAUUCCUACAACUAGAUCUUCCUACAAUCCUUUAUCAAAACCAUAGAUAGCAUAGCCAAGGUCUAAAACAACCAGAAGUCUAACAAGAGACCACAUUCACCAAGCGGGCAAGCGGCGAGGACUUAAUAGAACCGAAAAUCACCUGAACCUCCUGUCCACGAUGAAAAGCCAGAACCACGCCGAAUAGCACCCCACACACACCGACCCCGAAACAUGGGUCCAAGAACCGAAACACCUGGGACCAAACCUCCUACGAAACCGCAACUUCCUCCGAUUGAACCAAAACCUCAACCUCAUUAUAUUGCUUCAAACAUUCAAGAAGAAGCCACCGAGGAAUUAAGAGAUCAGCGAACCAACCAGGACAGGACGAACUCUUAUUAUAAGCUGCAGCGAGGACUCCAUCUCGAAAUGGAGAGGUGACACCAACCAACUUCUUCACAACAAAGAUGCUAAACCUGUUCUGCUCACGGACUCGCUAAAACACCACCGCCGUCCCAAUUCCAAUGUAAAAAAAGACUAGAGCGAGCAAUCUAUAAGCCAACCAAGGAUUCAGAGAAUACAUCCUCUCCGUUGAGUGGAUAAGUAGACAAAGCAAAGGAGAGGAGCCAAGAUGGAGAGGAGCAUCUAACACAAUAACUUCAAAUCACCGUAUGGAAAGAAACGCAGGUCCAAGAGUUAGCAAAGAAGUCUGUUCAACAACGGACGAAAACUAUCCAGAGCACAUCUGAACCUUUAAGACCCAACGAUUCAACACCACCACACGAAAGAGAUGCUUUCCACACGCUUCCACUCGUCUCCAGGUCAAAGAACUAAUCAACCCCGGAAUAAGGAGGAUCUAAAACGCAGGAGAGAGUAAGUGACAUAUAAGCAUAAAACAAGACACAAAUCACCAGAUCGAAAUUACUCUCAUAUAGAGCCCCUCCCUUCCGACUCCUUGCAGCAUCUCGCUGCUACUCCAGCAAUUUGACAGACAGUGUCUCACCGUUGUAGAUCCACAAGAGAAUCCAUUAAAAUCCGGAGUAGCUCGCAUUUUGACGUCGUACGAAAAAGAAGAAAACUAAAGGAGAGUAACAGAGAAACAUACAACAUAAUAACAAGAAUAGGAGGAGGAGAAGUCUCUCACGGCGACGAAUCACCAGAUUCCACCCCUCCUCCGAGCUCGAGUUGAUGGCGGCUUACUAGGGUUUCGUUAUUCCCUUUCUCUUUUCUCUCUCAACUGGGACCUGAUAACUAUAAUCAGUGUUAUUGUGUUAAUCCCAGCAAUAAAGUGUCCAACGAAAUUCAAUGCAACUGACCGGUGAACUCACAGGGAAAGUGCAUUACACAAAAAUUACAGAUGAAGAUUCAGUGCACUAUUUUUUAUUUUAUUUUGGUUGUUGAGGCAUUUAUACUUUUGAUUCCGUUCGUAAAUUCAAGCAAAGAUUAAAAGGAUAAACAAACACAAGCUCAUUCAUUAUUUAUGGAACUAGCUACUAAUUAGGGUGACAUGAGAACGAACACACACCAAGCUUUUAUGAUUACACCAAAUGAAAAGUAACACAAAAGCAAAAGCAUAGGAGAGACACACGACGAGGAGGACCAACACCACUCACUAGACGACGACGAUAACGCUAAUUUGAACCGAGGACAGAACUCAUGUGAUCUAAGAGAGCUGACCACAGUCAGCCACAACCACCGGCUUCGACGGCUUUCCAGAAGCCGACCCCACCUUCUCAAUCGCCUUCACCACGUCCAACCCUUCCACCACCUGUCCGAACACCACGUGCUUGCCAUCAAGCCAAUCGGUCUUAACAGUGCAGAUAAAGAACUGAGACCCGUUGGUGUUUGGACCAGCGUUGGCCAUAGAGAGGAUCCCAGGACCGGUGUGCUUCCUCUCGAAAUUCUCGUCAGCGAACUUCUCACCGUAGAUGGACUCGCCUCCCGUCCCGUUCCCGGCCGUGAAAUCGCCUCCCUGGCACAUGAAGUUAGGGAUCACACGGUGGAAGGAAGAUCCCUUGAAGUGAAGAGGCUUGCCUUUGCUUCCGACACCCUUCUCACCCGUGCAGAGAGCUCUGAAAUUCUCGGCAGUCUUGGGAGUCUUGUCGGUGUACAGCUCCAUCACGAUCCUUCCCGCGGGCUUGCCGUCAACGGUCAUGUCGAAGAAAACUUUAGGAAACGCCAUCGUUUUGAUUGGUAUGAGAGAGCUUUGAAGGAAUGGUGUUGGAUCAGUCGUGGAUGAAAUGAGGAUCUUUAUAGAUUUGGCCUCCUCACAUUGAUUUUCUAGUUUUGUGCAUAGUGGGAUGUUUUCAAGAUCAUAUCUAGUCUCUACAAAGUGGAGAAGCGUGUUUCUGCCUCGAGUAAUAACCAAACACUCGGACACCUCUAGCUGACGGUUCCAGAUAAUCCUCCUAUUGUUAAUCUUCCGAUGGAUUCUCUUUCUGUUCAGUACUUGUGACAUAAAUAACAUGUUUAACAACCACGCCUUUGCUGCCAACGCCUUCCCUGCCAUCCUCACCACUAAGGCAAAUUCCAUAGAUUCCAUGGCUCCAUUCAGCUCUCCUCGAAUGUCCCUACGGAGUCUCGCCUUAUAACACCGGCACUACCCCUCCGCAGGCUUCGACUUGCAUUUCUCGGCCAUGUCUAAGAACUCCUUAGUGUACUCUUGGACCAGGCGUGGCCUACACACUAUCUCAACAAGGAUCUCACACUUGCACGGCUCGGUACAUCCUCCUGAGGUUCUUUCAUCCAUAAUCAAUGUCUUCCGCAGAUCCUCUUCCACUUCCACUUCUCCCUUAGAUCUCUAGUUAGCGACGACCCGACAGUAAGUGUUCGCUCUGCCUCUAUCGCUUGACCGAAUAUCCGGUUCUCCAGAGCGAAUUCCAUGGUUCGAACACACCCAUCAGCUUGCCCUGAAUUUCCCCACAGAGCCCUGCCAUAUACCAUCGGUACCAAUCCUCCAAUGUCUUUGGCUUGCAUCUUUUGGCUGUCUCCCGGAAUUCCUCGGUGUACUCCUGGACUGAGCGUGGUUCUUGCUUGGCAUGCAUCAGUGUCCCACACUGACAUACUCCGGUUAUGCUCCUCAGACGGUCCGCAUAAAUGCUAGGAAUUUUCCUUGCUCGUCCAUGCUCCCUUGUUGGCACACUGACCUCCAUCCUAAACGGUCCAAGACCUUCCCCGGUCAAUCCGAACUUCCUUGGGUGCCCAUGGCCCAUCUUGGCCGGUGUUGUUUUGACUUCAGGCGCGAACUGGAUAGUCCCAUGGCUUUGGUACAUCCGCCUAUACUCUACUCUGCCGCCUUCUGGAAAUGGGGCAUCAGUACCUGACGCCUCACAGUUGUCUCCUAGAUGUGGGCGUUCGGCUGCUCCACGAAUUCUAUUUCCUCCUCAUCCGGGAAGAGGGCAGGUACCAUGUUACCCACUGCGUCGUAGUGGGGUUUACGGCUUUGUCCCCUUUGGUCUAUCGCGCAGGUGUCUUUCUCGAACUCGUGAUGCACUAGUGAAGACAUCCCUACGAAGAUCCACUAUCCUUAUUAGUAUCCUUUGUUUCCCAAAAAUUGAUCAUCCAUCAAACAUUUUGCCGUAAGACGAUACUUAGUUUACUCCCUGUAAACCGGAGUUAGUCAUCCUCGUUGCGACUUCGAGAAGCUCCUUCCUCUAGCUACUUCGUCUUUAGUCAUUGUGUAGUUUAUUACCAACAAAGCUCUCAUCAUGCCUAUCUUUAAGGACUUGAAUCUUUGACAUUGAGUUGAGACACUUUGUUUCCCCUUAUAUUUUUCAUCUGCUUAGCCAAUUACUCUAGGGUAAUUUUCCCAAAUCGAAGUGCUACUCCCUGUCGUGCCCGCUCCUUUUUCCCAGCCUCCAUGUCGCCUUUGGUUCCGACCUUGCUGAUGUUGGAAGAGUCUGUGCUAGCAUUUCCCCCUUGCUCAGUACUUGGCGCCUUUUUCCAUUUUUUUUUAUAUAGAAAACGAGCUUGACUGUAAUAUCAGAACGAUGCAUCGCUAUUUCCUGUAGAGAUGUCUCUUCCGUGAAGCGGCGCUUGUCUCCGCCUUGCAUCCGUCUCUCCUCUCCCGGCCUUCCCGGACCGGUGUGGGGCGGUGUCGCUGGCGGGACGCUUCCCUCCAGCUCGUAUGUCCGGCUUUCCAUUCCCCCUUAACUUGACGUGCUAGGCGACUAAUCCCUCUGUAUACUUGCCUUACAACUCCUUGUUAAUCCCUUCCUGAACCUCUGAAACUCCACUACACUCAGUACGAGGACUUUUUGGUUGAUCGGAUCUUGGCCGGAGACUCUGAGCUGUUCGAAUUCUCCUUCAACAUUAACUAUGGCGGUCUAUCAGAACCAUAAGGGAAAUGGGCAAUAGUGGAAAUGCUGAUCCCUUAAGUUAGUAUUAAGGGACCUUAACAUGGCUCUGAUACCAAUUGAAACACCCGCCCCUUCCCAUUUCCAACCGGGGUUCCUGGGCACGGGGUUUAGGACACACAUGUCUACUUUUCCGACAUCUCCGUGUGUCCCGUUUCUGGUCCCAUGAGUUUCAGGUGCAUUUCCUUCCCGCUGGAUCUUUAUCUGGUUUUUGGUUUUAACUAAAUACAGAACAAUACUCUGGAACCGAAAAUCCAACUACGAUUUGUAACCCAAAAUUAUAUUUGGUUCAACCGGUUUUGGAAAUAUUACUAAACCCAAACCGAACCGACUAAAUCCGAACAAAAUAUAAACUGAAAUUUUACAAUAUCUAAAGGGGGCUGAAAUUCAUAAACAUAAAAACCGAUACCCGAUUGAACCCAAACCGAAACCCGAUUAAACCCGAACCAAACCCCGAUUGGUCCAUCGAAUGUCAAGCCUUAUUAGUUACACAAGACUUAUUAGUUAUACGAGCUGCAUCAAACACAUCUACAGCAUAUUACCUUUGAACGAUCUUUAUUUGUGUAUUGAUUCUUAUCUUCAGUGUUUCCUACUUGAUGUUGAUUAUUUAUACAUCCUCGUCCUAUAGCUCUUCUUUUCCAUCCUCUAACUCUUUGACGAAAAACUCCAUAGUUUCCAUGACUAAUUUGGUCAAUAUUUGAAAACAUAAGCUUCCCUUGGUCUUCUUUAUGCGUUUCUUCCCCUACAUGUUCUUCAUAUACCUUAGCCUUCCAACUAUGUCCUUUAAACCCAUAGAUUUUAGGUCUAGUAAUUUCUCAAGAGACGCUACAAUUUGAAUUUAUUUGUAUCUAGGAAGUCCCUUCAAGAACUUCUUCACCAUCUUGGAUUCUUCUAUGUUUUCUCCUAACAAGGCUGCUUUAUAUGAUAGGCCUGAUAUAUUUUCCGCAAAGUCAUCAACCGUAUUCGUAUCAUCCAUCUUUAACCUGCUAAACUCUAUCAUCAACGUCUAAAGUCUUGCCUCUCAUUCACGAUCAGCUCUAGGUGUCGUCAUGACUUAAUGGCCUCCCAGAUGUCUUUAAAUACGAGUUGUUCUCCCACUUGGAGAAUCAAGGUUUCAAGAAGAGAUUGGAAUAGAAGUGAUGUCGUCGCCACAUCAUUCUUCUUUUGAUCAUCCGAACCCGGUUCUACUGUCUCCCAUACUUCAUGAACUCUCAAUAGAACUUUCAUCUUCAUUGACCAAAUCGUAUAGUCCUUCGUGGCAGCAUGUUCUAGUCAGGUCUGCCAUGCUUGUUUAUGUGAUAUCUCCUCCGUCUCCUAGAUCUAGUCUUCAACUUAAGCUCUGUUACCAAUUAGAGUUGAAUAUCUUAUUAAAUAUUAAAAAUUAUUUAUUUAAACUUCCACUGUGAAACUUGAAUUAACGUCUCUCAAGAUACACUGCUAUAUAUAAACUAGAUGAUAAUGCGCGCGGGUGAGUAUUUUAUACUAAUGUUUUUGUUCAUUAAAUGGUUUUAACAUUUUGCAACACUACAAUCUUUAUCGGUUGUAAAAUGAGGAAUAAAAAUGUUGGUCUCUUAAAUGUAUUCAUCGUUGUUGAAGAGUUAAUGUAUUACAGCUUAUUUUAGUUAUUUUAAGACUUCAUAUGCACAAAAAAAGUUUUGUGCCUGACACAAAUCACAAAAACCAGAUAUGAACAUCAAUUUUAAAAUGACGAAAGGGGAUUAGGUUUUCUGCUCUCGAUUUGUUUAUUAUUGACUCUCCAUAAAUGAUUUUAUUUUCUACUUCUAGAAAAUUGUGUUUUCGUUCUCGUUUCUAUUUCACUGAUAUGAGUUUUGUUUAUUUUUUAGACUUUUUCUAUGAAUUUAGUGAGUUACAUAAGUGUCAGUUUAAAAUUUGCACAUCUGUAAAAAUUAGUUCUACUCGAGAUACAUAUCUAAGAGUCAAAUGUUUUUAAAAAUCACCAGCAAACUCUAUUCACAUGUUAGUGUUCAAAUCUGAUAUAUCAAGCUAUUAUAAAAUAUAAGUGCAAGCUCGAAAUUAACAUAUAUUAUAUUUUUAUAUAGUAUAUAAUUUAAUUUAAAUUAUAUUAAUAUAAAUAUAUGAAUAUUUAUUAAUGAGACUUCAUAUUCAUACGAUUUAUGAUCAUUUGUAUCUUACUUGAACAAAAAACAAUUAAACCUCUUAUCACAAAAGUUUCAAUGUGAGACUUUUUACCAUUUUUAGUAAUUUAUAGUCGUGUUUAAAAAUUCAAAAUAUAACAUAUAAGAAAAAAUCUAAUUUUUUAUUAUAUGUUUAAUGUGAUUGUUUAAAUUUCUUUUGAUAACAUAAUUUUUUUUAUCAGAUAUUUUUUAUUCAUAAUCAUUUAUUCUGAUAUAUAUGUUAUAAUCAUAUUAGGUAAUUCCACAACUUUUAUUUAAAAAAGAAUUGAGAAUAUUCUUUUGUACACUACAAAUCAUUUUGAUAGUUAGUUUAACAAAAAAUAUAAUAUAUAUUUAUAUGUACCAACUUAUUUUUCUAAUGAUUUUAAGAAUCAUCAUAGUGAUGACGCGUAGCUAUGAAUACAUGUUGUAAUGCUCUAGAAUUAAUAUAUAAGGGAUAUGAAUGUUCAUAUUUUCAAUUUCUGAAUUUUAGGAACGUCUAAUCUAUGGAUGAGAGAUCCUUGUCGACUUUGCGUUAUAGUGGUUUAGAUAAAAAAAAAUAUUUUAUAGACGACAGAAAAGUGAUAAGAGUUUAUUUUUAUAGAAAUUAUAUCAACAGCUCAAUUAGAUUAUAUGAUAUGCAAUGUGGGUUUAUAUCAUUGCUGUGUGUACUCAAUUAUCUUCUAUCUAUCUAUCUAUACUAUUAUUUGUGAAGUAAAGUUUCGAAAUCGAGCUCUCACGUUAAAAGUUAGAGUGGUUAAUAACGUUUAUACCCUUAAUGAAUAAAAUGUAUAACUAAAUUAAAAAUAAAAACGAAAUUUUAAUUUAUUUGAUUAGAUAAUUGAUUAAAAUUAAUAAUAGUAAGAAUUAUCCAAAAUCUGAAAAUAUAAUUUAAAAAGAGAGAUAAUUUUUGUAUAUAUUGUAUUGUUAUCUGAAAAAGUCUUUUAGAAAAAAGUUAAAAACAAGAAUUAUAUAACUAAAUAUUAAUCAAAUAAAAUGUAUAACUAAAUUAAAAAAUAAAAACAAAAUUUUAAUUUUAAUUUAUUUGAUUAGAUAAUUGAUUAAAAUUAAUAAUAGUAAGAAUUAUCCAAAAUAUGAAAAUAUUAUUUUAAAAAGAGAUAAUUUAUGUAUAUAUUGUAUUGUUAUCUGAAAAAUCUUUUAGUAAAACGUUAAAAACAUGAAUUAUAUAACUAAAUAUUAAUCAAAUAAAAUUCUUAAUUAUAUAAUUAAAAAUAGAAUAUUGAAUUAUCCAAAAUCUAAAAAUAUAAUUAAAAAAAAAAGAGAUAAUUUCUAUAUAUUUAUAUAUAUUGUAUUGUAUCUGAAAAAAGUAUUUUAGUAAGAAGUUAAAAACAUAAAUUACAUAAUUACGUAUUAAUCAAAUACUUUUUUAAUUAUAUAAUUAAAAAUAUAAUAUUAAGUUAUUUUAAAAUUUAUUUUAGUAUAAUGAAUAUAGUGUACAAAGAACUUUUCGAAAAUUAUGAAAAUGUUUAAACCUGCAUCACGGGCAAAACACCUAGUACUAAAUAAACUUGUAAUAGUAGAAACUCGUCAUAUAUGAAUGUUUAUAGAAAUUAUCUUAACUAUAUAUAUUUUAGGAGGUUGAAUCCAAACUAAUGAAGUUUUUCUAACAUAAAUUAUAGCGGUUAUUUAGGAUUUGUUUUUUAAUGGAUUACAUUUAUUUCAGGAGGACAAACAUUGGUGUUGUGAACAGUGACAACUGUCAUAUUUUAAAUUUAAUGAAUUUGUAAUAUGAAUGUAAAUCCAUAUAAUAAAAGCAUCUCCUAAAGAGAGUUUUUUGAUAAGUAUUCAAUGAUUAAAUAAAAAAAUAAAAAUUAAGAAAAAUGUAAGUAUGGAUUUCAUUUGAGCAACUUUCAAAAUUUCAGUAGAACUUUUUCUUCUAUCUGUCAGCAUUUAGCUAUUUAAUAUCUAAAAUAAAUCUAAAAGAGAACUAGCUGUCUGAUUAAUGUUUUAGUUUUCUUUCUUGAGAAUUUUUUUGGAUAUCUGACCGAUAAUCCUUUUCUGACAAAGGAUGGUAACGUGUAGGACAACUGCGGAAUAACUGCGGUAUAGUUCUAAUAGUAAUAAAAAUAUAUAGAUAUAUAAGUAUGUGUAAUUUUUUUUACUAUUAACGCGGAGCGAAGCGGUGCAGUUCGUCACCAUUCAGAGCAUAUAGUUUGAGUGGUUAAUAGGGUGCAAACACUGAUUUGACCACCCUAACCCAAUCCCAAAAAAAAUUAACAAUUCACUGAGGGCUUGACUGAUUUUUCUGAUACCAUCUACAAACGCAUCUUUUGUGGGUUAUUAGUAGCUUUUGGUGUUUUUCAACGAUCAGAAAAACAUUGUAAAUUGUUUCAAACUGUUGUAAACCUCUUAAAAUCAAAAUUUGAUAUCUGCUAUCGUUCGUAGUUGCGAGCGAUUAUGGGUGAAUAAAUAAUUAUAUAUUUUUAAAAAAAAUCUUCUAAAAUUUAAAAUUGAAAUAUUUUUAAAUAAUAUAUAUACAUUUAUAUUUAAAUUUAAAUUCAUUAACAGCAUCAUAAUUUAUAUUAUAAAACCUUUAAACAAUGAAUAUUCACUAUAAUUUUUAAAAAUAAAUAUAUGUAUAUAUAUACAUAUAUAGAGAUAUAUACAUAUAUAUAUAAACGAAACAAAAUAUAUAUUUUAAAGUUCUUAUAUGAAUCUUCAAAAGAAAUUUUAUUGAAAUAAUAAUUUUCAUCUAAACUAAACAAAAAAAUAAAUAUCAAUAUUAAUUAUAUUAUAUCAUAAUAGUAUAUUUUUUUAUAUUUUUAUAUUGUUAUGGUACGUUAAUAUCUAUAAUUCCUUAUAUAUUAAUUGAGUAGGAUUACAACAUGUUUUGGUAGCCACAUGUCAUCACUAGGAUGAUUCGUAGAAUUCUUAGAAAAUAGGUUGGUCCAUCUAAACAUAUAUUAUACAUGUUUAUUAAACUAACUAUCAAAUUGAUUAAUAAUGUACAAAAGAAUAUUCUCCAUUCUUUUCUCAGAUAAAAAUUACGGAAUUGUUGUUAUGAUUAAUACAUAUAAAAUACAUAAAUAUGUUAAUUUUGAAAGUUGCAUUGAAAAAGCAUUGAGACUUUAAUAUUUUAAUUUUGAAAUUUGCAUAAAAAAUCUCAUAUUGAAAAUUUUGUGAUUAAUAUUUUAAUUUUUUUGUUACAACAAAUAUACAAAUUCUAAUAAAAUCAUAUGAGUACGAAAUCUGAAUAAUAAAUAUUUGUUUUAAAAUAUACUAUAUGUUUAUGUCAAUAUCAUUGAAAUUUAAUUAUAUACUAUCUAAAAUAAAUAAAAUGAUUGUUUUGAUUUAUUCCAAAACAAUUAUUGUAAAUAAACAGAAAGUAUUAUUUUUAUUUAUGUGUUUACUCUAAUUUAAUUAUAUACAUAAUACGUAAAUGAAAAAUAAUUAAUAAUAUGUAAAAAUUAUUUAACUUUGUACCAUUCAUACAAAAUAUUUAAUAACUAGAUGGUGGCCCGCACACUUGUGCGGACUAAUAUAUAUCCAACUAAUUCAAAUUUUAACAAAUUUUUAAUUUCAGUCUAAAUUAUUUAAUUAGUUUCAAAUAUUAAAUUAAUUAGAGAUAUAAUUAUCUUUUUUUUUAUUACAAGAUAACAUAGAUAAUGGUUUGGUAUUUGUAAAAUCUUUUAUUUAUUCUAUCACUAAACCAUACAUAUAAAAAGUAUCAUCAUUAUAAUAAGCUAAAAAAGUUUUAUUAUUACUUUAAAAAUAAUAUAAAAGAUAAAUCUAUAAAUAAACCAUAAUUACCAAAUUAUCAGUGAAGCCUAUGAAAUCAAACCCCUCUUCAUCAAAGUCUUAAUUACAUUUUAUAUGAAUUUCUUUUUCAUCGGAGUUCAUAUUAAUACCUAUUAACAAAUUUACAAUAAUUAAAAACAUUCUUCUAUUUAAUAAAAGUAUAUAUCUAGUAUAAGGUGUAUUUUUUUUUUAAUUUUUAACAGCGAGAGAUUGUAUUCUUUGGACUCAUAUUUUGAUUGAUAAGAUAAUUCGGUGGUAUAAAAGAGAAGCAAGCUUCAUUUUAAAAAUAAUAAAUAAAACAUUAUUUAAUAUUAAAAAUUAACAUAAGAUGAACAAAACUAUAAAAUUAAUACUCAUUAAUAAUAUUUAUCCAUGAAUAUAUUGAAAAUAUUCAUUAAAUAAUCACUAAAUACGUUCAAAACUAACAAUUCAAAAAGUUAUUUAUUAAAACUAAUGACUGAGCCUAAAUUAAAUCAUGGAAUAUGACAAAUGAUGUUCUAAAAGUAAAAAGUAAUAAAACAUGAAAAUAAUAAAAAUAGCCUAACUUAUGGAUAACAUGACAAGUAAGCAAAACUAAAAUUACCACCUAAAAUUAUUUUAAAUAUGAUAAAUAAAUAAAAUUACUACAUAAAAUUAUAAAGAACAUAAGAAAUAAUAAAUAAACUAAAUUAUGGAGGAUAUGGAAAAUAAGAAAAAGUAUAAUUAUUGAAAACAUAACAAAUAAACAAAUUAUCUAAAAUUAUAGACAAUAUGACAAAUAAGCAAUAAACAAUGAUAAAUAAAUAAAAAUUAUGUAAAAUCAUGGAGAAGAUGACAACUAAGCAAAAUCACUUCAUAAAUAAUAGUAUAGAUGCUGGAAACGGAAACUACCUAUAUCUGUAAACUUCCACAAUCGCAUCGGCAGUCAUUGUGUUUCAACAGGUCAGGCCUGAGUUAACGUGUGUAGUUGGACCAACUUAGAAAGUGGGCUAAUGCUUGUGGCCCAAUAACAAAUGUGAAGAAAAGACUUGUUACAAUUGCUGCUGGCUCAUCAUCUUUCUUUCCACCUCCGAGCAAAAUCACCGGCGGAGAAACCUCACCGAUGAAGCAAGUUAUGGCGGGCAUGGUUACGCAGGCACCAUUGAAGUCGUUAAUUCAAGCUCUACUUCUGAUAUCAUUAUCAUUUCCGCCUCUCUCCAGCGCUUACCGACCAGGAGAUAUCGUGGCGAUGAGCAAGAUGGGACAGUACCAUUCGGUUCGAAUCUCUCUUUACAUAUUUAGCUGAGAUUAACUUAGAAUUUGACGUAGACUAAGGAUCUGUUGAUUCCAUGUGCAGUCGAGAACGACUUGGCAUGAUGUGAUCGGAAAGCAUUGCCCGAUCUUCGCCGUUAAUCGCGAGGUACUAACUGUCUGUGUAUAUGAUAUGUUCCUGGGAAAUUAGAUUGAAUUUUCAUGCCGAUUUGCAGGUGCUGAUCCCCAUAGCGAAACCAGUUGGCUACACUGGAACAGAUCCUUAUAAGAUGUGAGAGUGUUUGAUUCCUUUAAUUGAGAUUGAUCUGUCUUUAGCUUCUCUGAGGUUGUGAAGAUAGAUUCACAUCUCAUCUUAUCUUCUUUGAUUAGAGUAGGAGCCAUUUUGUUGUUUGUAUGGUGUAGUUAGUUCUACUCUGUUGCACUUUGUUGUGUUCUUCUUACUCUGCUGCUAUGGCAACAUCCUUUCUUUCUUUAGAUAAGUAUCUAGCAGUUUCUCUUGUUGUUGGCUCGAAUAGGAGAUAAUGAAUAUCGAUUCAUAUCUCAUCUAUUUGAUUAGAGUAUGAGUCACUCUUGUACGGUGUAUUUAGUUCUCUUCUGUUGCAGAUUGUGUUCUUCUACUGCGCUGAACAUGAUGUACUAUGCUGAUACAGUGACAUCUUUCCAUUGUUUGUUACAUUAGUCAUAUACUGAUUUUGUGUCUGAUGUGUGGUUAUGGAUCCUCUUACUUGCAGAAAUUUCCAUUCGUGUGUCUUUAGCUUAUCUGCCAAGUUCAUUGCUGCUUUUAAAUCAGUGUCUAGCAGUUUAUAUUGCUGCUGCUUGAAUAAGAGAUGGUGAAGAUAGAUUUACAACUUAACUACUUUGAUUAGAGUAGGAGCCGUUUUUGUAUGGCGUGUUUAGUUCUGUUCUGUUGCAGAUUGUUGUGUACUUCUAUUGUCUUCUCUGCGAUGAAUAUGGUGUGAAAUGCUGAUAGGGCGACAUCUUUUCCUUGUUUGUUACAUUAGUCGUAUGCUUAUUUUGGUGUGGAUAUGGAUUGAUUUUACAUGCAGAAAAUUCCAAGUUGGAAGUGAGAAAUAUCUGAUACACUGGCUUUUGGUGAUAAACCGGAAGAGUUCAGAAGUUCCAAUGAUCGAUGUCAAUUUGGUAUGUAUUGUUAGUUAGCCUUGGGUUUUGAGUCGUUUAUAAGCUUCGACUGAUUAGGUGUGUGUGUGAGUCCUUUUGAGUGUGGGUUGUUUUGCACAGAGAUAUUCUGGAGGAGAUUUGCUUGGAGUAACAGCUCAAGUUGUCGAUAUGCCUCUUAGCUGUACGUAAAACUCCAUAUCUUGUCUCUUUAUUAUCUGGUGAAAGUUAUAAUCUUCUUUGUGGCAUUGGGUGCUAAUAUAUAAAUGUAGGCAGUUUGUUUACUAGUCUUUAUUUGUUCUGCUGUUACCUUUAUGUCAAUUAUACAGUAGGCUGAUACUAUCCAUCAGGAGUUUUUGUAUAAGCUGAGAUUUUAUCCAUGAACAGAUUUGAAUACACACCCGGAGAUCCGCAAGCAGUUCUGGGAUCCUCAACACUGGCCGAAACAUGUUCUUGUUCGAUACACAUGGUACGCUACGUUUCUUGACCACUUUCAACUCUGUUUUACCUCUCUCCUUCCUUUUCUAAAUAAGAUUUUGGAUACGGUCGAGUCGCGAUAUUUAGCUAAGACACUAUAUUGUGAUGCAUGCAGGAAGGAGCAGUCAGAGAUUGAUGUUUCCUCUGGAUUUUAUGUCCUCUUUGGCUCAGGUAAAUCGUUUUUUUUUUUUGGUUCUUGCUGAUUAAAUAAAACGGGAAAAUAAAUUCACACACUUAAUUAUUAUUAUUUUAUGUUGUGCACUUGUGAUCAGCUCUCACGUUCUCUUUCGUACUCUCCAUUUACGUCUUACAAUCUUCACGAGAGAAGCUGGCGAGGUAAAUGAUCUUCAUGUCCUCUCAAGUUCAAGUGUAUAUCUUCCUUAUCUUGAACCUAAUUCUUGAAAAUGUUGUUGUAGGUUUGUAAGAGAGACGGUUGUGGAAAGCAGCUCGAAUGUUGGAGAGUUUGGCAAGGUUGAGUGAGAGUCAUAUAGUCAAAAGCAGAUAUGUAUGUUGUUGCUGCUGCUGCUAUAGAUGCUUGGACUUGGUUGGUUAAAACAAAAAACAAUUCCAGAAAAAGGAGAUUUGAUCGAACUUGAAUUAGUCGAAAGCAAAGAUAUCAUUCUGUUUGUUCCAAACCAAAUCAAUCAACUUGUAGAUCUUGCAAAACAGAAUGAAAACUUAACAUAUAAUAUGACGGCUUACUUUUAUUCGAAGUUUCUCACUAAACAAACAACAAAUGAAAAAUCAUAAACCAAAAUAUAUCUCCAGAUGCCUUCUAUCUUAACAUUGUUGGUGGCGGCAUGGUGUGAUCAUGAGGAUUAUUAAUUUAUAAUAUGGGUUUAUUAAAUAUAUCCAACUCAUAAUCAAUUGAUAAUAAAUGUAUUAGUUUGUACUAUUUAAUAUAUUAUUAUUUUCUUUCAUCAACAUAUCUCAUCUCACAUCUCUCACAUUUCAUGUUCAUACACAGGCUGUGCCUGACUUUUGGGGGCUUAGAUGCAAAAAAAAAAAAAAAUUAUUUCGCCCUUUAGUAUAGCAUUUGGUAAAAUUGGUAUCGAGGAAGAAUCGAAUCUAUCAAUAAAUUGAACAAACUACUAGCCCAAAGCCACUGAAUCAAUCAAUUUUUUUCUCAAAUUAACCCCUAAAAUAUAUUUAACUAUAUCGACUCUGAAGCACAUAUUUGAUGGGAUUGUACUCAGGCACGGCCCUGUAAUCAUACGUAAACAUAUUAUCAUCAACAAAUGGUUCUAACGACUUCUACUAAUAGAUGGGUGGUUCCGAUACUAUGUUUAAUUUUGCAUUUUAGGUCAAAACCAAUUAAGUAGAUUGACUUGUGACCUUUAUAAGUUACUACUAGAUGAUGAUCCGCGUGCAUGUGCAUGGUGAGUUUUUAUAAUAAUGUGUUCAUUAAAUAGUUUUAACAUUUUGCAACACUACAAUCUUUAUCGAUUAUAAAAUGUCAAAUAUAAAUGUUGGUCUCUUAUAUGUAUCAUCGUUGUUGAAGAGUUAACAUAUUACAUCUCAUUUCAAGUAUUUUUAAGAUUUCAUAUGCACAAAAGAAAAUUAAGUUUUGCAGCUGACACAAAUCACCAAAUCCAAAUAGGCAACAUCGAGUAAGAUGACGAAAAUAUUAGGUUUUCUGCUCUCGAUUUAUUUACUAUUGACUCUCCAUAAGUGAUUUCAUUUUCUACCUCUAUAAAAUUGUGAUUUCGUUAUUUUCUGUGUUUCAUUGAUAUAUAUAUAUAUAUAUAUAUAUAUACAUAUCAAGCUCUUGUUUUUUGCAUUAACAAAAGUUGCAUCUAAAAUGUCAAAAUAACAACUAAAUUAGUGUCUUUCUAUAAAGUUUUAUCUUCAAACCUAUUAAUAGUUUAAUCUUUUAAAAAUUAAAAAACCAGUUAAGUUAAAAAUAUAUUUAACUACAAAAAAACUUAAAAAUGAAUAAUUUAUUUAUUUUUUCUUCAAAAUUUAAAUAUCUGAACCCAACCAAAAAUAUAUGAACCCAAACAUAAAAUACCCGAACCCGACCCAAAGUGUAGAAAUCCGAACGGUUUCUAUACCUUUAUACUGAAAUACCCAAAAAUCUUAAAUACCCGAUACGAACCCGAACGUGUAUCCGAACGUCCAUCCCUACAAUAUAUGAUCAUUUGUAUCUUUCUUGAAAAAAAGAAGUUAGACCAUUGAUCAUAAAAUUUGCAAUGUGAGAUUUUUACCAUAUUUAGUAAUUUAUAGUCAUUUUUAAAAAUUUCAAAAUAUAGCAUAUAAGAAAAAAUAUAAUUUUUUUAUUAUAUGUUUAAUUUGAUUAUUUAAUUUUUUAAUAUAAUAUAAAAUUAAACAAAAAGAGAGAAGAUACAAAAAUUGUUAUCAAAUAUGCAUUAUUCAUAAUCACUAAUUGUCAUAUAUAUGUUAAUCAUAUUAGGUAAUUCCGUAGCUUUUAUUUAAGGAAAUAAAAAAUAUUAUUUUGUAUACUACUAAUUAGUUUGAUAGUUAGUUUAAUAAAAAGCAUAGUAUAUGUUUAUAAGGACCAACAUAUUUUUCUAAGAAUUUUAAAAAUCAUCCUCGUGAUAAGACGUGACUACAAAAAUAUGUUGUAAUGCUCCAUAAUUAAUAUAUAAGCGAUAUCAUUAUUGAUUUUUUUUUCAUUAACAACUAGAGUUUUUGUUUACAUGGCUAAGAUAUCCAGUAUCAACAAUCUAAAUUCAAAAAUGAACUCAGAAUGUUUCAUGGUUUUAUUGUCUUUAUAAGGUUUUUUCUUCGGAAUACAAAAUAUAAUCAUCUAACCGAGUGAUCAUCGAAUGGAUGUGUUUUGCUCCGUUUGAAAUAACAUCGUUAGUUAGAAUAUGUUGAGUUUUAAAUGAACACUCCAAAUUUCUAGGUGACACAAUUAUGAAUUCUACUUUUAUCUUCCAGUUUUUCUUACCUUCAUGACGUAGUUUAUAGUAUACCAACGUUGACAAGUCAUUGAAUUGUAUAAAUGUGGAGCAAUGACUGGUCUUUUAUGUGCAUACAAGAAUGAACUACAGUUUUUUUUAUAAGAGGCAAUGCAUUAAAUGAAACCUACCACCAACUAACCUAACACAGUCUACUCUUACUUUAUGCAUUUGCCCUUUUGGCUCUUUCUAUAUAAACACAAACUCUAUCAGCUCUCUUCAUCAUAAAAAAUUAAACCCAUUACUUACUUAAGCAAAAGAAAAAGAAAAAAGUUUAAGAUUAUGGAGGGCUUCAUAAAGCUGUCAACAUUGUUGAUUGUGUGCAUGUUAGUGUCAGCUCCAAUGGCAGAGGCAGCAAUCUCGUGUGGCGCCGUCGCCAGCAACUUGGGGCAAUGCAUUAACUACCUGACCAGGGGCGGAUUCGUUCCUCGAGGAUGUUGUUCGGGUGUUCAGAGGCUCCACAGCAUGGCUCGGACCACACGUGAUCGGCAACAAGCUUGUCGCUGCAUUCAAGGAGCAGCUAGAGCCUUGGGUUCCAGACUUAACCCAGGCCGUGCUGCUCGUCUUCCUGGUGCUUGCCGUGUUAGGAUCUCUUACCCCAUCAGCGCAAGAACCAACUGUAACAAGUAAUCUAACUCUCACUCUAUUUAUCUCAUUUUACUUUAGGUUGUAAUAAUUUUAUUUGGAUUUUAAUGAAGUGUUACUAACCAUAUAUGAUAAUGUGUUUAAUGUAUUUGGUUGGUUUCAGCAUCCGGUGAGCAUGAGAGCAUAUAUACGUUGAAGUGUUUUAAUUUCCAUAAAAAUAAUGUCACUAGUAUAAUUGUGUAUCCUUUCAAUGUUAUGUGUUGUUUUCAGAAUUGGUGUGUUUCAUUUCUUUCUUUAUAUACGACCGUCCAUUUAAGUGGCCAUCUCUGUUAUGUAUUCCUCUAAGGCGCUAAUGAUGUAUGGAAUUACUAUAUGUAUUGUUUCCCUGCUCUUGCCACGGUCUGCUUUUAGUGCAUCACUUAUUCGGCGCGGUGUAAAUAAACUAGGACCGACACUAGAUUUUGUAAUACAGAUAUGAUCAAACUGACUACUACUUACGUAUUGUGGUAGAAAUAUUUUUUUUUUAAUUUAUAAUCAUUAUUAAGAUAGUCCAAUAAACUGAUAAGUAUGCUUUAAGAAAAUAACCAUAAUUGGACUUCUGAUAAUCAUUUGAUGUCCCCGACUCUUUACCAUUUGAUGUUUUUGUCCAUUGGUUUCUUAAUUGAACCAUUUCCAUUUUCUUUUCUCUUUUUCUUUAUAUCCUUGAACUAUCGCUUGACCACAUAAAUUUCGGACUCGCACGAGUGUCCUCAUAUAUCGUGCUUGGCCCCCUUGUUUGACAUGUCCAAGUAAUGUAGGCCGAAUACAUUAAUCAUAUUGUACACUAGCUUAAGACCCGCGCAAGAUGAAUGUUAUAUAUAAAAAUAAUUUUAUCUGUUAUUAUUAUUUGUAUUCAUUUACGUAUUAUGUAUAUAAUUAAAUUAGACUAAACACAUAAAUCAAAACAAGACAUCUUGUUUAUUUACGAUAUUUUUUUAAUAAAUAAUUCAAAACAAUCAUUUUAUUUAUUUUAUAUGGUAUAUAACUAAAUUUAAAUGACAUGGACAUAGAUAUAUAUACUUUAGGCAAUUAUCAAUAAUAGCACCUUUUGAGUUUUUGUUUCAAAAAUAGCACUAGAAGGAGAAGUCACAAAAAUGACAUUCAUUAAAAGGUAAAAUAUCCCUAAUACCCUUGGUUUAAAAUUAAAUAAACAAACAAAAACAAAUAAAAACAAAUAAAAAAAUGAAAAAAAAAUUAUAGUUUCAGAUUAUAUGUUUUUAGAUUCGAAAUUUUUUAUAAUUUUAUUUUUGAAUUUUUUAUUUUUGAAUUUUUUUUUUAUUUUUUGAAUUUUUUUUUAAUAAUUCAAAAAUACUUUUUGAAACUUUUUUAAUUUUUAAUUUUUAAUUUUUUAGUAUUUAUUUUUUAUUUUAUAAAAUUUUAAACCCUAAUUCCAAAACCCCACCCCUUAACUCUAAACCCUAAGGUUUGGAUUAAUUAACCCAAAUGUAUAAGUGUAUAUUUACCUCUUUAAUGAAACCUAUUUUUGUGACUUUGAACCUUGAGUGCUAGUUUGGGAACAAAAACUUGGUUUGGUGCUAUCCUAGUCUUUUUCUCUAUAUUUUAAUAUAAAUAUUUAUUAUUGAGAAUUCAUACUCAUGUGACAAAAUUUCUAAUGUGCGAUUUUCUGAAUGCAAAUUUCAAAAUUUAAAUAUUAAGGUUACAAUACUUUUUCAAUACAAAUUUAGAAAUUAUCAUAUCUAAGUAUUUUUCUAUGUCAUAUAGUUUAAUAUAAACUAUAUUAAUAUAUAAUAUGAAUGUCUAGUAAAUGAGACUUCAUAUUCAUACGAUUUAUUAUCAUUUGUAUCUUGUUAUUACCAAAAAAGUUAAACCAUUGAUCACAAAAUUUUAGUGUGAGACAUUUAACGUUUUUAGUAAUUUAUAGUCAUUUUAAAAAUUCAAAAUAUAAUAUAUAAGAAAAAAUAUAUUUUAUUAUUAUAUGGUUAAUGUGGUUGCUUAAUAUCUUUUAAUAAUAUAAAAUUAAACAAAAAAGAGCUAAGAUACAAAAAUUAUCCUCAAAUAUUUAUUAUUUAUGAUCAUUAAUUGUCAUAUAUAUGUUAACCAUAUUAGGCACUUCCGUAGAUUUUAUUUAAAAAAUGUGCGAAAAUAUUUUUUUGUACACUAUUUAUCAAAUUAAUAGUUAGUUUAAUAAAAAGUAUAAUAUAAGUUAAGAUGGAUCAACCUAUUUCUCUAAGAAUUCUGAAUUUCAUUCUCAUGGUGACACAUGACUACAAAACAAUGUUGUAAUGUUUCUCAAUUAAUAUAUAAGGGAUUUCUAACUGAAUAAUUUUACUUUUUCUAAAAAUGAUCUUUUGAAAUUUUGUUUGAUACAUAAUCUUUGGAAUAUUCAUAUGGUUUAUUCCCUUGUUUAUUAUUACUGAAAAGUUUAUAAUAGAAAAAAAAGAAGAAAUGUUUAUAGUCUCUAAUAUGUCGAAAUAUAUUUUAGUUCCUAUUUAAAUCGAGGGGUUUGAUGUUAAAUCAGCAUUUUUAAUCAUUACUAGAUGAUAAUCCGCGCGGAGUGAGUUUUUAUAAUAAUGUUUGUUUAUUAAAUGGUUUUAAAAUUUUACAACAUUACAAUCUUUGUCGAUUAUAAAAUAACGAAUACAAAUGUUGGUUUUUUAAAUAUAUCAUCGUUGUUGAAGAGUUAACAUAUUACAACUCAUUUAAAUUAUUUAUAAGAUUUCAGAUGCACAAAAAAAAAUUAAGUUUUGCGACUGACACAAAUCACUAAAACCAAAUAGGCAACAUCGAUUGUAUAAUGGCGAAAGAGAAUAAGGUUUCUGCUCUCGAUUUGUUUACUAUUGACUGUCCAUAAGUGAUUUCAUUUUCUACGUCUAUAAAAUUGUGCUUUCGUUCUCGUCUCUGUUUCAUUGAUAUGAAUUUAGUUUAUUUUUAACAUCUUCUAUGAAUUUGGUGAAUUACAUAAGUAUCAAUUUAAAAAAAAAAUGGACAUCUCUAAAAAUUAGUUCUACUCUAUAUACAUAUCUAAGAAUAAAAAAAUUGAAGAAAAUCACCGGCAGACUCUAUUAACAUGUUAGUUUUCAAAUCAAAUAUAUCAAGUUGUAAUAGUAUAUAUGUAGAGACUCUAAAUAUAAAUGUAUGUCAGUAUAUAUUCACUAGUUCGGUAUAAAAAUCGUCUAAAUUCUAGAACAACAAACUACUUAUAUUAUUAGCCAACACUUUUGAGGUUUAGUUACUUAAGAGUAUGCAAAAAAAAUAAUAUAUAUUACUUUACCAUUCUAGUAUAGGUAAAUUAUGUAUAAACUAAGAACCGUUUGAUUUAUUAAAUGAUAAACUAGAAAACAUAUAAUAAAUAGCUCAUAUCUCUCAUUCUUACAAUUAUAAUAGCUAGAUAGGGUAUUAAGGAGAAACAAAUAUUAGAUGAAUGAUCAAAUCUCUCAUUAUUCGAAUAAACUCAAAAAGAAGUGAUUGAAAUCUUUCAUUAAAAUCUUUUUAGAAAUAAAAAUCAAAACUAAAUUAUUUAAUCUGAAUGAAAUAAUAUAUAUAGUGUUUCCAAUAUUAAAAAUCAAUUAGAUUUGAAAAAGUGUGUUUCUCGGAUUGUUAGGAUUAAAUAAGAUAUUAGAAACCAGCUAUUUAAAAAAUAAUUUAUAUACAUUAGAGUAAUCACAUAAAUCAAAACUAAUAUUUUUUGUUAAUUUACAAUCACGUUUUUGUAAAUAAAUUAAAACAAUAAUUUUAUUUAAUUUAUAUGGUAUAAAAUAAAGUUUAGUGAUAUUGACAUAGAUACAUAAUAUAUUUUAAUAUAAAUAUUUAUUAUUGACACUUUCUACUCAUAUGAUUUUUUAACAUUUGUAUAUUUGUUGUAAUAAAAAUUAGCUGUAUAUUUGUACAUUUGUAUAUUUGUUGUAUGCAUAAAAGCAUAUAUAUUAGAGUGGGCACAUAAAUUAAAACCAAUACUUUUUGUUAAUUUACAAUCAUGUUUUUGGUAAAUAAAUCAAAACAAUUAUUUUAUUUACUUUAUAUGGUAUAAAUUAAACUUUAGUGAUAUUGACAUAGAUACAUAGUAUAUUUUAAUAUAAAUAUUUAUUAUUGACACUUCCCACUCAUAUGAUUUUUUAACAUUUGUAUAUUUGUUGUAAUAAAAAUUUAAACCAUUAAUCACAAACUUUUAAUGUGAGAUUUUUUAACACAAAUUUCAUAAUUAAAAUAUUAAGAUCUCAAUAAUUUUUCACUACAAAUUUUGAAAUUAACAUAUUAAUUUUUGAAAUUAACAUAUUAAUUUAUAUACUUUUAUAUUGUAUAUAAUUUAUUUCAAAUGUUAUUAAUAUAUAUAUAUAAGAUGAAUAUCUAUUAAUAAGACUUAAUAUUUAUACGAUUUAUUAGGUCUGUGAAUUUUAUCUGAUACCCGAACCCGUGUCUGAAUUCCAGCCAAAAAUACAAACCGAAAUAGCAAAAUACACGAACGGUUAUUGAAUUCGGAUAGAUUGGAUAUCCGAAUGGGUAAUAUCCAAAUCGGAAUGUAUAUCCAAAAAUAACCAAACAUAAGUAUACUUAACCCUAUAUUUUUAGUUUACUUCUCUCAUUUUAUUCAAAAUAUUUAUAUUAAUGAUGUACAUUGCUCAAAAUUAGAUUAUAUACAAAUAAUUAUGAACAAAAUCAUUUACUACUCACUUAAAAUACACAUCGAGCUCUUGUUUUUUGCAUUAACAAAAGUUUCAUCUGAAAUUUCAAAACAACAACUAAAUUGGUGUCUUUCUAUUUUUAAAGUUUUAUCUCCAAACUUAUUAAUAGUUUAAUCUUUUAAAAAUUAGAAAGCCAAUAAAGUUAAAAUUAUAUUUGAAAUACAAAGAAAAAACUUAAACAAUGAAUAAGUUAUUUAUUUUUCUUCAAAAUUUAAAUAUCGAAACCCGACCAAAAUAUCUUAACCUGAACAUAAAACACCCGAAUCCGACCCGAAGUGUAGAAAUACCCGAACGGUUUCUAUACCUUUAUACUGAAAUACCCAAAAAUCCUAAAUACCUGAUAUGAACCCGAACGGAUAUCCGAACGCCCACCCCUACGAUAUAUGAUCAUUUGUAUCUUGCUUGAACAAAAAAAAGUUAAACCAUUGAUCACAAAAUUUUCAAUGUGGGACUUUUACCAUUUUUAGUAAUUUAUAGUAUUUUUAGAAAAAUCAAACUAAAAAUUCGAAUUUUUUUUAUUACAUGCAUAAUGUAAUUGUUUAAGUUCUCUUAAUAAUAUAAAAUUAAACCAAAAAAAAGAGGAUACACAAAUUAUUAUCAAAUAUGUAUUAUUGAUAAUCAUUAAUUAUCGUAUCUAUACUAUUAAAGUAGAAUUCAUGACUUCUUUCAUGUGUGAUAUUUUAAAUGGGCCAUCCCCAGAAAGUUACUUAUACUUUUUUUCUUUAUAUUUUCAUGAUAAAAUCCUAACAACCUAUUUAAUUCUCUUUUUAUUACAGCAAUAUAUUAUUAGAUGUACAUAAUUUUAAAAAUAUAAUAUUCCAUCAAUAUAUAAUUAUAUUUGCAUAUAACCAGUUAUAAUCUACUUAAUAAUAAUAAAAUUUAAUUAUUCUAGAGUUUAUACUUUUAUAUGAUUUAAUUAAUAUUAAUAAUAAAAUUUAUUAUGCAAAUACAAUAAUGUUAGAAUUUUACCUUGCAAAUAAUAAAUCGAAUCAAAUGUUAAAAAUCCUAACACUAUUGUAUUUGCAUAAUAAAUGUUAUUAUUAUUAAUUAUAUUUUACAAGUAUCAAUAUUUAUAUAGGUACUGUAUUAACAAACAUGUAUUAAAAUAUAUUAUAUUUUAAAAUACAAUACUAUAGAUUCAAUCAUAUACUGUUUUUAUAAUAAAUUGCUUAAUAUAUAUAUAUAUAUAUAUAUAUAUAUAUAUACUGUUGUGAUUGAAAUUUUCAUGCGUGAUUUCAUAAAUUUUAAAUAUGUAUAAAUUUAAAAUUUAAAAUAAAAAUAUGUAAAGUAGUAUUGUUACAUAAUAAUGUUUUCAAAAUAAUUGUUUGUACAAAAAUACAAAUUUAUAGUAAUAAUAUAUAAGCCACAUAAACAUAGCUAUUAUAAAAAUACAUAAUAUAAAACACUUAAUUGCAUUAAGUUAUUUGUAAAUUUUGUUAUACUCCCUCUGUAUACAAAUAUAGAUGUUUUAGUUUUUUUUCUUUGUAUACAAAUGUAUGAUGUUUUACUUUUAACUAAUGAAAUUUUCUUUAAAAAUAAAAUAUUAAUCAAAAUGUAAAAAUUUAAGUGGUUGAAUUUUUAUUGGAAAUCAAAUAAAACUUUAAACUAACUAAAAUAAAAACCAAAAAGUAAUAGAUAAAAAUAAAUAUUUAAUUUCUCUUAAUAUGUGUUAACAACCUUACACAUCCUAUAUUUGUAUCAAGAGGGAGUAUAAACUAAAAUAUUUAAGUAUAGAAAUAAAAAACCGCACUAAUUCCGUAGCUUUUAUUUAAGGAAAUAAAAAAAUAUUAUUUUGUAAACUAUUAAUUAAUUUGAUAGUUAUUUUAGUUAAAAACAUAGUAUAUAUUUAUAUGGACCAACUUAUUUUUUUAAGAAUUCUAAGAAUCACGCUCUUGAUGACACGUGGCUACGAAUAUGUUGUAAUGCUCAAUGAUUUAUAUAUAGGGGAUUUUUCCCAUAAGCAAUUUUACUUAGGUUUGACCAUUUUGUCAACAACUUAUUAUAACACAUUAACUUUAGUUUCUGGAAAUAUUUACAUUCUUAGGAAAAAAACUCAAGUAACCGAAGAUCGGGGAAGCAUUGCAUUAACAUGGGAAUAUGUGUAUUUUUGAUGUUUAAUUCAUAGUAAAUCCCGUUAUUCAUCAAAUUUGCAUGCAUGCGAAGCUAAGCAUAAUUUACGGGUACACAUGACAUUGAUGGAGCUUUCCCAAUUAUAAAAACCGCACCGACGACCUCAACAAAGUAAAACAAUCAAUUAAACACAAUUAAAAAAAAAAUGACGUUUGCUUCAAAGAUCAUCACAUGCCUCCUCGUCCUUACGAUCUACAUUGCAGCUCCAACAGAGUCACACAUAACGUGUGGGACAGUGACAAGCACAAUGACACAAUGCAUCAGCUACUUGACCAACGGUGGUCCAUUGCCGUCAAGCUGCUGUGUGGCAGUCAAAUCAUUGAACCAAAUGGCUCAGACCACACCAGAUCGCCGACAAGUAUGUGAGUGCCUUAAAUCAGCCGGUAAGGAAAUUAAAGGCCUCAAUAUCGACCUUGUGGCCGCACUCCCUACCACUUGUGGUGUUUCACUUUCCUACCCCAUUGGUUUCAACACCAAUUGUGACAGGUACUUGUCCAUAUAUAACUUUGUUUUUGGUUUUAUAUUAGAUCGUUUUGCUUCUUUCUAGAUUAUCGAUAUAAUUUUCACAGCUGUUUCCACAGUAUAUCUUGAAAGCUAGUUCUCGAUCUACUUGACUCCAAAAUAUAUAAAAGAAAAUGGAUUUGGACUAAUUAAACUACCAGAUAAACACAUAGUUCACUAUAGUCGAUAGUAUAUUGUUGUAUGGUUUGUUACCAGUGACAUGAUACAUUAUUGUUUUGUUUUUUGGAAUGUUACAGUAUAUCGAUUGCCGUGUGAAGGAGACUAGAGACGUACGAACGAAUAAGAAGAGUUGGCCCAACUUUAACCUAAACAAUAAUUAUCCCGCUGCUAUUUUCUAUUUUAUGACUUGAGUUUCUUAUUAUGUAAUCAUCCAUUUCAUAUGGUAAUAAGUAAUAACGAUAAAGGAGCUCUCUCUCUCUUUAUCGGCGCUUUGAUGUAUGUACGCCUAACAUACCAUCAGGAAUAACACUUUGUCUUUCUCUUACAUGUAAUAUAUAUGAUCAAGAGGUUGCAUGAACUAAUGAGCUUUUACCUAACCGCAUAUAUAUAAAGUUAUAGCAUCCAUGAAAAAGGUUUGGCAUAUAAACAUGUUUUGCAAGGUCAAUACAAAGGAUAUCGUUUUAGUCUUCUAAGAAUGUAAAUUUCAUUACUAUUGUAUUGUAUGUUUGAUACAAGAGAACCUGAAUCCAAAGGAUAUCAGACAAAAUGGGUAUUCGAUAUCAGACCACCGGUUCUACAUGUAUGUCAAAUAUUUGUUGUGAGUGUACGUUGUUUGGAUUAAUUUAUAUAUAUAUACUAGUGGUAUUCCGGCGCUACGCGCCGGGUUCAUAUUUUUUUAUUCUUUAAUGAAUUCAAUCAUUUGCUUAUAGAAAUAACAGUUUUUGCAUAUCUUCUUGAUGUUUAGUAAUUAAGUUUGGGGGAUCAACUUGGGGUUCCGUUUGCCAAACUAAAUUAUCAAUACGUUUGUGCUGUUUAUUAAUUUAACAAUUUUAUUUGUUUUGUUUGGUUAUUUGUAGGUUUUAUUUAAAAAUUAAGCUACUGUUUUAUGCAUUUGUAUUUAGCUGGAUUUUUCUAUGUUAUGUGCAUGUGAUACUAAGAAUGUUGCACUCAGACAGUUUGUACCGGCUACUUAUGUAUUAUAGCUACUAUAUGUGGCUUCGUAUGUCAUUUGGGGGUCUUAGUUAUGGCUUAGCUUAGGUUGGGUUUUUUUUGACAGACACAAUGAAAAAAGAGUUGUCCAAAAAAAAACACAAUGAAAAAAUUUGCGAUAGUAGUUAAAGUGAAAACAGAAGCAAAAGCUCAAGUAAAAAAAAACAGAAAAAUUUCUAGGGAAAACUGAAACAAUAGCAAUGUACCAACAAUCCCAAAGAAAAGUAAAAAUUUAUAAAUAUUAAUUAGAAUCUAUAUAUUCGAUUUGAAAAUGAGUAAAAUUUAAUUAGACUUGUAAAUAUAUAUAAGAUUUGCAAAUCAAUUAAAUUGCAUAAAUGAUUGACACCCUUAAACUUUUGAUAAAAAUAAAGUAAAAAUCAAAACUGAGCAGCAAACCAACAUAUGCUGAGUCGCUCAAAUAAGAUAAUUCUUAUAUAUAUAUAUAUAUAUAUAUAUAUAUAUACUGUUGUGAUUGAAAUUUUCAUGCGUGAUUUCAUAAAUUUUAAAUAUGUAUAAAUUUAAAAUUUAAAAUAAAAAUAUGUAAAGUAGUAUUGUUACAUAAUAAUGUUUUCAAAAUAAUUGUUUGUACAAAAAUACAAAUUUAUAGUAAUAAUAUAUAAGCCACAUAAACAUAGCUAUUAUAAAAAUACAUAAUAUAAAACACUUAAUUGCAUUAAGUUAUUUGUAAAUUUUGUUAUACUCCCUCUGUAUACAAAUAUAGAUGUUUUAGUUUUUUUUCUUUGUAUACAAAUGUAUGAUGUUUUACUUUUAACUAAUGAAAUUUUCUUUAAAAAUAAAAUAUUAAUCAAAAUGUAAAAAUUUAAGUGGUUGAAUUUUUAUUGGAAAUCAAAUAAAACUUUAAACUAACUAAAAUAAAAACCAAAAAGUAAUAGAUAAAAAUAAAUAUUUAAUUUCUCUUAAUAUGUGUUAACAACCUUACACAUCCUAUAUUUGUAUCAAGAGGGAGUAUAAACUAAAAUAUUUAAGUAUAGAAAUAAAAAACCGCACUAAUUCCGUAGCUUUUAUUUAAGGAAAUAAAAAAAUAUUAUUUUGUAAACUAUUAAUUAAUUUGAUAGUUAUUUUAGUUAAAAACAUAGUAUAUAUUUAUAUGGACCAACUUAUUUUUUUAAGAAUUCUAAGAAUCACGCUCUUGAUGACACGUGGCUACGAAUAUGUUGUAAUGCUCAAUGAUUUAUAUAUAGGGGAUUUUUCCCAUAAGCAAUUUUACUUAGGUUUGACCAUUUUGUCAACAACUUAUUAUAACACAUUAACUUUAGUUUCUGGAAAUAUUUACAUUCUUAGGAAAAAAACUCAAGUAACCGAAGAUCGGGGAAGCAUUGCAUUAACAUGGGAAUAUGUGUAUUUUUGAUGUUUAAUUCAUAGUAAAUCCCGUUAUUCAUCAAAUUUGCAUGCAUGCGAAGCUAAGCAUAAUUUACGGGUACACAUGACAUUGAUGGAGCUUUCCCAAUUAUAAAAACCGCACCGACGACCUCAACAAAGUAAAACAAUCAAUUAAACACAAUUAAAAAAAAAAUGACGUUUGCUUCAAAGAUCAUCACAUGCCUCCUCGUCCUUACGAUCUACAUUGCAGCUCCAACAGAGUCACACAUAACGUGUGGGACAGUGACAAGCACAAUGACACAAUGCAUCAGCUACUUGACCAACGGUGGUCCAUUGCCGUCAAGCUGCUGUGUGGCAGUCAAAUCAUUGAACCAAAUGGCUCAGACCACACCAGAUCGCCGACAAGUAUGUGAGUGCCUUAAAUCAGCCGGUAAGGAAAUUAAAGGCCUCAAUAUCGACCUUGUGGCCGCACUCCCUACCACUUGUGGUGUUUCACUUUCCUACCCCAUUGGUUUCAACACCAAUUGUGACAGGUACUUGUCCAUAUAUAACUUUGUUUUUGGUUUUAUAUUAGAUCGUUUUGCUUCUUUCUAGAUUAUCGAUAUAAUUUUCACAGCUGUUUCCACAGUAUAUCUUGAAAGCUAGUUCUCGAUCUACUUGACUCC